AAAAAACAUACCAAUAUUGUUUUGAUAAAAAAAAAUAGAUUAAGCUGACAAUCUGUUCUAGAAGGUCUGCUGGAAUAUCUAGUUUGAUUGGUUCAGAACAUCCUUUUUCUUCCUUUCAUUUCUUAGCAAUCCAGCCACGUCAUAUUUUAUUUUGAUUUAAAAUUUUGUAGUCUUUAGUCUUAUCUUUGACUGUAGUUUCCAAAAUGACUGCAAACCAGAUCAUCGUCCUGUUUGUUGAAUACAAAACAAGAGCACGCCCACAAUCAAAUAAUCAUAGAAAUUAGUAGUAAUGAAAAGAGGAUUAAUGGUAAUGAAAUGGAAAAAUGGAGAAUUUGAAGGAAACCAAGCACGUUGUGGGCAGUGAAAAUUAACAACAAACACAUGCUAGAAAACAAAAGGCUAUACAGAGAUGCCAGCGCCAUGCCAAUCAUCAAAAAAUCCAAGAAUCAAAACAACCUGUAUAUAUUCCUUCACAACCCGUUUCGACGAGCCUCUUGAUCUUCAGAAGAAGCAGCAGCAAACCUUGAUGAGAAACCAGGAAUCAAACAAUCAUCCUCUUCCCUAUCAAAGUUAAGAGCAUAGCUUUCAGCAUCAUAUUGAGACUGAUUAUUCCUUUGUUUCUUCUUCUUGAUAUAUGCGCUGAUCUUUCUAAUGAAUGUCUUCCACUUUGGCCCUGCCAAAACCUCUGAAGCCUCCUUCACUUUCUUCAGUUUCCUCACCAACCAUGGAUCACUAGAGUCACCAUUCUGGUUCAAAACAUCAUAUUCACGUUCAUUGUUUCGCCGCGAGUUGAAAUUGAAGAGUCCAAAACAACAGCAACCAUUAGCUGAAUAGGCCUCUUGUUCAUAAUCAUCAAGGCGAUCGUAUCCUUGUUGUUCAUGUGACAUUCUUGGUGAACCGAUGGGGCUCAUGAAAGUUACAUGCGGUUUGGCCAUGUGUGUAUGUGCGUGUGUGUGAGAGAGAGAGAUACAAAGAAUAAAACGGACGGGGAGUCUGGAUUGGGAAGAAGAGGGUCUUAAUACGGAGAAGCCAUGGAAGGAAGUUGAAGGGAAAUGGGCAAGGAAGUGUCAAGGAAAUGGAGAAUUUAAGCUGACGAUUUUUCUAAAUGGAAAAGCCAACAGGAAUACGAUGCUUGUUGGGAAAAUGACAUUUGACUAAGCUUACAUGGCUCUCUAUGAUUGGUGCUUUUGUGAGGAACCUAGUAAUAUAAUGGCGGCUAUAAGCGAAACACGGUUUCUUAAACGAGUUAGCCACACGCUUGCAAAACGAUGGCAACAUAGAACUUCCAUGCAACAAUCAAGAAACACAGCCACAAAACUUGUCUUCUUUUUCUCGUCACUCACAUUCCAAAUGUUUCUACAUGGUAACAUUUAUUUACCAAAGAGGAUGAUUGGAAAUAUUGGAAAUAACGCCUUUGAUUAUUAUAAAAACAAUGCCUUUGAUUCUCAUAAAAAUACAGGACCUAUCAGAGCGUUGAAUCACCUUCUUCGAGAUUACAAUUUCGAGUAUACUGAAUAAUUGCUCGAAAGAACAUCAAAACGAGGAUAAUUAUAUUUAGGUGAAUAAUAGCGGAAAAGGGCACCGAUCAUCAUCAUAUCCAUGAAGUAUAGGUUCUCAAGGUUCGUCCAAAUCUUGCCAAAAAAAGAACCAAGCCUCCUUAUCUUUGCAGAAGGCACAUAUAAUUCCUUCAGUCGAAUGGUGCGUCGUAGGCAGCAAACCUUUUUCAUAUAAGAAUCCACGGAUUCUCCACUACGAAUCUAUGAUACGGCUACCCUGGAUGUCUGUGUUGUUACAUCAUAUUUCAGUGCCAUCACUGCAAUUUUUUCUGCUAAAGGCCACUGAAAACUUUUUUCCCUUCAAUUGGGAGAUUGUAAAGUUUCAGGAAGAUGCUAUUGAAAAUUGGGAGACUGUAAAGUUUCAGGAAGAUGCUAUUGAAAGCUUGAUGUACAAAAUAGACGUAUCAAGGUCCAACUAUAUACUACAGCUGAUACUUCAACUCUCCAUACACUGGUGCUUGCUUACGCCACAGAAAUAACAAGUCAUUCUGGACUGACUGGUAAGAUUUCUGGGAAAUGAUAUUUGCAUUAUUGAAAGAAAGAAUGCAUGUAUCAAGAUCAGUGAAAGACAUGCCGCAGAAAAUCCAGCCUGCAUUCUUGUGAUGGUGGGUGGGAAAACGAAAAAAUGAAAGGCAUUACAAAAGUACAAAUAAAUUGCACCUCACUUGAAUCAAAACUGCUAUGAAAUGUUAAUAAUAAACAAUUUUUUUUAAAAAAAAAAAAACGUAAAAACUAACUGGACAAAUUCUAAAAACCGUGAUUCAAAAAAGAAAGAAAGACCUUGCCUGUGCUACAUUCAAGUAAAAUACAUGUCUUUCAACAACUGAGGAAGCAACACAUUCCCCAGGACACGAAGGAGAGACGACAGAACAGCUUGCGUGAAAUCAUUUUUGAACCUGGUACUGUGUUGAAGGGGGCUGCUGUGAUGGGUUUUGCCCUCUGGGAGGAAUCUUUGCUACCAUUGCACGCAAAUCAUUUGCAAUUUCAGUGAAGCUUGGUCUGUCUGAUGGCUCAGAAGACCAGCAUCUCUCCAUCAAUGAUCUCCACUCUGGGUCACAAGUCUCUGGCACUGGUGGCCGCAAGGUAUUGCUCACAAUACCACCUGAUUAGCAUUUUGACGGGGCAAUAAUCAGUGAAACACAUACUUGAGCCUAUUUAAGUAAAUGCCACAUGAUUAUUUUUGGUACAACUAAAACCUCACCUAUAAUAGCCCCGUAGUGCAAGUCGGAGUAUGGUUCUUCCCCAGUCAGAAGUUCCCACAACACGAUACCAAAUGAGAACACGUCGACCUAUAUUAAAGAAGAGAAUUGAAGCGCAAGCUCAUCUAGUGAGAAAAAAGAGAGACUAUUUAUAUGCAAGAUGGUAUCAAACGACAAAUGGAAGCACCUUUUCAGAGACAAGACUACUGCUUCCAUUCAGAAGCUCCGGUGCCAUCCAUGGAAGUGUUCCCCGCACACCACCUGAGAUAAGUGUUUGGCAUUUCACCUUAGACAGGCCCAAAUCACCGACCUGGUGCAGAAGCAGAAGUGAAAAGCCAAUUCAAUAAAUUUGCUAUUGAAAACAAAAUACAGAAUUCUCAGGUUCAACAUUACAUGCAGGGACCUGCAGAUUAUAUGCAUCAAUGCAAUCAUAGAACUUAAAUUUGAAAUCAAAAGUUUUUACUGAUUGUCAUACAUGGAGGCUCAAAAUUUAGUAAACUACUAGUGAGCAUUUGGAAAUGGAAUUCUAUUCCCAAAGGCAAAUGCAAAUUUCCUCUUCAGAUAUGGUUUUAUAAGCAUUUGAGUCUGUGAUAACUUCUAUCAAUGACAAAAGCAGAGGCUUCUGGAAUUCAGGACUAACAAUAGAAACAAUAAUCAUAUCUGCCAUAACUAAUAAUUAAAAGAAUAACUUAGAAAACUAAACAGAUCAAAAGAAAACUGACAAGGAUGGAAAAAAAGCGCGAGUACUAUUUCCUAUUUCACAAAUUUGAUCAACACUAUGUGGGGUAACAAGAUACAGACUGGGGAAAUAAAAUCCACUAAUCCACUCAAGUUAUGAUAACAACUGGACAAAAGAGAGCUCAAAUCAACUACAUAGACAUUUCAUUCACAUCUCACUUAAGAGAAUAUCAGCGACAAAUUCUGUUGACAAGAUAUCAGCAUUCAGCACGUGCUUGAAAAUAUAUAUCAGCAUCAAUUACUGUUGAGAUGAUAACAUUACCUCUCUUUUCACAUGGCUAUUAAGUACUGUAAUAAUGUCAUUUGUAAGUUAAAUCUGACGUGAAUCCAUUUGAAAACACUCCCAUAACCUCAAUGCCAUAUUCACCCCUAAACCAUUCUAUGGAAUACCCCAUAAUUCAGAAGUAUUCUGGCAACAGCUCUAAAGUGUUCCACCUAAAAGACUGGAUUAAUUAGCCUGGAGUAUGGAAGAACUUAUUUUAGCCAGAUACCCACAUUUUGCCUUAGCAGGGUGAGAUAAAACUCUAAAUGCGACAACCAAAUUUUCUAGAUCAUUUAGGCAUGGAGAAGAUUUCUCCAAAUACUAAAAUCAUCAAAAGGAGGAUGCCGACAGAAAUAAACCCACAAUCGAUAUGCAUAUCAGAGAGUUCAUUACUUGAUGUAAGAAUGAAGGGGAGGUAAAAGCCCCUCUUCCUCCAGAUUGGGUCACUAACCUUGCAUAUUGGCCGGUGAGGAUCUCGAAGAUUAACAAGUAAAUUGUCACUCUUCAGAUCGAAGUGCACUACAUUCUUUCCAUGCAAGUAUCCCAUUCCAAAGGCCACAUCCAUGGCAAUCAAGAGACGCUUACGCUUGUCAAGGUUCCUGCUAAAAAGAAAUUAUAAAAUAAAUUUCACUUUCAAAGCGGGGAAUGAAAUAAAAUGGAGAGAUACAGGUUCAUGAAAAAGGAACUACAAAAUAACCUCUCAUUUUUCUGCAAAGCAUUUCUUAAAGAACCAUUAACCAUGAACUCUGUCACUGUUGCCACAGAACCUCCAAGGCCAUCAUCAACAACACCAUAAAAAGCAACCACAUUUGGAUGGUGCAGAUCAGCAAGCUUAAUUGCCUCGUUCCAGAAGUCAUCUCUCUGAUUUGAACAUAUGGUGCAGACAGUUAGCAAGUCAUAACACAUGAACAACAUCAACAAAAUCAAAGUUUAACAGGUGCGAUGGGACAAUGAGAAAAACAAAAACAAACCAUGCGUUCUUGUUCAGAAGGUUUCCCAGCGAAACACCUAUCAUUGAUUCGUUUGAUUGCUACAUCAGUACCCCUCCACUUCCCAUGAUAAACAGUGCCAAAGGUGCCAGAACCCAAUUCCUGCAGCUCUUCAAGGUCACUGUUCUUUAUAAUCUGCUAGACAACAACCAGAGGCGUGCUUAAAAUUGACAAACACACAUAUAUAAUUACAGGAAGAAGAAAAUAGUCAACUCUUUCAACCUGCAAGCGACCACGGCCUUCCGAUACAGGAAAACCAAAAUUCACCUUAUCAGGCAGUUUGUUCUUCAUGUCCUGAGUAAAUAAAGUAAGAAAAUAUAGGGAUAAAGGAACAGUCAGAUAAAUGCACCAUAGACGGCAACAUGAAAAAAGAAAUGCCAAUUGAUAAACAUGAAUGUGCUCCCACACAAAUGCAACGAAAACAGAAUGGAUUAAGCACCUCAAGUUUAGCUUUGUGCUGCAUUUCUACACUUUCAUUUGAAUCUUCUUUUUCUUGAUUUGGUUCAUAAGCAGGUUCAUUUCUUUCUGACACGUUUUGUUCAGGAUUAGAAGUAUCUGACUGGAAAACAGAAGCAGCUACACCCUCAGCUACAGCCUUGAGUUCUUGCCUGAUGAGUUCCUCUGCUGAACCUUCAACCAUGAAACAAAAAAUGCUAAGAAACUAAAUUCUCAGUGUAAGAGAAUAUUUGAUUUUAUCCAGAUAAACACAAACAUAACAAAUAAUUAUUGGAGUUAUCCAGUUGUAAGCAUGUGUAAGAACACAAAAUAAGAAGCUUCUGACCUUUGGAUGAUUGAGCACGUUCUAAAUCCUUGUUUGAAUUGCUCAGUGGCUUGGAAACUCCAUCCUCCAACAGCACACCUGUGAUUAAGUCCACCUCACCAGAAUGGUUCUCAAUGAAAGGGUCCCUAGUAGUAAAGGCUUCUUUUUUUGUUGCAAUCUUGUUGGGUCUAGGUGGAGGAAACUGAUUAUCAUGCCUUGAUUUCCAAGGAUCCUGGCUGCUGAAGAGUGAGUUUGAAAAGUCCUGAGCAUUGCCAACUCCACCAGAUGGCGAUAGGGAAGAUGGCAUAUUACCAGUUGAUGAUAAAGCUUCCACGUCGCUGGGGACAACCUUUGAAUGCAGUUGUGAAUCAUUCUUCCAUUCAGCAAAAGGUGGGAUUCUGUCAUUUACAAAGGCAGGCUCAACACCAGAGAAUGCAGGGAUUCCAUAACUAACUUCAGCAGAAUCCAAGGCAGGAACUCCAAUCUUGGGCUGCGGGUGUGAUGCUUUAUUACCCAAAAUAGGUGGUUGUGCAACCUCAUGUAAUUCCAUUGGUUGAGAAAUAUGCAAGUAAGAAACCUCUGUAGAAGCAGGCAACAUUUCAAACUGCUUAAUAUGAUUUGAUUCAAGAACCACCUGUGGUUUGUUAAAAGUAUUAUCUAGAAGCACCUCCCUCCCAGCAAUUUUCUGGGUUUUAUGAUCCAAGAUUUCUUCCUUUUUAAAUUUAUCAACAGGUGACUUUUUCUGAUAAUUGUUAACAUUAAUUUCAGGGGGGCGUAUAUGGAGAGCUUCCAUCAUCCCAUCAACUGGUCUCAGCUGCUCACAAGAUAUGUAAGAGUCUAGAGCAUCUUCUUGGGAAACAACACCAGGAAGCUUGCCAUAGUAUUCUUUUGGAGAUUCUUGAACUAGGUGUUCAGAAGCUUGAAUAGGUACAGCAACAGCAUGAGGGGCAUCACUGUUAGCAGGUUUACUCAGUAAAACCUGUGGUUGCAUUGACACUGAAUGCUGCUGGAUACAAUCUUCCAUGCGAGACGCAGGAAUUCCACCUGCGAACAUGCCAUAAGGAGACUGUACAUCACCUGGUAAACCUAUCAUGCCAUAGGGAGCUGAAAUCUUAGGUUGACCAGAAUUGUCAGUUUUCAAGAAAGUUCUCUCAUUUUCAUGAGGUGCCUCAAGAUUCUGAGAGGACACAAUUGCUUCCGACUGCGGUGUUCCGAUAUGACUAUGAACUGCAGGUUGGGCACCAGCACCUUGUUCCAUAAUGCGUUCUCCCGAGGCACCAGUUAUCAUAACCCUGUUCAUAGGGGGGGCUUUCAUGGUAUCUUCUAAACGAAGACUAUGAUUAAGUGAGUUUGAAUAGCUCAUUCCAGAUUCUCUUGGGGCCGGUACCAAAGGAUCUGAAUGUGCAUGAGGCAGUGCUUUCUGACACAUAUAACAGUCCUCCAUUCUUGGAAUUUUCUCAGGGAAAAGUACCUGUUGAUGAGACACUGACCCAUCAGAGUAGACAACAGGCUCUGGCUGAGGAACUUGUGUCCAGCCAUAGCCUCCAACAACUGCAGGAGGAAGUUGAGCCCGAUAUGCAUUGUAGCUUGAGUCAACAGGAACCUGAACAAUCCUUGUUCCAAAUGCAUUUUCUUCAGGAUAGUGCUCCAAGCGAGUUUGUUGGGGUUGAAUCAAUGGUUGAACCACAUUUGGCCUUAUAGCCAUAUGAGAACCUGAGGGUGUCAUAGUCAUAUGCACUGCAGGAACAUAUUGAAGUGAAGUAGCACCUGCAUUACUCUCAUGAAAAUGCUGUUGGGUGAAUAUGGGCCCCGGAGUUCCAAGCACAUGAUUAUUUGGAAAACCCAUGAGGGGAGGAACAUGCCUAUAAUCUGCCUGAUUCAUAUUUUCUUGACGAGGAUCUACAUACGCCCGCGAUUGAGGUGCAUGUGGUAGAAUGCCUGACCCAACUUGCUGGAAAUCAUGGACCCUAUGCUGCGGCUGUGCAGUAACAGGAACGGACCUCUCAAAUUCAACCUCAGGCUGAGAACAUGAAGUCUGCGGAGGACCGGACUUAGCCAAUGGAAUCCCCAAUGGAACUGCAGAUACACCUGCAUAAGCUGGGGGGUUGGUAUCUGCAAAGACUAGUUUUGGAGUAGAAUCAUGAGAAGCAUCCAAAUUAUCCCCAGGGGAUAACAGGCUGGUAGAUGGUGACCAAGUCACAUCCCCUUGACCAGGACCUGAGCUCUCAACAGCCUCAGUCCCACUAAAAUCAGAGUUUUGCGUUGAAGUUACACUCGCCAUACUCCCCUUCCUAGUGAUACGACCACCGCCAUCCACAACCCCAUUUACUGCAUCAAAAUAUCUCUGCCCGCUAUCAUGUAAAUCUCCAAAUUGGACUGAACCAGAAGCAUCGAGCUGUGAAUCCGAAAACAAAAACACCCUUAACUUAGCUGACCCAUCUGAAGACCUCUCAAGCAACUUCUCAUAUUCCUCCAUCAUAUUAUCAAGAUCAUCAGCACAUGAAACAGACACCAAUGCAUCAAGGUCCUCAUCAGGAAGCUGGUAUUUAAUAACAACAGGCUGCUGAUAUGUAUCCAUCAUCUUCCGCUGCAGCUCAUUAAUGCUCACAUCUCUCCUCACACUAAUAAUCCUUGUUUGCCCUCCAGCAUAUCUCAACGUACCAUCACUUGGUCUUGGCAAAAUCUUCCCCCCAAAACUACACAAAAACUUCACUUUCUUCCCCGACACUGAAUCAUCCCCACCAUCUUCACUCCCAUGGUCAGCCCCACCACUAGCGUGACUCCCCAAAUUGGUAUUACAACCCAGCCCCGUAUUUACUGCCUCAAUGCUCCCAUUAACAUUAACCCGAUUCCCAAAAUUGGGUGAAGAACCAGAUCCCAACACCAUAUCAUUUCCGGCACGAUCAACAGCAUUACCAACUAUCCUGUUCCCCAAAUUAGGAUUAUAACCAAACGGAACACCAGAACCAUUUGCACCCACGUUCAUACUCCCAACCGACACGGGAACCGGCAUGAGUGGGGCCCACGGGGCAGCCCCGGAAUAAGCAUUCCCAUAUCCUAAACCUACAAAACCAGCAUCAGACACCGAUGCCGGAUAGAUAACAGGAAUAGAACCUUCUGGGCUGGCAAAAAACUCAUGUUUUCUACCAGCUGUUACUGGUGUAGUGACAGAACUACUAGUAGCACUAGCAAUAGCAGCCACAAUGCGGGGCUCUUCAGGUAUGGUUCUAGCUAUGUUUAAUGGCCUUGUAUCUUUUGGUGUUGGGGUCUGAUCAAAAGCCAUAAAUAAACUUAAAAUUGAAGAGAUAAAAAAUCAAUCUUUAUUCACAAACUUAGGGUUUCCCAAAUGGGUUUUCCUCUACACAUUCACUACUCUCAUAAACCCUCACAAGAUUUUGCAAAGACAGGGACAGACAUAAAUAACCCAAAGACAGAGUCAAACAAAGAGAAAGAGAGAGACCAAGUUACCAGAUUUGAACGGUGACUACCAAGGAUAGAUAAGAAUAAGAAAAGAUGACACAUAUAACAGCAGCUGAGUCGGUGCAGCAGCAGCAGCUGAGUCGGUGCAGCAGCAGCAGCAGAAUUUGAAAAGAGCUUAGCCAAAUUCAGGGCUUUGUUUGGAAGAGGGUGAAUCGUAUUAUUUUAUUUCUCUGUGUUUUGUUCUGUGCAAUCGGUAAUGGGACUGGUCGUUUUGGUUUUGAUCUUGUUGUGUUUUCUUUAUUAUGACUUAGGUUUUAAGGAAGGAAGGAGAGGGAGAGAGGGAUUUCGGCAACGAGGCACGUGGACCGUUUCAUGCAGGUUGAGUUAGAGGUCAAAUGUAUGUGUUCUGUACGUUUGUUUGCUUGCCUUUUUGAGUGGGAAAUUGGAAAGUGACGAGAUUGAGUGAGAGAGACUUGAGAGAGAGAGAGAGAGAGAUUCAAGGGAAGGUGCGGGAUGGCAGGAUCUACCUAUAUUCUACUAAAAAAAAAUUAAAAAAUAAAUUCACAUCUAUAAAAUAUAAAAUAAAAGAAAAGAAAACAUAUAUAUUUAUUGUUGAGUCAAUCUAUUAAAACUGGUUUAAGUGUGUGUUUUGGUUAAUCAAACUAAUGAAGUGUUGUUGUUAAUCAAACUAAUGUCCGUAUUAUUUUAUUUGAAAAAGAAAUUAAUGUCAUUUUAUAAUUAAUAAAAAUAAAAUAAAAUUUGCUUGCAAACCAAACUAAAUUAAAUCGAGUUGAUGGGCGUUUCAUUCACGAAUAUUUUGAGUGUAGCGAGAGAGAAAAUUAUGGUAUUUCACGGCUUUGUACUUAGAAUAAAAAAACAAACUAGAUAGGUACCUUCACUUCCGCACGUCUUUUAUAAUUAUUAUCAUUUAUAGAUAAUGCAUGUAGAAAAAUAAAUAAAUUAUAUAUAUAUAUAUAUAUAUAUAUAUAUAUAUAUAUAUAUUAUUGUAAUUCACUGCGUACUUUCUUGAUUUGUCUAUUCAAAGGUUGGUGGUGUUUCGCAUCAUUUUUUCUAUUUUAUAUUGGUUUUUAAAAAAACUUUUUCUACAAAGAAAAAAAUAUUUAUUAAUAUUCAAUUGUCAUGUAAAAAAUAAAUUGAAAAACAAUAUGGUUUGACCCGUUUACCAUGGCUGCGUAAAUUAAAAAACGGAGUAAUGAAUAUUGAUCAUAAAUGGUUAAUUUGGGCCCACUUCUUAGUUUAUCUAUACCUGACUUUCAACUCCUCAUGACCAUUUAUCUCAUUCCACGCUACAUUACAGAUCGAUUUAUUUUUUACAAUAUAAAAAAUAUGCUAGGAUGGUAUAAAUAUUUUUUUAAAAAAAAAGUAAAACAAGAACGAGACUCCAGACACUAUCUCAAUUAGAUUUAAUAAACUCUGCUAGAUUAAAAUUAUAUUUAAUAAUUCUGAUUAAUUUAAUAAUAUGAAUAAAAAUACAACAAUAAAAAAUAAAAUAAUUAAAAAAUAAUAAUUAAAAAGUUUAAAAAGACCCAACCCAGGCCCGUUCAGGUUUGCACGUCAAAUAUACGACUUAAAUUACUAAACAACCAAAUAUUGGAUGAAACUAAAAAAAAUAAUUAUUUUUAAAAAACCAACGAAACAAAAUUUGAGUCAAAUAAUGUUUACCUGUUAACCCCGCGAUCAUGAGUAUAAAAUUAGAAAAACCCCAUAAUAAAAGCACGAAGAUCAAUUCUCAAUUAAGUAAAUAUUAAACAAUGAAAUUGAAAUAAUUUUUUUUUAAAAAAUCAAAUGCUAGAGAAAAAAUCAAAUGAUAAUGCAAUAAACUCAUAGAAAGUAAAAUAGAAAAGAUUUAAAGUUCGAUUUAUAGUAAACAAAAUAUUAAAGGAUAAAAUCAAAGAAAAAUUAAUCCAAAAAAGGUCAAAAAACCCUAACCUAAGUCCACCCGGGUCAGCAUGAAAAACCUGUGACCUAGUUGUGAUAUUGGGGUAAUCCUAUCAAAAAUAAAUUGAAUAAACUUUAAAGUUUAAUUAUCAAACAAUUUAAUAUUAAAGAGUAAGAUAACUCGGGUUCUUUUUAAAAUUAUUGAAAAAUCUAAUGGAAAGAAAAUUUAAAAAACAACAGGGUCCAAAUUCCAAUUAAAUAGGUAUUGAAUAAUGAAACUAAAAAAAACAAAAGCUUAAAAAAAAUCAAAAAAAUUUAGAUAAAAUUCUUAAAUCUGAGUUAAUUUCUCAAAUUUUCAACCAGAUGUAACCCAUUUUUUUUAUUUUAUUCAGUAAAAAAAAUAUUAUUAAAAAUCACGUCCACAACAAUUAAAGCAUGAAAAUUAAAAAUAUAAAUUUAUAAAUCAUUACAUCAUACGAUAAUAAAACAUAAAAAGAAUCAAAAUGAUAAUCUACACAUGAAAUGAUAUACAUGCAUUAAUAAAAAAAUCUGAAUCGGGUCCAAGUCGAUGAUGGAAAUCACUCUCAUUCCAUCCCAACCUUAACAAAACCAAAUUUGAUUUUACCAUAUAUGAUUUGACGUUAGUCAAAUCAAGUUAAAACUCAACCUAACUAAAUUAAAUUAAUUUUUAUAGACUGAAAUUACUAUUUUUAAUACAAGUUAAACUCAAAAUUGUUCGUAUAAUAUAUUGAUUUGAUAUUUAUAUUCUGUAUAUUUCUUUUGAUUUGUUAUAUUCCUUAAUGAUAUUUUUUUGGCUUAUUAUGUCUCUUGAGUUAAAUAGUUAUUAAAUCAUAAUUAGUUGCAAGCACAUGAAAUAUUUUUUAUAUGACAAGUGUAUAAGAAAAUUAUUUUUUAGUGAAAAUUCUCUUCAACAAAAGAACAACAAAAAUGAAAAAAAUAUAUAAUAUUAAGAAAAAAAACACUUAAAAGUGAUUUUUAAUGGAAAAUAUAUUAAAAUAAUAUUUUUUUUACAUUGGCACAUCAAAAUUAUAAAAAACACCUAAAAACCAUUAAUUUAAUGUUUAUUAUUUUUAGGUAAAAAAUAAUUUAAAAAACAUAUUGAAAAGUGGAUUGAACCACAUUACCAAAUAGAGAUUUGAUUAAAUAGUUCUUUUUUCAUCUUAGAUGCAAACUGAUUAUUUUGAAUGUGCCUGUUAGGGGUUUUGGCCUUUUGGAAGGGAAAGUUGUUUGUCGAGUUUUCUUAAAGAUGACUACGAGCGUGUUUGACAGUGUGGUUGCGAGUACUUUUCAAAUAACUUUUCGUGCCAAAAUGCAUGUCAAUGAUGUUUUUUUCAUUUUUAAAAAAUCAUUUUUGACAUCAGCACAUCAAAACAAUCCAAAACAUACAAAUCAUAUUAAAUUUUAGCAAAAAAAAAAAAAUUCAAUUUUUUUGGGAACGCAGCCGCGUUCCCAAACGUUCCCUACAUCGGUUGCUUGCUAAGAUGAGUGAAAGAGAAACUAAGUGCAUGUUUAGAAGUGCAAUAGCUUCUCUUUUUAAAUGCUUUUCAAAAUUGUUUUUUUUAAUAAGUUAAAAUGAUUUUUUUUUGAAUUUUUUAUUUUUAACAAUAACAUAAAAAACUAUUAAAAAACACUAAAAAAACUUUAGUGACAGUUUUAAAAUAAACUCAAACACAAUUUCAAUUGUGAUGUCAAACGAUCAUUAAAGUUGGUGGUGUGAUGUCGCAAUGACUGAGAUAAAAGAAGGAUUGAUGGUGGUGACUGCUACUUUAGUGGCCAUGGUCAAGGCAACAAUGUGUGUGAGAAGGUGAGGAAUGGAGUUGUGAUUGAAUUCGUGUGUGUUUAUUAUUAUAGUGCAAAGUGUUAUUUACUUGAAAAUGGUUUUUUUAUGUUUUUUUUUAAUUUUCAUUAUUAACACAUUAAAACCAAAAAAAAAAUACUAAGAAAGCAUCAAUUUGAUGCUUUUUUAAAAAGUAAAAUUCAUUUUUAAAACGCAUAAGAAAAGACAAAAAACUAUCUCAUUCUCAAACACUCCUGAAGAAGAAGAAAAGGUUGUGACAAUGGUUGUGGGCUGUUUUGGAUAGCUUAAACAAUGUGGAGAGACAUUAAGAGUUUUUACUUUUUUUCAUCAUUUUUUUUUGAAGAAAUUCAUAUAAAAAUAAUUUUUUUUAUUUUGUUUGUGAUGUUAUAAUUUUAUUUUUAAUAUAAUACGUGCAUUUAUUUUUGUUCUUCCCCUCCCCUCCCAAGAGGUUCAAUUAAUGAAAGUCAUAGACUAACAAAAUUGCUCUCUAUUUCAUUAAUUAUAAGUAAAUCUAAAAGGUUUGGGGAAGCUAACGUGCAUAUAAUACAUUGUGGAUUCUUUUAUAUGGACUAUUUACAAUGCCUUUUUUUAUCUUUUUUUUUAUUUAGAUCUUAUUGGACUAAAUUGUAGGUCAAUUAAGGCUAAUUUAUCAGGGAAAUAAGAGAUUGAAAGUCAGGGGACUAAAAUGAAAAAAAAGAUGAAAUGAAUGAUUUUUUAGAAUUUUAGGGUGAAAAAUCUAUUUUUCACUCAAAAACAAAACCAAUAAAAGAUAUUUUUUUUUAAUUCUUUUUUGAUAUUAUUGUUUUUUCAAUUUCAUUAUUUGACAACUGAUUUAUUGAAAUUUAGACUUUGUGGUUUUUCCAAGUUCAAUGUUUUUUAUUAGAUGACUUGCGUCACAAGUUUUAUAAGCUAACACAGGUUUACAUUGUUCUUUUUUGUUUUUUUAUCUCAAUACUCAGCAUUUUUUUAAAAAUAGAAUUCAUGGUUUAAUUUGUUUAUUUUUUUAUAGGGUUAUCCCGAUCUCAUAACCUGACUUAUGUGUUUAGCGGGUUAACCCGAGUGGACUCACUCUUUUUUUAAUUAUUAUUUUUUGUUCUUUUUAUCCGUUAAUCUUAUUGAUUUUUUUUAAAAGAAAUUUAUUAUUCAAUAUUUGAUUUGUUGAGAAUUUACCUUCAUGAUUUUUUCUUAUGUGGUGCUUCUGAUCAAAUAUCGUGGUACAAAGAUUGACAUCAAUUUUUUUUUUUUACUUAUUUUUUCAUUCAACAUUGAUUUUUUAAGAAUUGCAUCAAAUGAUUUUUUUUGUUUUACUUUCUGUCGUGUUAUCUGGAUCUCAUUACUUGAUCCGUAGAUUUAACGGGUUGACUCGAUUGGCUCAGACUUUUUUUUGGCUUAUAAUUACUUUUUUUUAACCAUUAUGUAUGUUUUAUUUUUUUUUUAAUUUUAUCUUUCAACAUUUGAUAGUUAAAUAUUAGACUUCAAGGUUUUUUCAAAUUUGUUGCUUCUAGUCAAAUGAUCAGCGUCACAGGCUUAACAGAUUAACACGAGUUGAUAAUUUUUUUAGCUUAUUUUUUUUUUUAUCAUUCAACUUUAGUUUUUUUAUUAAAUAUUGGUUUUUCCCCUUCUUUAAAAAGCAAUUGCGUAGCGUAGCCUAAACAUAAUUGUUUUUCUUAAUUUUCUUUUCCAACAUGUGGUAUGUUCAUGUGGUAGAACAUGGGUCACACACCUAAUUCAAUUCUAUUCCUAAACAAAUUUAGAUCCCAUAAUUCACAAUAAUUUUAUUUAAUCAAUUAUACUUAGUAGUUUUCAACAUCAAGCAAUACUAAGCUCGAAAUAAUCCCUUAAAAUAUAUAGAAAAAAUGCCAUUUUUAAUUAACAAGUGAUCAUAAUGGAGUAGGCAUAUAUUAGGAGUCACAUCUAGUUACAAUUUUGUGACUGAAGAGACAAAAACAAAUUAAAGGAGACAAAUGAGAUAUCUCUCAGUGCUUUUUAUUUAAAAAAUACAGAAAUUUAUUACAAAAUUUUUAUGUAGACAAAUUUAUUACAUGGCUUCAAUGCUCUUAUUUAAAAAAUAUAAAAAUUCACUACAAAAUUAUAAACAAAUUUAUUUUAUAUCUUCAUCUUUAUAUACGUUUUUAUUUUUUCUUUCUUGAAACAUUAACAAAACACACCUUUAUGAGUUUUCUUAUAACGUUAUAUUAUUAUAUAGUGAAUCGCUUACAUUUAAUAACUAAUUUUUUUUAAGAACAUGAUUUCAUUAGAGAGAAUCUCUCGAUAGAAUUAAUAUUAAUUUUAAAAAAUAACAAUACUCCCUGCGACUCGGAGAUUUUCCUGAUGAUGUUGCAACUAGAAGAUUUUGGGAAAAAUAAUGAAAUUAGUGUUGUGUUGUGCAAUGGAAAGCCAUGAAUGAAUGAUAAAGUAUGUAUGUAAUAUGCAUAGGUGCAUGGUGGUUAGCAGGAACAAUUUUGUAUUCAGUUUGUUCGUGCUACUUUGUUGAAAAUUAUUAAAUUAUAUUUUCUCUAUUUAAUUUGUUUGUUUAAUUACUUUUGAUCUUCCUAAUGGAUUACAAGUCAAGAGUAGGUAAAACCAGGGAGACAAACAGCAAAUAAAUUUAAGGUCUUUUCAGAAUCCUUUACAGAAACAUCCAACAAUGGAGGACAAGCUAAGGAUCUCAAUUUUAGUUGGUGCAAAUUGGAAGAUAAUCAUAAAGUGCAAGAAUUCCUGACUUUCUUGGUGAGGCAGUGUCGAAUGCGCGUGAAUCUUUGAAAAAACAAUAGGGAUAAAGUGGAAAAGGAAAAAUCAAACUGAAGUAGACCUGACGUAUGAUUUUUUUUUAAUGAUCCAAAGAACAUUAAAGUUUGGUUAAUUAAAUUAAUUAAAGUGAAAAAUGAAAUGGGAUAUUCUCUCUUUCAGUAAACUGCUGUUUGUUUCCUCCACCACAAGAAACUUCGUUUCCCUACUGGUCAAAUCUGUUCAAUAUUUUGUUUCAAUAUAGUAUUAUUAUCUCUAGAUAAGUUUUCGGACUCCAUUAUCACCUUUAUCCUUUAUAUAUAUAUAUAUAUAUAUAUAUAUAUAUAUAUAUAUAUAUAUAUAUAAAGUUUUCGUAGUUUGGAUUUUGUGAUCGCAAAAUAUAUCCCUUCCUUGAGUAAAAAAAUAGUAACCCUCUUGGAUUUAUCACUGUUUUCUCCUGGUAAAACCUUAAUUUAUUCGCUUUAGAUAUGGGGAAAGUACUGUUGAUCUUCAUUAGCAGGAUUAAAAUUAUGUCAUGAGAUUAAAAUCUUACUAACAAUCCAGGAUUAAUUAAUAGAGGACAUAAAACAAAUUGAUAUAUACUAUAAUAUUUAAUAAUCUAAAAUCAAGAAGGAAUGCAUGCUGGAAGUUUACUACGAAAAAGAUUUUCCAACCACCAAAAUCUUGCAGACCCAUGCCGUGGACCAGAAGGUGAGCCUAUUAUGUGGGGUACGUGGUGUUCCCUAAAUCCAUAAAUGAUGUGGAAUUCUAACGUACGUGUUUAUCAUUUCUUCAGGUUGCUGCACGUCGGCUCUCCGGGAUGGUGUGGUGCACUUCUCUGGAUGGAGCUAUGGAAAUCCACCACUCCAUGCAGGGUUAAAUUUCAACGGGAUUAUACUCCAGCAUCCAUAGGCAUAUAUCCUUGCAAGAAAAUGCUCUAAUAUGAUCAUUAAUACUGGAAUAGCACUGGCCACUCCUGCAGUACUGGACCAUCAAAUAGUAUGGCGAGCGUUAAUUAGCUUUGCUAAAGGCACAACAACGACGGAAUACACGACGGUACUGUCACCAAAUACAUCAGCUAGCGACUCCACGUACACCGACAAGUAUAUAUGAUAGUAACAAUUACCCUAUGGCAAGAUGUGUCACUGUGGACUCCUAGCUACGAUAUCAGCAACGGUGUUGUUUUCAAUUUACGCAAUUCAUUGAUAGAAAUCACUGGAAAAUUCUCUCAUUCGUUAUGAAGCUAUGGGAAUCUUUCAGUAGAUUCAUUAAUUAGAUAAGGAAAAAAAACCUUUUUGACUCCCAGAAUUUGAUAAACGUAACCGAUCAGUGAAGGCAUCUAAUAUUUCCCAAUUUCCAUGCCCUUGUGGGGUCUCUGGCACGUUAGCCUGGCUACCAGUAUCGCAGUCAACACAAAGGAUAUUGUCAUGCAGAGACUUGGGGUUGGGGGUAGGGAAAAUCCCUUGCUUUUGCUUCCUACCAUACCUUGUGGGCUGUUUGAACUUUUGAACGUUUUGAUUUCUUGAUUUGGUCUCGCAAGUGGAUAAAUCGGGACCCUGAAAUCAUGGAAUUCAGUGGUAAUUAAGAUCCGUGACCAAGUCAAUGGACGGCAUAAAAUUUUGGAUAAAAGAGCUAUAUCCUAAUGGCAGAAUCUAGCCACAGCAAAAGAUAGCAAGUACUAUAUAAAAAGAACACCAAUUAUGGCAUUUUAACAUGAUCACCAUAGUUGGAAAGAUAUGAUAAUCAACACUUAUUGAGCAACUUUUGUAGUACGCAGCAUGUGUAGUGUUUCCAGAAUCUAUAGCAAUGAUGAUUCAUGGGAUAAAGGUUUACGCGUUUUAUGCUUCCACUUUGCAAAAUUAUUUAUGAUCACGGGAUUGAUCUGAUAUCGACCUAUGAUGCAACUAUUGAAUCAUUUCAUAUCUUCUUUGCCACUAUCCUUUUGGUUUUGUAGUUUUCCGGUGUAGUGAUCCCAGCUAAGUUUUACAGCAAAUCAAGUAAAAAUUAAUAUAAUUAAGUUUAGUUAAUUUCACAAGUUAAUUCAAUUAAUUCAAUCAAAAUUUAAAAGAAAUAUGGGUUUGAUUUCCUAGUUUUUUUAAAAAAAAUUUAUUAGAAAAAUAUUAAAAUAACUAAAUUUAAAUUUACUUGAAUCAAUUUAGAUUAAUCUAUUUAAUUUAUAACCCGAAUCUUAAUCCAAUAAGAGCCAGAGCAAGAUUUAAUAAACAUACCACUUCCUUAACAAUUGAUUGUUGGAUCUUAUAGCAAUAUUUUCGUCUGUAACCAAAGAAAGAAAUAUCUUUCUUAAUAGUUUUUAAUUUACGAUCAAAACUGUCAAACAUCCAUUAUUGAAAUAAAAAAAUGUCAUCACUGUGCAAAAACAAAUAAUUAUUUUUCUAUUUUUGUUGGUGAUCAUGUAUAUAUAGUGGCAACAAACUAGCUAGCACGCUGUGUUUUAUGUGAAUUUUUUUUUCUACUAUGAAGGAACCCCAUGGCCAUGGACGUCCAAGUGGCAUCUCAACAUUUGUAAGGAAAGAGGUGUCGGCCUCAUGGCUACCAAAAGCAGUUCCAAAUGGACGGCAUGGCCAUGGUCCGUAAGGCCUCUCACCAUUUGUAAGGAAAGAGCUGUCUGUGUCUCUCUCUUUAUGACACUGUCAAAAUCCUGUAAUGUUGUCACGAAAUGACUGCUUUCUAACGACUAGGACCUCUCCAUUUUGUCUUGUCUCAGGAACAUUUCUGCGUUUAUAACGAGGAAGUUGGCCAUCAGAUCUCUCCUUUUGCCAACCAGAACCUGAAAGGAUUCUGUAUAUUCUAAAUUAAAGACAAAUUUCAUAUUCGAUUCUGGUGUUUGUAAUAAUAUGCUAAGCAUUGAAAAGUAAAGAUUCUCACAUUUUCUUUCAUUAUAUCUCAUAUUACUUGAUGAAAUUAAACAGAAAAAAAGGGGUGUAAAGUUUGAAAAAUCAAUGAUUCAUGGAAAAGCUUCUCCAUGUUAGACCCAUCAGGCCUAAAUCUCUUCAGUAGGGCUUAGUUGUGGCUGAAAAAUGUAUAUACCUAAAGUUUUGGGUUAACUUUUCUCUUCGAGCCCAAUAAGCUUGAAAAAUGAUGGCCCAAAUACAUCAUUAACAGAAGUAAACUCAAGAGUCCAUCAUCCCUAGAAGCAAGGCUAAAAUGGCAAAGGAUUUAGGGCUUUAGUUAGAGUUGAUUUGAAUGUUUUAUACUUUUAGUUAUAAAUAUAUUAAAAUAAUAUAUUUUUUAAUUUUUAAAAUUUAUUUUUAACAUCAAAACUAUAUAAAAAUAUAAAAUUUUUGUUUUUAAAAAAUACUUUACAUCACAAAAACAAAUGAGAUGCCUUAAUGGUGUUUUAGACUUUCUACUAAUUUUUUUUUUUUUUUUUUAUCAUAGAGUUCUGCCACGUAAAAGAAGAAAAGAACUUGCAACUUUCAAUAUUGACAGCAAUCCUGUUGACGACUAGCAAGUUCCUUUCUUCUUUUGUUUUUUUGGCAAGGCAACUCAGUGAGUUGCAUAAGAAAUCUCGAAGGUCAUAUGAGAUUUCCUGCCAUACUAUGGGCCACCCAAUCUUCCGUAUUACAUGGUUUGUGGUUCAAAUGGGAGUCUGCAAAAAAAUUAAUUUUUUUUACUUAAAAUUAUUAUUAUUUUUAAAUAAUUUUGAUGUAUUGAUGUUAAAAAUAAAUUUUAAAAAAUAAAAAAAUAUUAUUUUAAUAUAUUUCUAAAAAAACAUUUUAAAAAUAACCCUAUCAUACUUCUAAUCUUUAUAAUAAUGUUUUCAAAAUCAAUUGUUUCGGAUCUGGGUUGUUUUGAAUUUUGAUUGUGGUGAGGCAUGAAAUUUGGAUUCUUAUACAAAACCUGCUAGAGUCUACCUUGCCCAAACCCUCUCCGCAUCCCAAGUCGCCUACUAUUGGUAUACCAAUUAUGCUGAUACACUGAUCAAGAAACUAUGACAGUGCAAAAAAUAAUCAAUGAAUGACAGUUAUGUAUGCUUGCAACUCAAUCAUUUCUUCUUCCUCUGCUCUCCAGUACGAGCCAUCUCCUGCAAAACCGAGUUGCAGAAAUGUUCAUCUUCUUUUUUGAAAAAGAAAACUCCCAUAAAUGUUAUCACAAAGGAUUGAUAUGGUAAAACAGUAAGCGACUUGCCAUGCGUCCUCUCUUGAUGAACUAGUUGUGUAUUUCUUUUUCAGUGGAUUGGCCACUCACCCCUUCUUAGUGGAUUGAUAGCCUAUCGAUCCUCCUGAAUCGGUCGUCCAUCCCUCUUCUACGGGUUGACCAUGUGUUCCUCUCAGUGGACCAGCCAUGUGUCUCUCCUCCAUGGAUUAACCAUGCAUCCCCUGAACUGGUCGUUUAUCCCUCCGACGAACUUAUGAUGUGUCUCUUCUCAAUAACCAAUCGUGCAUCCCCUCUCAUCGGACUAAUCAUGCGUUCCUCGUCAAGUCUUGUACUCUUGAUCAGGGAUGGACGAGCAGCACACCCCUACUAGAUAUGGACAGCAUAUAUUAAACAUAUCUGUUCUUGAGUCACCAACGUGCCAAGGAGACAAAUAAUGUUUGCCAUGAACAUCAUCUUGUGUCCAGUACACUGUCAUCCUCUAAAUUUGACCAUACAGUCACUUCUUACAAAAAGCAAAGCCCGUACCUUGAAGAUUAGCUUUACAGUAGUUCCAUUUAUCUUACGGGAUCGUGUUCUUUAGUUUAAAAUUGCAUACCUUACGCAAAUCAUCACCUUUUCACUUAAUCUACAACGAACUGAUCACAAGACUAAAAAAAUUAAUGAUCUUGAGUCUCGAGGUUAUGGGCCUCCCUUGAUCUCCCAAUCUCAUUCUUUUUGUACUUCUUCCACCACCUUUUUUCUCAAGCUUUGCUCUUCAUAUAUCUCUUAAAUCUUUUUUUCCUCCAUCAUCAAUGCCAGCUUAAACAAUGGAGGAUCUCUUAUCAUUUCAAGGAAUUUUCCUUUGUUUCGCAAGUCUUUCUUUGUAUAAAAGCUCCAAUUUUUCUGCGGUUCUAGUCUACAAGCACUCACAAUGGAGGUUUUUAUACAACCUCAUCAUACUAUUUUCAGAACUGGAUCAUUAUAACUUGACCUUAACUUUAACCCGCCAGGUUCGAAUUAUAGGUAUAAGAGUUUUUUUUUUCCUCGCAAGAGAAAAAAUUCAACUAUUAUUAUAGAUUUACAUACAUGUCUAUGAAUUAUAAAUAUAAUAAGAAAGCUAAAACAGAAGGGAAAAAUAUUGUGGCUAUAGGUUCGGUUUACUAUUCAUCGCUUGUAAUUAUAUUUUUAUCUUUCUAAAAAAAAUCAAUGAACUUGUCUCUUAAAAAUAAUUUGAUCUUUGCAUAUAAUUUAUUAAUUAUUAUAAAAUUAUCUAAAGAUAACUGGAUCUUUUUAUAUUUUUUUACGCAGUUAAAUUAUGAAUUUAUGUGGAAACCAUACAAACAGUUCGUCGACUUGAAUCAAUAAACUAACAUUGCAUCUGGUGAAAUGAAACUCAUAAAAUAGCUUCAUUUACUCCAAAAAAGUUUAUAUCAUCUUCAUUAAAAAACGAAAGAAAAAGGGACAAAUUACUCCUCUUGGGAUUAAUUCCGUCAUGGGUAUGAAAAAUUUAUAUAUGAGUUUACAUUGAAUAUUUCUACUUCACAAUUUGAGACGAAACCCCCCCUCAACUCCACUAUAACUAGGCAUUAAUCGCUCAUUUUUUAUUUAAUUUAAUUUAUUUUUUUUGCCUUGAGAAGCAUAUAUUGCCUCAAAUUGAACGAAAUAAAAUAACAGGAAAGGGUUAAAAAUCAAACCAACCUUAAUUUGAAUAGCCUGUCAAAAUACAUUCAUCUACCCGUAGAUAUAUAUAUCAAUAUCUCUAGUUGGUGAAGGAGGCAGCCUUGAAGAAAAAUCCAUCAAACGAGAAUCACAACUACGAGUACCAUCAUCAUUUCCUUUACCUUCAUCAAAAUUCAAGGCAUAACUCGUAGCAUCAUAGUGAAAAUUCGCUGACAUAGUAUGACGUCUCCUAUGCCCACGACCAUGUCUAUGUCCAUGCUUCCCUAUACACGACAAAUAACUCGUCUUAUUACCCCUAAUAUCCCCAUGGGAUUCAGCAUUCAUCGCCUCUUGCACCGCAUAACGAUCAUGCUUCUGAUGAAUAUGUUUCUCCGAGUUAUUAAAUGUGACAUGAUGAUGGUGGUGGUGAUUGUGUUUUUGGAAGGAACAUAAUGUAGAUUUCAGCUUGUGUUUCAGAGAUGAAGAGGACGGAGAAUUAGGUUCGCUUAUUGAUGCCAUUAUGCUUUUGUGUGAGAGAAAGAUAGGAGAGGAAUAUAAAUCUUUUUUGCUUUUUUUUAGUAUUUAUAAGUGCUAUUGGUGCGGGGAGGUGGGAGCUAUCUAUAUUGAGAUUUGGAGGUUGAGGGGAAAUGUGAGAUCGUGAAGAAAUGAGGCUCUCUAGUGGUUGUUGUUGCCUGAUUUGGGGAGAUAUGGAGGAUUUUAUUUUAUUCUUCUUCUUUUUUUGCUCGAUGGGUUCAAAGUGCAUAUAGUAAACAAUUCAUUACCUAUACUUUGCAAAGUCUCCUUUUAAACCCCUAUAGAUUUAAACUCUUCGUUUUGAAUUUCUGUACAUUUAAGUAAUUAAUAGAUCACUUUUCAAGAGUGGAGUGACCUCAAAUAAAAUUAAAAAUAUGCUAAAAAAUAAUAUAAAUUAUAUUUUAGAAAUUAUAUUUUGAAGUCACAUCUAAAAAUUUAAGUUAUUUGAUUGAAUUCGUUAUUUAAUAUGGUAUCAUAUCUUUGUCGAUCAAGUAGUCAUGAUUUCGAAUCCCAUAAUUUUUAUUUUAUUUGAUAAAAAUUAAACAUAAAAUAAUGUAAGCUUAUGUAAAUUUCAAGCUCGAAGAAUUUUUAUUUGAAAAUGUAUGCUAGAGAAUAAUAUAAAACUAUUAUCGGGAUCUCAAAAAAACUAGAUGUAACUAGAUAUAACUCCUCUCUGUUUUUAUCACAAAAUUAAAGGCAUAUGAUAGAGCUUUUUAAAAAAAAAAAUUAAAAACCUUUUUUCCAAAUUGAUUAAUACAGUAAUAAAAAAAUAAAAAUGUAUUUUAUAUUUUAAGGGCCGCAUAGCAUGCAAAAUUACUGAGCUGAAGGGAUAUCAUGCAGGAGGAGUACAUAAUCUUUAUUUUAUCCCUCCAGUUUCUCUUAUGUUAUAUUUUGUAUCGGUAAACUACAAUAUAUAUAUAUAUAUAUAUAUAUAUAUAUAUAUAUUUUUUUUUUUAUCUCUGAGAGAAAGAAACCACAAGAAUGUGUUUUACUGCUGAAUUCGUUAAGAAUUCUAUAAUCUAAUUAUAUUUUAGGAGAACCUAAAUUAAUUUCCCUAACAUAAUCUAAAAAUAAUUUAAUUAACUUUGAUGGUAAUUAUUAAUGGAAAUAAAAAUAAAAAAGUUACUACUUCAAAUCCAAUACUAUCCCAUGAUUUGUUUUUUCUUUUUGAUGAUAAUUCUACUCAAUUUCAUUACAUCCUUUUGCUUUUAUUUCAUUAUAAAUUCCAUAUUUUCCAUUCAGCAGUUCACUCUGCUUAACUAAAUUAUAAUUUGCAAGUUACAUUUUCCUCUCACAAUUUCGCCCUAAUUAUUUAUAAUAAAUAAAAUCCGAUACCAAGCUUAUGUUUAUCUGAAAUAUUCUCCAAACUUACUAAAAAGGAAUAAUAUUUCCAACUUCAAAAAUCAUAAUCAAUUAAAAUAUUUAUUACGAAUAAUAAAUAUUCCACAACUUGCUCAUUCAAGAUUGAAUAUAUUUCCCAAAUAGAAUCCACUUUAUUAAGGUCAAAUUAGAUAAGAACCACCAAUACUAUAUUGUUCUGAGUAUUAAUGAGUUUUUUUUAAUUGGUUUUUUUAAAAAUAUAUUAAAAUAAUAUUUUUAUUUUAUUUUUUUAACUAAAAACAAACAGUGCCGAAGGUUAAAUCAAGUCUCGUCAGUUUUGUCCCUCACAAUUCACGAAGACACAUUGUUGUCUUCCUACGUGGGUUCUUGGGCCCCCAUUUCUAUACCCAAAAAAUCUAACAUAUUUUGACGAAAGAUGAGCCGGUCGGUAUCGCUAGCUGCCAAGUCUUGGAUGGCACCCAGCCUCUAUGAAUCAUGGCAGUCGUGACGACUAGUUCCUCACGAUUAUCAUUUAUGAAUUAAAUAAACCAUAUGUUUUAUCAAUUGGAUCUUAUAUUUUCAUCUGGGAAGUUUCAUUCACAGUAGGAAUUUAAAGCCAAUUACAAAUGCAACACUGUGGAAUACAAAAAUGGCAAAAUUGACAUUUUACAUUUCACUUUGAGGACUAAAUGCAAAAUAUCAAAAAUUAUGGAGCUUCGGUUGUCCCUUUUACCACUGAUUUCAGUUUGUCUCAGAGCAGUAAAAAGAACAAAGAAAAAAAUUGAAAUCUCAUUGCAUGGGAAUUUUUUUUUUAAAAAAAAUACAUUGUUAAGGUCUCUUCAUAUUUCAACAAGGUUACUUAGAUUAGAUUGUAGGUUUGACACGAUGAAUACUCGGGCUUGACAAUGUCAACUAUCUAGGUAAUUUAAAAGCAAACAUUGCUUGGGCCAACCCUUGGGUCACCAGAGCAUUAACUCAAUCUAUUUGAUCGGGUUUGAUAAUUAUGCCAACCUUAUUUUCAUAAAAACAGAAAUCCAAGCUUUUUUUUUUUGCCCCAAAUACCCUAUUUUCAUAAUUAGUAAAUAGAUAUGACUUAUGAAAUCAUUGUUAAGGCUACGUUGUGGGUCGAAUUAAUUUUUUUCAAUGUCAAAAAAUAUUUAGGUGUUGUUAAUGUGUUUGUAGCAAAAAAAAAAUUAAACUAUAUUGGAAUUGACUUGAUGUGACAUGAUCAACUUGGCAAAUACAAAGACAACCUGAAUGACAGAUAAAAAUAUAGUUUGACUAAAAAAAUCAAGACAAUAUCUUUUUUAAAAUAUUGAAGCGACAAUAUAUUAAAUUAACUCGGGUUAACCAGUUAAAUCGAUUACCCAGGUCAUAAGACCCUAAUAACCUUAUAGAAAGCAAAUUAAAAAAAAAUCAUUAAACCCAAAUCCCAAUCAACCCAAUGUUAAAGGAUGAAAUUGUAAAUAAAAUUUAAUUAAAAAACGAGAUGAUUCAACUCGGGUUAACCCGUCAAACUUGGAUCAUGAGACAAGAAUAACCUCAUAGAAAUUAAAUUGAAACAAAUUAUAAAACUCAAUUCACAAUCACCCAAAUAUUUAGGGGAUUAAAAAAUAAAUCAAUUAAAAAAAAACACAAAACCUCACCCGAGUCAAAACACCACCUGAGUCAACCGACUAAACCGGUGACCGGGUCAUGAGAGCAUGAUAACCUUAUAGAACACAAACAAAAAAAAAUUAUGAAACCUAAUUCAUUCAAUCCAAUAUUGAAAAAUAAAAUUAAAAAAAAAAACUUGAGUCAAUCGACCAAACCUAUGACUCGGAUCACAAGACCGUGAUAACCUUAUAGAACGCAAAUCAAAGUAGAUUAUAAAAGAUUAAUUUCCAAUCAACCCAAUAUUGAAGGAUGAAAUUUUAAAAAAUCAACUAAAAAGGACAAAAACAAAUUGAUUCAAACGGUUUAACCCACGACCUGGGUCAUAACCAAAGUAGAUUAUAAAGCUUAAUUUUCAAUUAACUCAAUAUUGAAGGAUGAGAUUUUAAAAAAAUAUCAACUAAAAAGAAUUUUUUUUUUUAUUCAAGCGGUUUAACCCACGACCCGAGUUAUAACCAAAGUAGACUAUAAAGUUUAAUUUUCAAUUAAUCCAAUUUUAAAAGAUGAGAUUUUUUUUUAAAAAUCAACUAAAAAGGACAAAAAAAAACUUGAUUCGAGUGGUUUAACAUACGACUUAGAUCAUAAGACCGUGAUAACUCAUAAAAAGUAAAUAAAAAAAAUUAUGAAGUUCAAUUCACAGUUCACUUAAUGUUGAUGGAUUAGAUUGGAAAAAAAUCAAAUAAAAAAAUAAUAAAAAUAACAUGAAUCAAUCUGAGUUAACCUGUUAAAUUCAGGUCAAGUGACGGGAUAACUCCAUAGAAAGAAAAUAAAAAAAAUUAUAAAGUUCAAUUCUUAAUAUUCAAUUAAAGAACAACAAAAAAAAAACAACUUAACCUGACUAACCCGUAAAACUCCUGAUCAUGAUCAUGAAAUCGAGAUAACUACAUAAAAAACAAAUCAAAAUAAAUUAUGAAUUCUAAUACUCAAUAACCACAAUGUUAAAAUUAAAAAAAAAACAUAUAUAUUAAUAAUUAACUAGUAAUAACCAUCUUCACUUACCUUCAAAAUAUUUAAAAGUACAUAUCAAUUGACCAAGAAUUCUAGACCCAUAUUGCCCAAACUUUACCCAUUUCUUCAGCAAGAACUUUAUAUAUAUAUAUAUAUAUAUAUAUAUAUAUAUAUAUAUAUAUAUAUAUAUAUAUAUAUAACCGACAGGUACCUUAUAGAAAGCAGAAGGAGAUUUUUCUCAAAAAGAAAAAAAGCAAGUCAGGUGGCUAUAUUUUGUCAAAUAGUGAACGAUUCAUGCAUAUGUCAUGACUUUAUAUAUCAAUUGAAGGGCCUGUAAUGGCAACUGGAAAGAUGGUGCGAUCUGCCCAUUUGGGGCCAUCAGAACUUUCUAAUAGUUCAUACACUUUAUAUUUUAUUUGAUGCACUAAUACAUUGUCUCAAUUAAUUCUAUGGUCGUGUAAAUUAAGCUAUAUGAUAAUUUAAAUCUAUAUAUUGCUUCACAUGAUACGGAAUAAUAUUGUCCACAUCUUCUUUUGUAGUGGGGUGAUAAACCAUGCACUAUGAUCACUUGAACUGUUUUUGGAUUUUCUUAACUCUUUUUUAUUGUUUAUUAUUAGCACUAAUCUUGCAAGUUUUGUCCCUUACCCUCUUAAUUACGUGUUUCAGAACUAAUGCUAUUGCCUUCCCAAAUAAAUGGUUUUUUUUUUUAAUUCAAUUUAUUCUCCAAACUUUUGGGGUGAUAUUGAGAUUCCUUAUAAAUUUCAUCGAUAAAAUUGAGAUUUACAACAUCUUUUCAGUUUCAAUGAUCGACAUAAAUGGACGGGAGGGGACUAAAAUGAAAGUUGUGGAGGCUGAUUUUAGAACCCUGUGAACCUUAGGGGCCAAAUUAAAUUUUACCCUUGGUUUGAUGGAGUCAUGGGACCACAGUCUCGGUGCUAUGAAGCUUCCUUACCUACUUCCUCAUCGUCUUUCUGUAUUCUGUUCAUAUCUUUUGCUCUUUGAUUUUUCAAACCAUAGUUUCUAGGAAGGUGACUGCCAAUGAUGGAAAAAGAUUUUCUUGUAAAAAAAAAUACACCUUUAAAUGUCAUCUACCCUCUUUUGUCUUCCACCGAACGUAUUUUGGGUUCUUAUUUGAAUUAAUAUUUUUAUAUUUUUGAAUUGUUUUAUAUACUAAUAUUAAAAAUAAAAUUUUAAAAAUAAAAAAAUUAUUUUAAUAUAUUUUCUAAUGUAAAAACAGUUGCAUUUAUUAAUAGAUACCGAAUUCAGGUUUUCUAUUUUUCCCAUUUCUUUAAUAUAGAAUACCAAGUCUCAAUACUUGCUUCCCUCUCCUUGUUUUAGGCUGCUCGAAGGACCAGGCAUAGAAAUAAUAGACGUAGUUUUUGUUUCUUAAUUUGAGGAAAAUUUUGUUUCUUGGGGUGGUUUAGCAAUGGCUGGUAUGUUGCCUGGUGUUGAAUGUGCUCGAAGGAGGAGGUUCCAUCAAAGCGGAGAUUCACUUGGUGCCCCAGCACACGGCUGGUCCAGAAAGCCAUCUUUUUGUUUGUACACAAGCAGCCAUGAAAGUUAUCAUGGCUCCGUCUCUUCUCUGGUAUCUCUCUCUAUCUAAAGAUUCUCUUUUCAUUUCUUCUGUUUUUGGGAGUUGUUGCUGAGAUCUUCUUUUUCUCUUUUGAUUUGGAUGAUUGAGAAGCAAAAGCAAAAGCAAAGGAGCGUAUCAAGCCAGGCAUACGAGGAUGAGAAGCUGGGAGGAGUGGCAAGAGAAGCCAAGGAAAGAUUAGAUGAGAGGCUAAGAUUGCAAAAGAAGAAGACAGCAGAAACCACAAGGUAAAUAAUGGCUUCCCUAUUUCUACCAGGCGGCGCGUAUUAGUACAAUCCAGAUGGUCCUUGCUAAUAUGCAACAUGCCUGGCAUCCAAAAUACGUCAUCAAAUCUCGUACUCAAAUCAGUUCCCAUACUUAUGUUCUAGAUUGAUUUUUGUCCAAUUUAGGCACAAAAGCACAGGAAACCUGAGAGAUGUAGAUGGCAGAUCAAUGGUACUAGGGGAGUUACAGAUGGAGGUGUAUGGUACGAAGAGGAGUGGGUCUAAGAGGUUCAAUUGGGCCAAACUGAGCUGGAAAGCUGCUGACCAAGACGAGUGCACCAUCUGCCUCGAUCGGUUCAAGUCUGGUGAGACCCUGGUGCACCUUCCCUGUGCACACAGGUACCACCCCAGGUGUUUGGUGCCAUGGCUAGAAAACAAUGGCCAUUGUCCUUGUUGCAGGAUGGAAAUACGUGUUGAACUCUCCUAGGCGCUCUCUUCUUUUGUUCUUUUUGUAGAUACCAAUUGGGAUUUCGGGAGCAACCUUGUCUUCUGCAAGAGUGAUUUGGUGUACCAAGACAAGUUAUGCUAUUAUCUUCUCCGUGUGUUUGCAUUUUACUCAUCUCUAAUUUUCCAUCUUGGCAAUGGAGAUUCUGCAGAAGUCUUUAGAAAAUACUAGAUUCUAUAAUAAUUUUAUUAUUUUUAGAAAAGAGUUAUUUUCCAAUCCAUCCCUAAACACUAAAAACAAUUUCCAUGUAAAAUUUCCAUGGUACAGGUCGAAUAUUAAAAGGACAGCCUAGCUGCUCAUAUUCCCUGAUGAGAUGGGUGGUCGUCUUCUUUUAUCAAUGAUUGCCAUGUAAAACAAAACAUGGUGAAAGUUUGAGUGAGAAGAGCUGUGAUCUAUAGCAGCAAGUGAUUCUCAUUGCUCUUACUAUCACUGUCUGUCCAUCCAUUCUUUAGUCCCACUCCUCACUCAGUUUCAAAUAAUGCACCUCUGCUGUCUAUAAAGUGGGCCAUUAAAUGUUGAAUCUAAUUUAUGGUCAUGAUAGUAAUUAUUUUUUGUAAAGUAUUUUUUAUUUGAAAAUAUAUAAAAAAAAUAUUUUUUUUUAUUUUUUUAAAUUUAUUUUUAACACCAACACAUUAAAAUAAUUCAAAAACACUAAAAAAAUUAAUUCAAAAUAAAAAAAAUUCAAAAUCUUUACAAAAUCUUUACAAUUUUUUUUAAUAUAAAAAAGAUGCUAAAGCGAUCUAAAAAUUAAGAGGGUUAUUGAUCUUAUUGAGUUUAAUAAACUUGACUAAUUUAAAUAAUUCAAAUAAAAAAAAUACAAUGUUAAUAAAUAGACUUAAAAAAAAAGGUUUAAAAAAGCCGACACGAGCCCAUCCAGGUUAGCAUGCUAAAUAUGCGACUUACUCAUGAUACCAAGGUAACCUCGUUGAAAGCAAACUAAAUAAAACUUAAAUUUCAAUUACCAAAUAACUCAAAGUUAAAUGGCGAAACUAGAAAAAAAAAUUAAAAAGCAAUGAAAAAAAUUUAUUCGAGUCAAUCCGGGUUAACUCGCUAACCUUGCAAUCGUAGGCAUAGGAUUGAGAUAAUCCCAUAAAAAGGAAAGUGGAAAAAAAAAAGCAAGAAGAUUAAAUCCAAAUAAAUCAAAUGUUGAAUGAUGAAAUUGAAAAAAAAAAGAUCUGAAAAAAACCAAAGUCAACCUAUGUUAACUUUUGAAACUUGUGAUUUUAGUCAUGAGCUCGGAACUAACCCCAUAAAAGGCAAACCAUAAAAAAAUAAUAAAGCAAAAUCGUCAAUCAAUAAAAUAUUGAAGGAUGAAAUUGAAAAACAAAUGAAAUUAAAAAAGGAUAAGAAGGAAAUAAAAUAACAAUAAAAAGAAUGAGGACCAAAUUUGACAUAAAAAUAAAUGAAAAUUAAAUGUUGAAGGAUGUAAUUGGAAAACAAACUUAAUUAGAAAAUGCUAAAAAGCAAUCAAAAGAACAAGAACCUAAUUUAAUUUAGAAACUAAGUGAAAUCAAAUGACAAGGGGAGAAAUGGAAGAAAAAAUUAUAAAAAAAAACAAAAACAAAACAAAUAGUAAUCAAGAGAAUGAUGACCAACUUGGAUAAAAAAAAUAAAAUUACCAGACACCUUUAUGUUUUAGUAAAGAGAAGAGAGAGAGAAGAGGGGGAGAAGGAAAAAAUGCAUUAGAAUUCAGCCGUUGCAUUGUUGUAUACACGCACCUGACUAUCAUGAAGACCAUGUCCGGACACUUACAAUAUUGUUGCGGAAGGUGAUGUUAACUACUAGACGACGUUGCAUACGUCAUCCAAAGAGCACAAGCAUUGUCCAUGCGCGGAUGCUUAUAAUACACACGUCAUCCAAUUUUUUAUUAAUAUUUAUUUUAAUUACAUUACCAAGUUAUCUUUAAGUGAACCUGAUUAUAAACAAAAAAAAAAAACUAAAAAGAUAAAAAACAACUUGAGAGCUACCUUAGUAUUUUUCUGAUUUAAAAUAAUUAAUUUAUUUAAUUAUGCUAAAAAGAAGGACAAGAUUAAAAAGCCCAUUAACAUAGUUUUUAUUUUAUUUAUCUUUUGCUUUUAAGAGAUUAAGUCAUUUUAUUUUAAAAAAAUAUAAAAAUACUAAUUUUUCUGAAUCAUACUGACCAAUAAGUCACGAGGAAUUCUAUAUUAUUUUUUUAAAAAAAUGAUUUUUAGGAAAUAAUAAAUUUUCAUAUCGACUUUUCUUUUGAUCAAAUUACUAGAACGAUGCAAGAAAGAUAAGCCACAUGUGGGACCCGAAGAUUAUCAACGGAAAAUGCAAGUCAUAUUUGGAAAACGACAUCGUGUUACUCCACUAAUUCUUGUCCACCUCUUACUCCACCUCGCUUUGCUUGCCUUCUCCUCCAACGGCUAGUUCCUAGUGACCGUUUCACAGCCCAAAAAUUCAAACUUGAAGAACCCUGAAUAAAGAAAAACACCACACAGAAACAAAAAAGAAUAAACUGAAACACUUGAAAAAAUCAUCAUUCAAAUCACAACAGCUCUAGCACCCCAUAAAAAUCAUAAUUCUUGGCUAGCUUUUAUUCACUUGUUCAAAUCGAGAAACAAAGAAAAGAUCAUCAAAAAUGGUAUACACAUACACACCAGCAUACUACUCUACUCUCCAUGACUCAAUUACCUCUAUUUGCAAGACAAUCUUGCCUUUUUCCUUUAAGAAAAAGAGGUUGACCUCGGCGGAGCACAGGCUCUCAAAGCUGCAGUCUGAUAACUUGAAGUGGCAGCAAGACUCAUUCCAUCAAAUAUUGAAUUUGAUGGGGUUGCAUAAAGAAGGUAUUUUAGCUGAGAAUGAGGUUUCUGCUUUCAAGACUCAUUUGCUUGAAACCCUUAUUGCUUCUCCACUUGAACAUGAACAAGCAGUCAUUUUAAGAGAUAAAUUGGUCUUCUUGCAGGUGAAUUUCUAAUUUUUAGAACCUGGGUUUGAUUUAUUUCAAAAUUUUCUCUUUGGACAAUCAAAUGGAACCAAUUUUUGUUUAUUUUUUUUUUGUUUGUUUUGGACAUUUUGUAGGAGUUGCUUUAUGCAAAAUGUAUAUCAGAAGAUGAGUACCAUUCAUCAAAGAGACCUUUGUUACAGAGGCUAGCAGUACAAGGAGCAGAAAUUGAGUCAAGAGAUGUUAUUGUUGCUGGUCCAAAAGACACAAAAGAGAAGAUAGAAGAGGAGUGGUCGGUUAUUGAUUUAAAAGAUGAGAAAAGGUUGAUUGGUAAAGAAACUUUACAGUCCAUAAAUAGAUCAAAGCCUAACUCAGCGAUGAAGCAAAUCAAAGGAGCAGCCUCCGUUUUUGGCUUUGGAUCAGAUCACAAGCUGAGCAAACACAAAGAAGAAAAGAGUAUUUUUGAAAUUGAAGCAAGAUUGCCCUCCUCUGGCCAUGUUAGUAACGAGAGAGAGAACCCACUUUGGGAUAGUCAUUUGAAGGAUAAGGAAAGUGAAACCAAAUCAAUUCUUAUGCAAGCAAGCUUACCAAAUGAAUCUGUAAAAGAAAGCGCAAGCAAUGAUAAGCCCAAGAGGAAACCCUUCAAGACUUUGUUUCGACAGGAGCAAAGAGAGGGAGAUGGUGGUGGUGGUGGUGGUGGUGCUAAUGGUUUUAAUUGUGAGGAGAAACCUUCAAAAUCAGCAAAAAAGCCUUGGGGUUUUGAUGGUUUUAAGAAAUGGAAGAAAAAUGAUUCAGAUGGUGAGACUGCUCCUCUGCCUCUUAACAAUGAAAGAUCUGACAGUGAGGCUUAUUCAGGAUCUUGCAACCUUGUUAAUAGUCCCAUUGGAGAGGGACCAGACACUAAGCAGAUAAAGAAGAAACUGCAUUCUAAUGGUUCUUCUUCAGAUUUUUUCAUUGAUAAGGUUCAGUCUAGACAAUAUAUAUAACUUUGUUUCUAAAUCUUUAUCCUUCAACCUUAACUUAUGCCUUUGUCUAUCUGUUGUUAAUUAUACAGGUUUUAGGGGACAAGAUAAAGAAGGAGCUUUCAAAAAUUCAAACAGAACUCUGCACAACAAACCCUAGUCUUAAAUUUUCGUAAGCUUUUUUUUACUGAUCAGAUGAUUUUGAAGUAGUUGUCUUUGUGUGUUUUUAUAAUCAAUUAAUCACUUGCUUUUGUAUUGCAUUGUGCUUGUUAUUUGUGGUUCUAUUAGUGAUGAUCAAAUUGAAGCAAUUUCCACCAAGCUUCCUGUUGACAAGGCUGACCUGAAAAAGUUCUUCCCCAAGUAAGAAAACAACAGCUUUCUUUCUUUUACCUAUCUCAAUUUAAUGUUUGUUUCCUCGCAGCAUAUUUGAUCUAUUGAUCUGCCAAAAACCGUAGCUAUUGCAAUUAAUCAUAGGCAUUCUUGCUACAGCAUAUCAAACUUAUUAUUUGGAUCCUCACAUGAACUACAAAAAUGUUGUGUUCUAAGGUCAUGGUGCGAUCGGUAUGGUGAUGUUGUACUGGAUGUGGUGAAGAAAGAGUUCAAGGAUCAUGUUGGAGAGAUGGAGAACAUGAGAAAUGCUGCAAGAGAAAAACAUCACAACAAUUCAAUGCGAUGGACAACAUUUGAAGAUGAAGACGAAAAUUGUCACCCAAAUCUUUUUUCUCAACAGGAUCAUUCAUUUCCAAAGAAGCAACAAAAUUUCACUGCCAAGAAUGAUCAGAGCGCCUAUACUAAUCCCUUCUCCCAUGACUACUCUGAAAGCAAUGGGAAUAAGCUUAGGACUGAAUCAUUCCAGAAUCCCUUUUGGAUCCCAAGGCAACAAUAUUAGUGAUAUGGGAGUUUCUAUGCUUGAUAAGCAAGCGGUAUUCUUGUUUUUUGUUUGCUUGUAUUCUAUUGUAAUUCUGGUUAUGAACUCUGACAGAAGAACAAUGUUGUUCUUCUGGAUUUUAAACCCCCUUUUGUUCUGCUGGGUUUCAUCAAACCCAUGCAAGAAGAAUGUAAACGUUUUUAUCUUCCUCAGCAGCUAUAAAAGUUUUUAAUCCCCCCCAAGCAUUACUGAUGAUAGAUAGCCAUUGAAGGUUUUUCAAUGGGGAUCAUGGGAUUUCCAACUAAUCCAAGACAACCUAGUUUUAGUUGCAUCAUAUUUGGGUUUCCAACUUGGGAUUAUUUAUGAUGUAUUUGUUUUAACAAGGCAACAGAAGCAUAACAUGGAGCUCAAGAAUCCAAUCUUAUAUACCGUAUAGCUUUAUGUAAGAUCUAUACUCUACAGAAUCCAAUCUUCAGGGAACCAUAUUACAAGAGAUGGAAUUUAUAUAACACUAUAUACAAUUAUAUUUACAAUGCAAUCAAGUAGAAGUAAUUUCUGGAUUUGGUAUUGAAGGCUCGCUGGCACCACCCUCGCGGACAUCUCCUCGACAAAGCGGGCAUACCCUGUAAAAUACCAUCAGAGGGGAGAGGAGGGGGGAAGAAGGAUGUGACAAAAAUUUCACACCAGAGAAGGAAAAAAAAUGAUUAUGAAUACGGUUUAAGAAGAAUGAAAACAUAAGCAGCAAAAACGCAGGUGGGUGGCAAUAACAAUACCCAUGUAUUUCUUUGAGCCAUUUAUCCACACAAACCAUGUGAUAUUCGUGGUGGCAGGGAAGAACUCUUAUUUUGUCACCUUCCUCAUACUCGGCCAGGCAAAUGUAACACCUGUCAGUCAGAAAGUUAUUACCAAACACAGUCCAAAAGACGACAAGUUUAUAUUAGUGCAAACCAAGUAAUGAAACACCUUGAACUCCAAGUUCCCCACCACUUUUACACGCGAUAACACUCAUGUGCAAGUAUAAUACCUGGCUUAUUCUAGAGUACAUGCAUGUUCACACCACAAAAUUUAAAUCAAUGAGAAACUUACUGUUCAUCCUCAUCAUUGCCCUUGACUCUGUCCAACUUUUUGUGAUUCUUAAGAGGGAAAGAGUCAACAACUGAUUCAGGGGCAGGGAGCGACAUCAUUGAUAGAGAAAGUGACACAGGCUGACGAUGGAUUUCAUCCAAAACCUGCAGCUUAAACAUGACACCAGAACUUAGUAGCAACAUAAUGCAGGCCAAGAAGUGUAUAAAUCAUUGUAAAACUGCCUAGCACAGAUUUCAUGGUCAAAGCAACUCCCUUAUCAUGAAUUUGAUGGUGGCUUCCACACCUCUUUAAGAACCUCUACAUAGAAAGACAGCUGAGCAGUUUCAAAAAACCUACUGCUAGAUCUUAGUCUUGUUAGCGUUAAGACAUAAUCACAGGUAAUAUCUAAAUGCAAGCCACCCUAGUGUAUAUUUUUCCAGGCAAAGUAAAAAGGGUAUUAAAUUAGUCAGGAUUCACCCUUGUCCUCAAAAGAAUUGCAAAAUCAUGCCCACCUUUUCUCAUUGGAUUCCUCAAACGAAUGGAAUGGAGUGUCUCAAACAAUGGGAUUAGCACUAAAACUUCUACAGCAGGUUGGACAUGGUUCAGCACAAUCAUAACCUUGAAUUUGCAAUUUAUACAAAAGUCUCGAAAGAAGACAGAUGUGUAAAUAGAAACUUAAAUUAUCAUUAGCACCAAGAUAAUGGAUUCAAUCAGCAACUCUAUCACAUAGGUGCAUUCUGCUUUUCAAACUAUAUCCGUUUUUCAUGAAUGGGAUUAGUGAAGCCAGGAGAAGCUAUGUCAAAGGAGAACUACCUCAAAUAGAGCUUCAGCAAGCAUGACUAUUCGUGAUAUACUUCCACGAGCACUCGACUCCUCAGCCAUCAAGAAUGAUUCACACGAGCAUGUACCGUCAGGGUGGAGUCCAGAAGGACAAGAGGUUGUUCGUCGACCAUUCUCAUCAAGGCCACCACGAAGUCUUUCCCAGAUCUGCAAAGAGUAAGCAAGAGUAGUUCAUAAGAAUUACAAAUGAAGGAAAGAGAUUUUAACCUUAUUUUUUAUGUUCAGCUAACCCAGCCCCCGUGACUACUGGAUAGACAAAGAAUGGAGUGGCAUGCAAUUAUACCAAAGAAACUAAAAGAACAAUUGAAUAGUGCAACAAUAAAAGACCAGGGCUUGCAAUUGUUUUUUUUUAUAUAAAAAACAAAAACCUCUAUCAAGCCAAAGAUUCGUGCAAAGAUAUUGAAUUACAGGGCCAGGAUCCCUGACUUUGAAGCUUGAGAGGAUGAGAACAUAAAAUUUCUAUUUUGAAGUGGCGAUUUCAUUAGGACUAAUUUAAAAUGUUUCCAAGAAUAAGGGGGAUUUAAAAAAAAAUUGAACGCCCUGGCCCCUGUUAGGUUUUGUCCCUGUACAGGGUUGUCUUCCUAGGCUUCCUUCCCAAAUCCAAACUUCAGUGGAUUAAUAGCUGUACAAGGGUCUUCUUGAUGAUUGUAAGAACUGAUCAACGCCAAAAAUAUACAGAACUAUAAUCCCCAACAUGUAUCACAAGUGUGUGUGCAAAAGUAAAUGAUAGUAUAGCAUUCUUUCCUCAAAAACUAUUCAGAAAUAUCACCUCAGAUCUUGAGUGUCGUCUUCGUUCAUUCAAUCUGUGAAUUCUCCUGCUCAUGUAUCCAGAAUCACUGCCUAUCCCAUCGUCAAAAAAAUCACCACUGAAAUCAAGGAGCCAUCUGUCAUGGGAUUCAAGAUCAUCAGUAUUAUCUGUUGAGAAGACAAUAGUAGGAGAAUCAACAUGCCUCCUAGAACUGCGCCUUGAAAAUGCGUCCCGAAACAAUCUUCUGCUAUUCCUUCUGGCCUCACGACUGCUUGUAUCUGAAUUGCUGCUUGAAUAAAUGCUGGAAGAGAUACUCACAACAUCUACAUGGAGUACACUUCCAUCUGUCCUCCCUUGUUCCCUAUUGGGCACAAGAAGUCCUAAAUCUGAAGGUACUGGAUCUUGGAUAGACUCAUCUUGUGUUGAGCGAAAGGUUACUGGGACAAUAGAUCUAUGAUUUACUGAAUCAGAAUUAGAAUUUGGCAUGUCUGUUACUUCACCCAUAUGAUUGUCAAAAGCCAAACCAUUAGAACAUGAAUCUCCAUGCCUCGGUGAGUUUGAACUGCUUGUAUGUAUUAUAUCAGGAUAGAUCUGAGAGAAACCCUCGUUCUCUGAAUUUUCAAUGCCAUUGACAGAAUCCAUGUUAGUUGAAACAUUCAUUGAUACAGGAUCUGAUGACUGUCGUUCUUUAAAUGAAGUACUAGCUUCAGCAAUACUUAUAUUUCUACCUGAUUCAUCAUGACUAUCACUUACCUGAUCUGGGCCAACUAACUCCUUACUAUCAGAUAGGCAUUUUCCUCGAGAGUUUGUGUCAAGAUUUCUAUAACCAUAUUUCUCAGAAGUUCCCUCACUGGCUCUUAUUCUGUUUCCAGAUGAUCCUCCAGUUUCAGUAUCUGAGCUUCUAGACCCUGUUACUGUAUUGGAAACCACAGAUGAUUCCUCUGCAGAAUUCUGUACCUCGAUGACUGGACAACACUGUUCUGCAGAAUUCAUCAGAAUCUUGUCUGGAUAGUCUUCCAUCUAUUGGAAAAAGAUCACACACAUAUCAGUAUCCUCUAUAAAAGGUAGCCACGAACAUUUGAAUAAUAGCAUCCUUAAAAAGACUUCUCCAAACAUUAAAAAAUAAAUUUCACAUUGAUCAAGACUAGAAAUGUCACAGGAAAUGAAUACUGCCACCUCACCACAUCUUGUUCUUGAAUGAUAGGAGAAGUGCCUAUUGUCUAGAUUUGUAUAGACCCUAUAUCAACACCAUGGAAUUGCUCCAUAUGGCAGAACCAUGCUCUCACAAAUCGCAAUAGUCAGUUUCAGUCAUAAUAAAAAAGAUAAAGGAGUUUCAAUUACAAACUUACAGAAAUAGUUUACAGCAAAACAAGCAUUAAUAUUUUCUUUAAAAAACUUGCAAAUCAAUUGAGGGCAUUGUGCAAAGCUGCCGAGUAUAAAUUGAUCAUUGAUUAUGGUGGGAAAGUGCUCAUACUAAGAAAGUUGUGCUACUCUAAUGUCAAAUGUAACUAAUUAAUAAAACAUUCUGAAAUAGCAAUUUCAAAUACAGGGAUACAUUAUCUUGCAGGAAACCAUUUGUUUGUUAACGUUAACUUAACCUAAGGCAACCAUUAAAUUGAACAUCUUGAAAUUCGACUGAAAUCUCUAAGAACCCCCAAGUAACUAAAAACUCAAUGAGAACUCACAUGGAAAACAAAAGCCUUAAAAUUAAAACCAUUUUCUAUUCCAAGUAAUGGUAACUACACAAAACUUGAACUUUUAAUCAAAUAACCAAAGUGAACAAAUAUUCAGAUGACUGGAGGGAUAAACAAAUAUCGAUAAACAAAUAAUUCCAAUCAAAAUUUGUUGACAAACACAAAAGAAAAAAUAAAAAAUUGCUUCCACAAACAGUUAACAAGCAACAGAAACAAAAUUCCAUAAAACCUAAACAAGACAAAUUUUCCAACAUCACAUGAUCAAUCCUAGAUCAUCAAAAAGCACAAAUAUUUCAAUGUAAAGAUUCAAACUUCGAUAAAAAAAAAAAAAAAAACACAAAACGGGGACUCAUUAUUUUCUCUAAAGUCAAUUCCUUUUACACGAUAACCACAUAAACAAUCCAUUAUCAACACUAAUUGACCAACCCCAGAUCAUCAAAACCAAUUAAAAAGAAACAGAAGUAAUAAAUCAAUUUCAAGUCGAAAAUCUUUAAUCUCUCUUUUUUGGUACCUCGUGACGAGCUGUACGAGAAGAAGAGGAGCCACCACAGAUGAGAGAAGAGAAGAACCUGGACGACCUGCUAUUCGGUCGGGUCCGUGAUGUGCGUGACCCCGGUCUACUACUAUUCGAACCCAUUUCUUUAGAGAAAGAGAAAGGCUGAGAAAUUAAAUGGUGGUGGUGAAUGAUGAUGGAACUGUAUAGCUAAUAUGUAUAUAUAUUUUUUAUUUUAUUAUUUUGAAAUUGAAAUUUCUUGUUGCAAUUAUUAGAGGAGAGAGUUUUUGUUUUUGUUUUUGUUUUUGUUUUCGUAUGGAAGAGGUGAAGUGUUUUUGAGUCUUGUAGUUUUUCUUGCACAAACACCCGCAUUCGGUGCCACGUUAUAGGCUGUCGUUUCCUCUCGAUAAUGAUACAGACACCUCACUUUCAAAAUCUUGAUUUUACAAAACCCAAUCUAAUUUAUGAGUUGAUUUAAAACCGGCCAACUCGAUCUUCCAUUUAAGCUAAGUUUUUUUAAAAAUCAACUAAAAAUUAAUUUGUAAUCCAAUUAAUUUUAUUAAAACCUUAUUUGUUUGUUUUUUUAAAUUAAAUCAAUAUUAUUUUAUUUAAAAAAUAAAUAAAAUGAGGUUGAUUUAUAUCAACCCAAAUUAAAUUCUGUCGACUCAUCCAAUUUAUAACCCAAUUUUUAGGCAUGAGUUCAUUAAUUUUGAUUUUUCUUCUAAAAAAUAGACCCCUCUUUUUAUAACUUUUGUUUUUUUCAUGAUUUUGUAACGGUCAACUAGACAUAUUUAGAACAAGUUACAUACAAAAAAUAUUAAAAAGUCUUCUUUUAAAGUUGUUUGGUGGUGCCGUACUAUUUGUUUUUAUAUUUUAAAAGUAAUUUUAAAAAAUUUUAAAAAAAAAUUAUUAUUAUUUUUAUUUUCAAUUAAUAAUUUUUUAGUAUUUUAAGAUUAUUUUGAUACGUUGAUAUUAAAAAUAACUUUUAAAAAUAAAAAAAUUAUUAUUUUAAUAUAUUUCUAAAUUAAAACAAUCACAACUAUAUUUUUAAAUAAGUUAAUAAUGUAUGAGCAAACCAUAUAUAUUAUUAUUAUAUUAUUAUUAUUUAACAGGGGCUGCUCGAGGAGGGGAUAUUUCCCCUUCUCAUAUGUUAUUCGUUGGAAUAUAUAUAUUAUUUUUGUAUUUAUAUUUUUCAUUUUAUUUUUUAAUAUUAAAUUUAUUUAAAACUAAACUUUUUAAUUUAUUUCUAGUUUUUAUACAGAAUUAUCAUUGUCUUCAAAAAAUCAUAAUAUUGAAUUGAUGUUUAUUUUUAUGAUUAUCCAUUUUUUUAUUAUAUUAUUAAAUUAGAAAUAUCUAUCAUAUUAUUAAAAAAAUUAAUUAUAAAAAAAUAUAAUUAUUAUUAAUUGAACUUCAUAAUUUAUUUUGAUUUAUUGUAGUAAUGAGCAGUGAAAUGCCAAGUUCUUUUUUCACUUUGGUUCUCAAAAGAAAUUAAUGAUUUUUUUUUAAUUUCAAACUUAGUUGUUGUUUUUUCUUAUCUUACUACAUUGGAUUUACAGGCGUUAUACUUUAUAAUUUAUUUUAUUUUUUUUAUUUAAUUAUUCUAGCCUUAUGAUCCUAGUUGUAGGUUAACUAUGUUGACUCGGAUUUUUUAGUUCUUUUUUAAUUAAAUAUUUUUUUAAUUUUUUCCUUUAACAUUAGACUAAUUGAAAAUCAAAUUUUUAUUUUUAUUUUUAUUGAGUUUAUCCCGGUCUCCUGAUCCAGGUUUGGUAAGUUAACCUUGACUGACUUGUGUCAUUUUUUAUCUUUUUGUUUGAUUUAAUAAAAUAAUUAGUCCUUCAACAUUAAGUUGAUUGAUAAUUAGAUUUCAUAAUUUUAUCUUAUUUGUUUUCUAUAUAAUAUUAUCAUGAUUUUAUAAUCCGAGUUGUAGGUUAGCUUGGUUGACUUAAGGUUAUUUUUUGUUCUUUUUAGUUGAUUUUUUUAAAUUUCAUCUUUUAAUUUUGGGUUGAUUGAGAAUUAGACUUUAUAAUUUGUUUCAUUUGCAUUCUAUGAGGUUAUCUCGGUCUCAUGACCUGUCAUUGAUUUGCUUGGUUAACUUGAGUUGACUUGGGUAUAUUUAUAUUCUUUUUUUAAUUGAUUUUUUUUAUAGUUUCAUUAUUCAACUUUUAGUUGAUUAAGAAUUGAGUUUUAUAAUUUUUUUUUGUGGGGUUAUUUUAGUUUCACGAUCAAAGUUUACUCGGUUUAUUUUUUAAAUUGAAUUUUAUUUUCAAUUUCAUCUUUCAAUAUUGGCUUAAUUGAUAAUUAAAUUUAAUAAUUUUUUUUAUUUGCUUUCUAUAUAGUUAUUAAGGUCUCAUGACUUGAGUAGCAGAUUUGAGAGGUGAACUCGAGUUGAUUCAAAUUGAUAUAAUAUGUUAUCGUUUAAAUAAUUUUUUUUUAAAAGAUGUUUUUUUAAUUUUUUUAAGCUAAACUAUGUUUUUAAAUGUCGUUCGAGUUGUUUUUAGAUAUAUCAAGUCAACUAUAUCACAUCAAGUUAAUCCCAAUAUGUUUUAAAAAAUUUCAUGCUAAAAGAACAUUUUAACAAUACUAUAAUUUUUUUCUAUAUCCAAUAAAAUUUUGAUAAGACCCACGAUAUACCACAUACAAUCAUCUAGUUUAUUUCUAUUCUACAAUAAAAAAAGGCGCUCGCACGUAUGUGUGUUCACAUCUAUUUUUGAAAAUUUUGAUCGCAAUGAGUAUAGUUUAAGAAACAAGUAUUAGUUGUUGAUUUAUAUAUAUAUAUAAAAUAACCGAAGUCCAAUUUGAUUGUAAAUUACAGUGAUUUAUGGUUCAUGGUGGUAUUAUAGUCGGCGAUUACUAAGCUAUAUGGAUUUAAAGAGGAAGUCUUCCAACAGCAGAACAUGUCAAUGUCAAUUGCUAUUUAAUUUUGGUUGAAGAUAAGAGAAAGCUUGAUGGAUUUUUAAUAGAAUUUGUGUGGUGUUUGUGCUUUCCUAAAACCUCAAGAAAAUCCCUAUAAUUUACUCUACAAGAAAUACGUGCAAAGGGUUGACAUUGAAAUAGGUUGCUUUCGUAAAAGAAAUCUGACCUGAAGAUGGGAAAUUAAGAAACAAAGACGGUGUAUGAGUAAGAACACCACCGCAGUAUGUGUAAGAACACCACCGCAGCUCUUCAUGGAAUACUGAGGUUUUUUCACACAGAGUAUUCCAAAUUGGCUGAAAACCAAGCCAGACUCGCCCAACAGACACCAUAAUUCAUGGUCUUCAGCCCUCCAUUUCUAGCUCAUCUGGUGCUGAUGUGUGGAUGGAAAUCGAAAUUUCCCUCGCCUCGGAGAGAAGGGCUGACUGUUGAAAUCAAGCUAACAGUGAAGUCUAACUCUCACACACCACACGCCUCAAGUCACGUUAAUUAUUAAGUUCUAAUUUUCAGUUUAUUUUUAAUUUUGUUUUCUGUGAGAAUGGAGUUGUCGUUCUCAAUAUCAUGUGAAAAACUACACUUGUUUUUUUUUAAAAAAACUAUUUUUUUUCCAUUUUUUUCUUGGUGACAAAAGUUAAAAUAGUAUAUUAAUAUUAAGUUGAGAGGCAUCGGUGACCUUUGUUUUUUUUUUUAUUAUUAAGAGUUUAUCUGUUUAUAUUAAAUUGAUAUUUAAAUUUAUUUUAAUGUAUUAAUAUUAAAAAUAAAAAAAUAUCUUAACAUAAAAAAUACUAUGCACAGUACAAAUAAAAUGAUAAAGUGAUAAAGUUGAUGAGACAUCGGUGACCUUUGUUUUUUUGUGUUUUUUUAAGAGUUUAUUUGUUUAUAUUUUUUGAUAUUUUUAAUAUAUUAAUAUUAAAAAUAAAAAAUUAUUUUAAUAUAUUUUAAAAUAAAAAAUGUGAUGCACUAUAAUAUCUCUUAUGCUCACGAUGACACCUUGCAAGCUAGCUAGCAAACCAUCAUCCUUUGUUUCCUUUGCCUCGCUUGAGUUUUUGUUAGUUGUCGGCAGUCGGCACAAUCCAAACAAAUACUGGAUGUCGUCUGGGACGCGGCAAAAACUAACUAGUCAAAUUGAUUUUUUGAUUAUAAAAAUGUUUAAUUAAUUAGUAACAAAUCUUUAGAAUAAUUAAUUUUUUAGUAUUGGUUGUUUUUUAAAAUAUUUUUUAUUUAAAAAUAGAUAUAAAAUAAAAAAAUAUAAUUUAAAUAAAAAAAAUCUCAAAAAUAUUUUUUUAACGCGAAAACAAAACAAACUAUACUAGUGAUUUAUCAUCAAAUUAUAGCUAAACCAAUUACAUUAGCAUUUAUUUCUCUAGAACAUGUUUCAAAUUCAACCGUCUAUAUGAUUUGUAUAAUUCUUUUUGAUAGGAGGAAACGUCAAGUGAAAUCAACAAGAGCCACUUCCAAAGUCUAGAGAAAUCCAUGAAUUUCAGGUAGAAACCUACCAAACCAAGCACAAACGUGGGUUUGACUUGUAGUUUUGAAAAUUUGAAGGAAAGAUACUGGACAAAUUCAUGAAACAUUAAACUGUGCAACCCAACUAGCUUAGCCCUAUCCACUCACAUGUAUAAAUUCAGAGACUAUCUCAAUACAUUUCUCCACAUCCAUAUCAAACAACAACAAAGAGCUGUCGGAAGAAAGAAAUUAGAAGAUGCACAAUCCCCCACCGCCAGAGCCCCGUCACCAGCCCGGCCACCCACCGCCAGAGCCCCAUCCACCACCACCCGGUCCACCACAGCGCGAACCUCCUCCCCCUCGUGGCCAUUCUCCUCCUCCUCCAGGUCCGCAUGCACCACCAUCCGGUCCACCACACCGUGAACCUCCUCCUCCAGGCCCGCGUGCACCUCCACCUGAUCAUCACCGUCCUUAGUCGAUCAUAUAUAUGAAGAACUCGAUCGAAGCUAAGCCUAGCAAUAUAUGAAUAAGCGUAUCCAUAGGGGUUGAUGAUGUAACGGAAGGAUGCUCUGUAUAGCUAGUUUUACCUGGCUUAGCUCACCAGUAAUUUUAUUUUCACUUCCAGUGUGUGUAUGUGUAACGUGCUUGCUGUUUCAUUCUCGGAGAAACAUGUAUGGUGCUUGGAUAAUUAAUUAGUAAUAAGAGUAGAGUACUGUUUAUCGUCUAAGAAUAUGCCUUUCUUUCUUUCUAAGAACGUACGAUAAAUCUAAAAAAAGGAAGAUUUACAUGGAUGAAUUUUGUUGAAGGUGCUACAAAAUUCCAUUAAGAGAUUUAUAAAACUUAAUUUUUUUUUUAAAUUAAUGUGGGUGUUUAUAGUGGCGGAGGAAGUGGCAAGAAAAUGCCCCUCCCAUGUAAAUAUUUAUAACAUGGAUGAAUUUUGUUGAAGGUGCUACAAAAUUCCAUUAAGAGAUUUUAUAUAAAACUUAAUUUUUUUUUUUAGAUUAACAUGGGUGUUUGGUCCUUAAUAUUUUUUUAAUGUGACCGCUUAAGAAAAUAACAUCAUGCAUUUUAUUGGAAAUUAAUGACUUCAUGUCAUCAUUUACAAUAUAUUUCUAAAAAAAAAUGUAUCUUGUGAAUAUAAAAGACUUCUUGUAAGGUUAUGGAGUUUUAUUCAACGUUUAAAAACAUGAAAAUUAAAGUCAAUAUGUUUUUUCAACUCUAGCUCUUUUACUUCCUUUCAGUCCAGAAAUUGUUUACUUUUUAAUUAUUUUUUAUUCUCUUCUUUUAUUUAAUAAAUUAAAUUAUAUUAAAAUUAAAAUGUUACGACACAUGGAUCUAUUCAAAUUAAUAGUGUUGCAUUGUUUCAAAUAAACAUUCAAGGAGAGCACUGCGUAUGUAAAACCAAUAUAAAGAAAAUCAUAUCAUCUAGGUGUCGGUCUAGUGGUAAAAACUUGAGAUCAAAUUUUUUUUAUAUAUAUAUAAAAAAAAUCAUGCCUAAAUGAAGGGCACAAGAGAUAAAAUAUCGGUAAAGACAAACUAUCUUUAUAUUAAUUUUUAUUUAUUUAUUGUCUCUUAUAAAAAUUACAUUUUAACUCUUAUGAUGAUAUCCUUUACAAUUAUGUUCCUAUAUAAUUACAUUAUUAUGGUUCAUUAUUUAAAUUUUUUAUGUAAUACUUGUAAUAUCAUGGUUAUUACAAUUAUGAUAUAUCGUCCAUUAUAUUUGUUUGAGAUUUAUUACAAGAAGCCCAAGUUAAUAAAUCAGAACAACACAAAAGCCCAUCAAAAUAAAGCGACCGCGAUCCGCCCACCAUAAGGAGCUCGCUCUCUCCAGAACCCGAACCCGAACCCAACCCCUUCAAAAACCUCUCCCUCUAUCUCCACUCAAACCCCUCCCCCUCUUUUGCUUCUCUUGCAGCGAACUUCUCUCUCUCUACAGGGUAUGCAGCAGCUUCUCUUCUUCCUUUAUUACUAUAUUUCAUGCCUUCAUUUUUGCUUAUGUAUGUGUUUAUAUACGUUGUUUCGCGAUUCAGUUUCUAUUUACGCAAGCUGUACUGGUUUAAUCUAGUUAGAAAUGAAUGGUAUUAUCGUAAUCUCUUUGCUGGAUUGUCUGUAGAAGAGAAUUUAAGGGAAUGGGCUGUUAGAUUUGUAGAGAAAAUUAGACACCCAGAUGCAAGAUUUAGCUUGUUAAGUUACUGUGUUUGUGUGUUUGUUUUUUUCAAGUGGAAGGAAGUAAAAAGUGGAGAUCUGAAGUUUAGGUGAAGUGGUAAAAAGGGUCGAUGAGAUUAUUGUCAAAACCCCUCCUGUGUGGUAACUUUGGUAAAUUAGAGAUUAUUGUGUUUUUGUUUUUAAUCUUGAUUAAAAGAAAAUAAGGAGAUUUUUUUUAGCAAGAAUUUAGUUUGUAUUUACGGGUUCUUGUGUAAGUUUAGUUGAUUUCGUGGUUGUAUUUGGUUAUUGAUUCAUGAUUUGGUAUGGCAGGUUUGAAGUGGUGCCAUGGAUGACAAUUUGUAUGAUGAGUUUGGGAACUACAUUGGUCCGGAAAUAGAGUCGGACCGAGAGAGCGAUGGCGAGGAAGAAGAUGAAGAACUUCCAGACAAGCCUCAUGAAGACGAGGAGGAAUCUGACGGUGAAGAGGCAGUUCAUGCUUCCAAUGGUUGGCUUACUGCCCCUAAUGAUGUUGAUAUGGAUAACCAAGUUGUCCUUGCUGAGGACAAGAAGUACUACCCAACCGCGGAGGAGGUUUAUGGUCCAGGUGUUGAAACGUUGGUUAAUGAUGAAGAUGAGCAGCCUCUUGAGCAACCGAUAAUUAAGCCUGUUAGGAACAUCAAGUUUGAGGUUGGGGUUAAGGAUUCCUCAACUUAUGUUUCCAGCCAGUUUCUUGUUGGUCUUAUGUCAAAUCCCUCUUUAGUACGCAACGUUGCCCUCGUGGGCCAUCUACAGCAUGGGAAGACAGUUUUUAUGGACAUGUUGGUUGAGCAAACACAUCAUACGCCAACUUUUGAUAUAAAUAGCGAGAAACAUAUUAGGUACACAGAUACAAGGAUUGAUGAGCAAGAAAGAAGGAUAUCUAUCAAGGCAGUUCCAAUGUCACUUGUCCUUGAGGAUAGCAAUUCAAAGUCGUACCUCUGUAACAUCAUGGACACCCCUGGUCAUGUGAACUUCUCUGAUGAAAUGACUGCUGCCCUCAGGCUUGCUGAUGGUGCAGUGUUGGUUGUGGAUGCUGCUGAAGGAGUGAUGGUAAGAUUUGUUUUUAGGUUAAUUUUGAUAAAUUCAUUACAAAAAUAGUAUGAUCAUAUCUUAAUAUGAUUUUAUCUGUUCUUCUGUGGAUUAAUUUGCGAAGUAUUUCUCCGUAGAUAUUAAAUCCAUCAUUCUUGAUGAGUUCAAUACGCAAUUUGUUCUAGUUUUCUGCCUAUCAUAUCAGCAUUUAUACAGGCAUUAGUUGCAAAUGGUUUUGUCUAUGAUUGGACCGAUUGCAGCAACAAGGCUAUAAUCUUCUAUUGCAUGACUUGUGACACUUGUUCUCAAUACCAUGCACUUAUGAUCGUGGUUGAACUUCGAAGAUGCUAUUUCAUGAUAUAACUGUUGUUUUCAUAAGUGCACGAGAAUGUUCUAGCCACUUGAUAUGGUCAAUUUACUAUUUUGUAAUGCUUAGGUAAACACAGAGAGGGCCAUACGCCACGCAAUUCAGGAACAGCUGCCUAUUGUUGUUGUGAUCAAUAAGGUAAUUCCCUCUUACCUCUAUUUUGUUUGGCACUUCCGAUUCGAUUUUUUCCAAAUAUUUUGACUGGUUCAUGAAGUGUUAUUUGCACAAAUUUUCUUUUGAAGGUUGACAGGCUCAUAACAGAGCUCAAAUUGCCCCCAAAGGAUGCGUAUCACAAGCUAAGGCAUACCAUAGAAGUCAUUAACAACCAUAUAUCUGCUGUCUCUUCAACUGCUGGAAAUGUUCAAGUGAUAGAUCCAGCUGCUGGAAAUGUUUGUUUUGCUGGUGCAACCGCAGGAUGGUCCUUCACUUUGCAUUCCUUUGCUAGAUUGUAUCUCAAACUCCAUGGUAUCCCAUUUGAUGCUGAAAAGUUUGCAUCUCGUCUCUGGGGGGAUAUGUAUUAUAAUCCCGAGGACAGGACUUUCAAGAAGAAACCUCCUGCUAGUGGAGCAGAAAGAUCGUUUGUCCAAUUUGUGCUGGAACCUCUCUACAAAAUAUACAGCCAAGUGAUUGGAGAACAUAAAAAAAGCGUUGAGGCUACUCUUGCUGAGUUUGGUGUUACUCUUCCUAAUUCAGCUUAUAAAUUAAAUGUCAGGCCUUUGCUAAGACUGGCUUGCAGUCAAGUUUUUGGCUCAGCCUCAGGUUUCACUGACAUGCUUGUUAAGCAUAUACCUUCGGCUAAGGUUGCUGCUGCCAGGAAGGUUGAUCAUACAUAUACUGGGCCCAAAGAUUCAAUGAUUUACCAGGCCAUGCUAGACUGUGAUCCUGCUGGCCCCUUAAUGGUUAAUGUGACGAAAUUGUAUCCGAAGUCAGAUUGCAGUUCAUUUGAUGCUUUUGGUAGGGUUUAUAGUGGUAAAAUUAUGACAGGGCAGUCUGUAAAAGUUUUGGGAGAAGGCUAUUCACCAGAGGAUGAGGAGGACAUGACAGUAAAAGAAGUGACAAAACUAUGGGUAUAUCAAGCUCGGUAUAGGUUACCCAUAAGUAUGGCACCUCCUGGUUCCUGGGUUCUCAUUGAAGGUGUGGAUGCUUCAAUUAUGAAAACUGCAACUCUCUGUAAUGUGAAUUAUAAUGAAGAAGAUGUAUACAUAUUUCGACCUCUUCAGUUCAAUACUCUUCCAGUAGUGAAAACUGCUACUGAGCCUCUAAAUCCAAGCGAGUUGCCCAAAAUGGUGGAGGGUCUUAGGAAGAUCAGUAAAAGCUAUCCUCUGGCCAUAACUAAAGUUGAGGAGUCUGGGGAGCACACUAUACUUGGUACCGGAGAGUUGUACUUAGAUUCUAUUAUGAAGGACCUUAGGGAGCUAUAUUCUGAAGUGGAAGUCAAGGUAGCUAUUUCUCAUACGCUUUUUUGAUAUACUUUUGUUAUUUAUUCUCCUAUUUCCUUUUAUGGGACGCUCUUAGUUUCCAUGCACAUUUGUCCUGUUUAAUGCUUCAUGUCAAAUGUAGGUAGCCGAUCCUGUUGUCUCAUUCUGUGAAACUGUGGUGGAGUCCUCGUCAAUGAAAUGCUUUGCUGAAACACCCAACAAGAAGAAUAAAAUAACCAUGGUAAAGAAGACCACUAGUUUUAUUUGAUCUACUUGCUUUUGAGCAUUCUAUCUCAAUGCUCUGGACUUUUAAUUUUGUUCAUCUGGAAUGUUUCUUAAUUUUAUAGAUCGCUGAGCCAUUGGAGAAAGGGCUUGCAGAAGACAUUGAAAAUGGUGUUGUAAGCAUUGACUGGAAUCGGAAAGCUCUAGGUGACUUCUUCAAGACAAAAUAUGAUUGGGAUUUGCUUGCAGCACGAUCCAUAUGGGCUUUUGGCCCUGAUAAGCAGGUAAUCUAGUUGCUUAAUGUAUCCAUGAUUUGAUUUUUUCAAAUGAUAUGUGAUCAAAUCCUGCUCAUGUUUUGAUACCUCAAUUCCUCAUUUUUUCAAUGAUUGGAUUAAAUGAACUUAAUUUAAUCUUAUUUGUUUUUGAUAUCUGCAGGGACCUAACAUUUUGCUAGAUGACACACUUCCAACUGAAGUGGACAAGGGAUUACUAGGUGCCGUGAAGGAUUCUAUUGUUCAAGGGUAAACUGGAAUUUUUGUCUGUUCUUUUACCAUUUAACCAAAUGCCUAACUAGAACCUUCAUUUUCUUUUGGACAGGUUUCAGUGGGGUGCACGAGAAGGACCACUUUGUGAUGAACCAAUCAGAAAUGUUAAGUUCAAGAUAGUUGAUGCUAGGAUUGCGCCUGAACCACUUCAUCGUGGAUCUGGUCAAAUAAUUCCAACAGCUCGGCGUGUGGCCUACUCAGCUUUUCUUAUGGCAACCCCAAGGCUCAUGGAACCCGUAUAUUAUGUGGAGGUACUUACUUGAUAAUUGUAUUAUAUUAAAGAAAUAUGCAUACCUAAGGGAGAAUAUAUAGACUUUUCCUGCUUGUUACUGUGACUAAAGGAACAAGACAGCAGUGGAAUAUGAUGAAUUUGACAGAAAGCUCAGUAGAAUGCUCAUCCUCAGUUUCCAUAACAUACUAUUUUGAAUAAAUGCAAUUAGCUCAUUUAGAGUUAGAGUUUCUUGCUUGGAUUGUCCUACUAAUUGUGUUUUAUGUUCUUUCAGAUACAAACACCAAUUGACUGUCUCACUGCAAUCUAUACGGUGUUAUCUCGCAGACGUGGGCAUGUUACAGCAGAUGUUCCUCAGCCUGGGACUCCAGCUUAUAUUGUUAAGGUGAUAGCAGCACUUUUUCGUACCCAGCUUACAUGCUGUUGGUUUUAUACAAGUAAAUAUAUGGAGAUGGUUGACACACACCCACAUAUACUUCAAGCUUUCUCUUAUUCGUUUCUAAUUUUUGAAAUUGGAUUUCAGGCAUUUUUACCUGUCAUAGAAUCAUUUGGUUUUGAGACGGACUUGAGGUACCAUACCCAAGGUCAAGCAUUUAGCCUCUCGGUGUUUGAUCAUUGGGCUAUAGUCCCUGGAGAUCCCCUUGAUAAGAGCAUUGUUCUGAGGCCACUUGAGCCUGCACCAAUCCAGCACCUUGCCCGUGAAUUUAUGGUGAAGACAAGGCGUCGCAAGGUAUACCCCUCUCCCUUCUCCCAGGGUCUCUCUCUUUCUGUUACGUGGAUGACUUUUUCAAGCUCUUGGAGCGUUGGAAGAUUGUUACUUCAAAAUUUAUUAUUUUUCUGAGCUGCACGAGAAUUCCAAAUCUAGCAUAGUGCUCUAUGGAAAUGGGUUUUUUAUAACACCUCCUAUGCUGUUAAUAGAUAAAACCAAUAGCCAUUUGGUAAUGCUUUUUGUUUCGAUUCUAUAUUCCAGGGAAUGAGUGAAGAUGUGAGCAUUAACAAGUUCUUCGAUGAGGCUAUGGUGGUUGAGCUGGCUCAGCAAGCAGCUGAUAUUCAUCAACAAAUGAUGUGAUACUUCCAAUGUUGGUGCUUAUUUAGCCAUAGGCCAUAGGAAGCACUUCUUUCAGGCAGUUUUUAUCUGUCUUUACAUGUGUUGAAACCUGGAUAGCAGAUAGUAGUGCAGACUGAUAUCCCUAGCAGUUGGGGCAGAACACCGCUAACAAAAAGAAAGGAUGUCCAACGAGUAAAUUCAAAAUUUUGAAUGUUUGAUGUAAUAUUGUAUAAUAUUUACUGUUAGUGGCAUGAAAAACUCUCCUUUUGAGCCCAGGGAGGUGGUAAUGCAAGCAAGGUUGGAUUAUUUGUUCGAAGAUCUCAUGAUUGGUUUGCUCACCUUAUUUGGGUUUGCCUUACUGGCAUGCCUCCCCACCGCAAUACGGGCAUCGAGGCCUCCAAACAAACAUCCUGCCCUCCUGGGAUUAAAACAUUAACCUUGAAGUGAAGGGAUAAAAAUAAAUCAAGAAGAAACAUAGUAUGUGUUAUUGCCAUUAAUAUAACCUGGAACAGAAUCUCUUUUAUCAUCGCAACAUUAACUUCAGCUAACUACUAACUCUUGAUAACUACUAACUCUUGAUGGUUACAAAUCGUCUAUUCGUUCUUUUUAUUUUGAUGUUCUAUUUUUGGAUCUUAUCAUUUCUCGAUAAAUUUGCUUUAAUUGCCUAUAAUUUUUUUUAUAGUUGAUUUGUUUGUGUGAACAACAAUUCGUAGUUGAUUUGUUUGUGUGAACAGUAGCAUGCUGAGUAGUGUUUUCACCAUGCCUUUUAAAUUAUAAUUAAUAAUAACAAGAGGAUUAUUACUUUGUUUCAAUGUGUAGCCAAUAUUGUAUGAGAGCUAGGUGGUCGGAUGAUGUUUUACAUUGUAGUUGAACUAUAUUUUUAAAAUAUUUUGAAUUUUUUAGUUUUAAAUUUUUUUGUGUGUGUUUUUGGAUCGUUUUGAUGUGUUGAUGUUAAAAAUAAAAUUUUAAAAAAUAUUAUUUUGAUAUAUUUUUAAAUAAAAAAUAUUUUAAAAAACAAUUUCUAACACUCUAAGACAGUGUUUGUUUAAGAGGUUGCAUCAAAAACCUAUUUGGUAAUUAAAAAAAUAUCUGUUAUUGUUCAUGGGUCUCACGGAAUGCUGCAUUUGAAAUGCAAGAACAAGAGAAGUAGCUUUGAAAUGCAAGAACAAGAGAAGUAGCUAGGAGCUGCUUCCUGCGCAGCAAAACGCUGAACCAUGCUCCACUGUUCAGUGAACAGUGGAGGCAUGCAUCCACUGUUCCGGCCGGACCGGGUCCGGUUUAAAGCUCAAAAUGCAUUGAACCAGUCCGACCCAGUAAAAUAAAAAAAUUAUUUUUUAAUUGUGUUUUAUUCGAAAAACUAGUGUUUAACAUUAUUCAAUGACACUACUUAAAUUAGACGGAGAGCGCUUGAACACGUAACAUUUGUAGAAUUUGAUCGCAAUCCCAAAUUAUAGAUAGUUUAAUGGAACAAUAAAAAAUAUUUUAUAUAAAGUAUUAUUUAUUUCAUGAUGUAAUAACAAUAGUUAAAUCUACAAUAUUUAAAUUAAAAACCAUUAAUAUUAAUAUAUAUUUUUUUAAAAUUAUUUUAUAACGUCAAUUUCAAAAACAUUCUUAACCAAACACAUUAAACUACUUUUUAUUUAACCUCAAUUUCAACUACAGUUUUAACCAAACAUACAUAAAUACCAAACCAACCUCAACUAAAUAUAUUUUUUAUAAAAUAACUUUUUUUAAAUUAUAACCACAAAAGCCACAGAAUACCAAACAGUUGCAUGACUUAAAGAUCUUCUUAGAGGAAAGGAGAUGGAAAUGCAAGGGGCUUUUUAAUACUUUUUUUAAAAAUUCUGUUACUAGGUUUUGCAAGAAUAUAUGAACUUGUUAUUAUUAAUCUAAGUUUUUCUUUUUAUUAUGAAUACUAGCAUGUUGUUUUGCAAGUGGAUUAACCCUUUUUUUCUCUUCAAAUCUGAUCUUAAAAAAAGAAGGAAAAUCAACCUAUUCACUUUAAUGUCGAGUCAAACAUUUCUCCUUCUCAGUUAAGAAAACAAAACACAUUGGGGGCUUGGACCGUUAAUAAAAUGCCGAGAAUCACGAAUGGUCCAUCUCCUUCUCAUAUUUGAUCAUAUCAAAUUCCUUACUUUUAAUUGGAUCAAAUCUACCCUCCCAUCUUCACCAAUAAUCAAAUGGUUAUAUGAAUUCCAUGUGUUUUGAUAUAUUAAUUAUUAAGAUGAAGGAUCUCUAAUCGAAAAUAAAGGGACCAAUUUGACUCAAUGUAAAAAUAAAUGAUGUAAAUUGACCAAUUUACAAAACUAUAGGGAUGAUUUUGAAGCAACUGGAAAACGAAACAUCAGGCUAAACCCCAUCUGAGAUCCAACUCUCUGCCCAGAGAACCUAACCCUCCCUUUGGUCUAAAACUAACGUAAUCAUCUUCUUUUUUUCCUCUUAAUCACCAAUCCAUGUCUUAAAAAUCAUAAAAUUCUUAUCGAUUGGGUUUUCAAUUUUGUAAUACACGAUACACACACUUCCCCUUCUUUUCUCAUUUCUGCUCAAGAUUUCAUCUUUUUCUCUUUUUUUCCAAAAAGGCACACGCAUUGUGAUUUCUCUAAACCCUAAUCACAGAUCCAAAAUUUUUCUUCGGCUUAACCUCAAUUGCUAUUGAGUUCCACAAUUUCUUCUUAUACAGCAGAUUUACCCUUAAAAGUUUGGAACUUUAAGGGUAAAUCAUAUUGAAGGUUAGGAUUUUUUUGCAAUGAGCUGAUGCUACUGUGAUUUUUCUUUAUCAAUUACAAUGCAAUCGAAAACCCAAAUUCUUGCUCCAGCUUUUACCCUUUUCCCAUCUCUUAAACCUCCAAACAAGACCCUAACUUUUCACCAAUUUACAGUCUUGGCCAUCACCUUUCUCGCUUAUGCUUCAUUUCAUGCCUCAAGAAAGCCACCAAGUAUUGUAAAAGGUGUGCUUGGACCCAAAAUUCAAUUGAACUCUUCAACGAUUGAGUCUAAUUUAACUUCAUUAGAAUCCAAUGGUACUGGUUGGGCUCCCUUUAAUGGCCCUAAAGGGACUCACCGGCUUGGUGAGCUUGAUCUUGCAUUUUUGUCUGCAUAUUCAAUAGGAAUGUAUUUUGCAGGACAUGUUGGUGAUAGGAUUGAUUUAAGGUUGUUUCUUGUUUUUGGAAUGGUGGGUAGUGGUCUUUUGACCAUUAUUUUUGGGUUAGGUUAUUGGUUUAAUGUACAUUUGUUAGGAUAUUUUGUGAGUGUGCAGAUUUUGUGUGGUUUGUUUCAGUCUAUAGGGUGGCCUUGUGUGGUGGCAGUGGUUGGGAAUUGGUUUGGGAAAGCUAAGAGAGGGUUGAUAAUGGGAAUAUGGACUUCCCAUACAUCGGUAGGGAACAUUAUUGGGUCGGUUGUGGCAUCCGGGGUUUUGGAGUUUGGUUGGGGUUGGUCAUUUGUGGUGCCCGGAGUUUUGGUAAUUUUAGCUGGGGUUUUAGUGUUCCUGUUUCUUGUUGUUAAUCCUGAAGAUAUUGGAUUUGAGACUCCAGGGAAGGAAAUUGAAAUGGAUGUGGAGGUGAAUGGUUUGGAGAAUUUGGAGAAGGUGGAAUCAGAAGAAGCAGGGCUUCUUGGGGAGGAAAACUUGGAUUCUACCGCAGCCAUCGGAUUCCUGGAGGCUUGGAGAUUACCUGGUGUGGCACCAUUUGCUUUCUGCCUCUUCUUUUCAAAGCUAGUGGCGUACACUUUUCUAUAUUGGUUGCCCUUCUACAUAAGUCACACAGGUAUUUGCUUCUUCUUGACUUUGAAAUUCUUAUCAAGAGCUGAUUUGCUCAUGCUAAUCAUUUUUGCAUGCAUUUAGAUAUGAGUGUCAUAUAAGAACGGGACUGUGAUGGCGAUGAGAAUUUGCUAUCAUCAACACAAAUGGUGCCCUUAUUUAUGAAUUCUCGAAAUUUGAUUGUAGGAGACCAUUUCUUCUUAUCAUGGCUUGAACUCUCUUUUAUUGGUUCAUCUGGCUGAUGCACUCGCAUCUUUUUGCUUAGUUUGCUGAAGUAUGCCUUUGCAUAUAUUUGAAUUUGUUAGAUGCUGGAUGUCAGUUUUAAUAAUUUUUUUUUUGGGAAUUAAAGAUGUUGCUGGCGUGCAUGUGUCCCACAAGACUGCUGGAAUUCUUUCAACGGUAUUCGAUAUUGGAGGAGUCUUUGGCGGAGUUUUGGCAGGAUUUGUAUCUGAUAUGAUUGAAGCUCGGGCAGUGACUUCAAUAGUAUUCUUGCUUCUAUCAAUUCCAGCCCUUGUUCUGUACCGGGUUUAUGGAAGCGUGUCUAUGCUCCUCAAUAAUGCUUUGAUGUUUCUUUCUGGGCUGCUUGUAAAUGGCCCGUAUGCUCUAAUUACAACAGCUGUUGCAGCUGAUCUUGGUACCCAGGACUUGAUUAAAGGAAAUUCCCGAGCCUUAGCUACUGUGUCUGCAAUUAUAGAUGGCACAGGUUCUGUUGGGGCAGCUGUUGGCCCCCUUCUGGCAGGGUAUAUCUCCACAAGAGGAUGGAACAGUGUCUUUCUUAUGCUUAUUGUUUCUAUAUUCCUUGCGAGUUUGUUCUUGAUUCGAGUUGCGAAAAGUGAGAUUAAAGGGAUGCUGAACGAUAGAAAAUGGCUUUCAAACAAUGCAACUGCUCAAUGAUGGAAAGUGCUUCUAAGAUUAUCGUCUGUAUUCCUUUUACAUCUAGUCAUAGAACAGGUUCCAUGGAAAAACACUUGGAUAUAAAGGAUCCUGCAAGUAUACAUGUCUGUAUUUUGUAACUCAUUCUUUGAUCAGAUAUAUUCUUACUUUCUGUUGUACAUGUACAAACAAAGAUACCAAUAAUAUAAGCCUUCUACAUUCUACACUACUGUUCAGGGACACUCUAGCACCCGCUAUUUCUAACAUUUUUUAUUGGUUCAUCACAAAUUGGUAUUCCUAGCACGUCCAGCAAUCAACCUUUAACAGUCGAAGAUACAACACUUGGAGGGCAUUCUCAAAAAUAAAUAAACAAAUAAAAUUUGAGGGGCAUGAGAUGGAUUACAAGCAUUGCAUGUUGUGCCCUGUAACAGAACAGUUUAAGUGAUUUAUCAAGAAGGUAAAGCAACACCAAAUUUCACAAAUGAUAGUCUUACAGCUUUGUGGAUAUGUAAACUGAUUGUUGGAGAUCAAACAUGCCAUUUCAAUAUAAGCGAUUAAUUACCUUAUAUGGUGAAUCCAGAGAAUGAGUACACAGAGAUAAGAAUGGCUGUGCUAUUUUUAGUAGUAACUGAAACUGUAUAUAGCAACGAGCUUGAGAUUGAACUAGCUAUAUGACCUACCCGUGCUCUGCCACAACUGCGAUAAAAAAAAUUUAGAAAAAAAUAAUGUUCAUCAAUGCAGCGUAUUUUAAAGGAAGCAUGAAAAAAAAUAAUAAUAUUAGAUGAUAAAAUAAAAUAAAAAAAAAGAUGUUAUUUGAGUUAUUUUAUUAAAAACAAUAAAUUUAAAAUAAAAUUAAAGUUUAACUCUCAAUAAAUCAAAUAUUGAAUGAUAUAAUUAAAAAUAAUAUAUAUAUAAGGAUUAAAAAAUGUAAUAAUUGUUAGCUAAAAACUAACUUGAGUUUGUCUGAGUUAACUCACCAAACUAAUAGUUAGGUUAUGAGAUCGAGAUAAACUGAGAGAAGAAAAAUAAAAAUAAAAUUACGAAAUCUUAUUUUUUAAAAGACCAAUGUUAAUCCUUGUUAGCCUAUAAAACCCAUGUUUUAGGCCAUUUGACUAGAAGUAUCAAACAUGAAAAAAUCAUGAAAGUCAAUUCUUAACAAAUCAAAUAUUAAUCAAUUCUUAAUAAAUCAAAUAUUAAAGGAUAAAAAAACAUCAAUCACACAAAAAGAUUCAAAAGAAAAAAACAACAAUAAUUAAAACGAAAAAAAAAUAGUCCACUCGAGUUAACUCCUAAUUAUAAAAUCAAUGUAAAAAAACUAAAAAAACCAUUAAAUCUAUUUUUUUAAAAAAAUUCAACUUCGGGUAAAGACGUCUAAAUAUAUACACCGCAAAUUGCUAUGUUUAAAAACUCAUAUUUUUAUAAAAUAUAAAAUAUUGACUUAUAUUAACGAAAAUUCAAGUCUCUAUGAAUCUAUUUUAAAGGAAGAAUUAAAAGCCGGAUUAUUUCAUUUAAAUAAAAUAUUGAAUAAAGAUUAAAUAUUGUAUUAUUUGGUAUGAUAGAGUAAUUCAUCUUAUAACUAAUAAAACGAAGAAUAUCAUUUUGAUGUUUCUUUUGCUGUUACGUAUGAUUGGAAAUAAGUUUUGAUAAAUUAGUUUGCAACAUAAAUAGAUUUGUCCCUCAAAUAUCAAUUUUAUUGAUUGGGUCCUUCAUCUAUAUACCUCUCCGCAAUCGGAUCCUUUUGUUAAAAUAAUUGAAGGCAGUAUUGAACAACGAUGCACCUUCUGGCCAUUAAAUGUUUGGUCACCGUAAUUUUUUUAAUAUGUUUUGGAUCGUUUUAAUGUGCUGAUCUCAAAAAUAAUUUUUAAAAAAUUAAAAAAACAUUAUUUUGAUACAUUUCAACACGAAAAGUACUUUAAAAAACAAUCGCAACCAGACUCCUAAAAUCCAGCUAUCACCUUCAAUUCCAGACAAGUUAGAAAAACAAAGGCAUGAUUGAAGCAAUUUUAUGACCACACGCAUGCUCCUACAUGUGUUAAAUAGAGGGGAAAGUUGGCAUUCUCACAUCUAAUUGAUAAAAUUGGUGGCCUUUUCUUUUAUUUCCACGAAAUUCAAUUUUCAAUUUCAUCCUUCUUUACAUGGUGCCAUUUUGCAAGCCACUUGCUCGUUAGCCUAGUAGAGAGUAUCUCUUAGCCCUUGGGUCCAAAUCUUUGAGUUAAGUAGAAACUUAGUUGAAUGAAAAGAGCCCUGAGACGUUCGUAUAUGAUUUUACACAAGCGUGAAAGAGAAUGCGCCUGCAUAAACAAAACAUUAAUUGUUACUGUGAUCAAUGCAUCUUCUGGAUGAAAGAAUACCAGAGAGGUGAAAUCAUGCAGUUAAGGGCAUGCUUACUCUGGCAUUGAUCAUUUACCCUAAAUCAGUCCCUGCCUCGUAUAAGCAAAUCCAUUCUUCGGACCAAUUUCUUACUAGGCACCUUUAGCAGGCAAUGACAAGAUAAAGGGGAGAAAAGGGAAUGUAUAGACUGUUGCAAGGACUCCAGUGAAUGAGGCAAGAAUGAUAGGAGGGAAGAAAAAUGCAGAUUCUAUUUGCCCAUGAAUUUAUAUACAGCAUACACCAACAAAACUUGAGGACAGCCAAUUUAGCUAUGUACUGUUAUUUGAUUGGCUCUACCCUCCUCCACCACCUGGGGAACUUGGAUGGAAAGUUUUAAGCACUACCUUCUAGCAAGCAUUUGAGAUUCUGAAGCCCCUCGGCGGAAAUGCUUCGCCUGACUCUUGCCCUCUGUACCACCACUGGUGGCGGUGGCUCUGAGUGAAAGCUAACAAUUACAACUGUCAAGUUGUCAGUUGCUCCCCGUUUUAAUGCUUCCCCUACCAUUUCUCUGCAGCAUCGCUUCAAAUCAUUGUGCUCUUGAAGUCUCUUCCGAACAAAAUCUACUGCAUUUUGAUUUGAAUAUACAUCCCAUAUUCCAUCACUUCCGAUUAUCAAGAACUCAUCUUCCUUCGUCAGUGUAACCAAUUUAAGUUCUGGUUCGGCACUUAAGGGCCCACUUCUGUCACCCUUUUUCUUCAUUCCUUCAAGGUGCCAAUCACCUAAUGCGCGGGUAACAGCUAACUGACCAUUUAGAUAACCAUCAUCAAUGAAUCCACCUAAGGACUCAAUUCUUGUCCUUUCUUUCAUGCAGCAAGGUCUAUGAUCCUCUGACAUUUCCUUCGCCCCUCCACCCCGUGAUAAUACUGCCCGACAAUCACCAGCAUUUGCCACAAGCAAUGACCUGUCCAAGAAAGACAUUUUUUUAAGAUAACGCACUUUGUGAGAAGACAUAACAGAAUGUCAAUAUAUGAUAAAACUAAUGGAUUGGAGCAAUUCCUGACAACGCAAGAUCUUAGGUGACAUGACAGAUCUUUUUGAUUGGUCAGAAAGCUACAAUUGGGUCAUCAUUAACCUUAAUGACUAUAGCACAUUCAGGACUGUUAACCCAGCACAGAAUGGCCUUGGAAGUGACAGAUGGACUAAACAAAAGGGAUGCAAAGGGCUAGAAAGUCAUGAAUAAACCAUAGGAAGCAGAUGACUGACUACAGAAAAACGAUAAGAAGCUGUUACCUCCCAAAUAUCAUUGCAGUAAGUGCAGUCGUGCCAGAAGAACGGCCUGACUCAAGGGAGCAUGACUUUUCAAAUGCAGCAUCAAUCUCAAUGAAUGAUCUUGUAACCACUUUCUCAAGUUUUACAGGGAAAUCGGCAUCCUCAACAAUGACUCUUGGUAAAUGCUCGCGUACAAAAUGUGCUGCAGUCUUUCCUCCAUGCCCAUCAAAUACCUGUUUUCCAAAGUAUAUUUAAUUCUUAAAAUAAGAAAGAAAAAAUUCCACUUCCAAUUGCUUGUUGGCUUUGUUUUUCUAAACUAUUCAUGCAAUGCAAUUACAUCUUAUCUGUUUCCAGAUGAGCAAAGUUCAAAUGAGAGAGCUAUUCUUGGUGUCAGAUGAGCACAGGUUUCUAGGAUGCUGAUUGAAAACAUGGAAGUUUCAGAUUUUCAAGUUUAAAGUGAUGCUCAGAUUUAUUUAAAGUGGUAAGCUCCGAUUCAAUUUUAGAUUAAUACUUUCUAGAACCUUCACACUUGCUAUCAUAAUCAUAAGUGAUAUGUUCAAAGAGAGAUACUACAGUCUUCCAUCAAGGUACACUAUGGUGUAGUUAAUCUCAUAAGCGAAAGAAGCCUAUAUCCUAAAAUAUUGCUACCCGAUGAACUAGAAGACCAAAAGCUAUGAUUUUUCCAUAAGGGAACAGAAAGCACAAGUAAAAAUACAGUAUUGAUUAGAACCAAAACAGCACAAAAACAUAAAAUUCAUUAGCAGCUGAAAUAGCAGAUGAACAACAGAACAGGAAAAUAACUUACACCAUAGAAAGAAAUAGCAUGCUCGCUUAGUAAACUGUAACCAAACUUCUUAGCCAAGUCACUAAUGCAAAUGUGCGUAUCUUCCAUAUAAGGCCGACCACCAAUAUCAGACCACUCUCCUGAGCGAAGGGUGGGAAAAAAAUCUGUUAACAGAUUCUGUUUCCUUUCUGUGACCACUCUAUCCUCACAAAUGCUUUCCAACUGAAUGAACCACCACAAACAAAAAAAACUAAAAAUGAGAUAGCAGAAGAACAAAUAGUGAUAAAGAAUAAUAUUCCAUCAGAGGGUAUAGCAACAAUGAUAUGUGUAUCUGGCCAAUAUAAGUAUGCACUAUUGCAAACUAACAGUGAAGGGAAAAAUAAAUGGAUAAGAACCAAGUACAAAGGCAAUAACAAAAAUGAGAUUAUAGACAUAGAAAGGUAUUAAAUGAUUGAUAAUUAAGAAUAUAGAAGGGUUCCUGCAUACAGUUUACAAGAUAUUAUAUAAAUAAAAGUUAAAUCAGGGUUACUAUGACAAAUUGACAACCAUUACUGCUCUUUAAUCAAUACCGAAGUCACUGGAGAAAAUCUCUCUCUCUCUCUCUCUCACACACACACACUAUCUAUCCAUCUAUUUCUCCAUGACAACCAUGAGUCCAAGAAGAACAGCGACUAAGUCAAGGGAAUAUAAUUGAAGUUAAUUAUUUACCACAGAAAGCAACACCACCAUGUUGGUGGUGUGCAAAAAGGUAAAUUAAUACAAAAGAAAAGUCAUAAUACUGUAGCUACCAAAUUGAAGUACCAAACAAUAAAUUAUUCAAGGCAGAGAUAUUAAGCUAGGAAAAAAAAAGUUACAGCCACUUAUCUCCAAUGCCCACCAAAUACAUGAACCAGCAACAAUUUCAUAAUUACACAACCAGCUAAAAGUCUGAAACUUUUUAGAGUAAGGAAAAAGAAAUCAGAAAGCAAUUAUGGAUCAUCAAUAACUUCAUAAGUUUCAGAAAAAGAAAACAAUAUGGAAAAAGAAAUUAUGGAAAAAGAAAUCAGAAAGCAAUUAUGGAUCAUCAAUAACUUCAUAAGUUUCAGAAAAAGAAAACAAUACAAGUUCCUCAACAAACAUCAAUUUAAACAAAGCAGUAAUGAACAGAAAGCAAUAAACUCAAUUCUAACAACGACGACGACGACGACAAAAAGAAGCAAAAUUCAGAACACAAAUAUGGGCAAACAAAAAAAGAAAAGACCCAACUUGGGAAACCAAUGAAAUUUGAGAAAGAAAAGAAAUAUUACAGGAUAAGAGUUGGCAACACUGAUCCCACCACUAGAACUAAUCAAAGAAGAGUCUUGAUCAAAAUUCUCCAUCUGGGUUUGCAAGAGGUCACCAUGCAAAGGCAAAGAUUGCAUCUUGUUGCUAUUGCUGUUAUUACAACUACUAUUAUUGUCAAUUGGGUUCUACAUUUCUUGCUUUGCAUCCUUUACACACAUGGUUGUUGUCAAUAUUAUUAUUGUUAUUAUGUUGGUGACAGAAAAAAGAAAACAAGAAGACUUAUUUAAGUCUUUAGCAACUAGUUGUUGUCUUUGUAGGAAUCCAAAGAAGCAACAACACGAGCCAAAAAAAAAACACAGAGGAAGACACAAGGAGAGAGAGAAUCAAAGAGAAAAACUUGGAAUACAGAGAGGGGGGGUGGAAGAUUCUGUGGAAUAUCUCUAUCGUGAUGAUGGUGAAAAUAAAAUGAAGGACUAGUUGAUGCCUUGGUGGAGGGAGGGUGAGAGAAAGAGAGUAUAAAUAAGAGCUGUUAAAUUCCAGAUUUUUCUAAGAAAGAGUGGCUGAAAAUCAGUUGGUUAAGCUGUUCUUGUUUUUGUUGUUCUUAUGGGCAUGCUGGAUGCAUAAAAUAAAUCGUACAGUUUUGGGUAUUGUGAUGUUUUUUUAUAAAAAAAAAUAUAUUAAAAUAUUAGAAAAUAAAAAAACAAAAAAAAAUAUUUUUUUAAGCACGGCCACACCGCUAAGCUUUUAAUUGCUAAAAGGACUUUGAUGUUGCUAUAUAUUAUGGCAUAAUUGCUAAUAUUGUCAAAGCUUGAAUGAGUUGUUGAUAAAUUAAGAUCAUGGUAUUUUAUAAUAUUAAUAUGAGGAGUUGGUCAAAUAUAUAUCAUUUUUAUUCCUUGGAGUGUAGACUUUAGAAUAAAAUUUUAAUUUAUUUUCAAGUUUCAACAACCUAAUUUGUUUUUAAUCCAUGAUGAUCGAUAUUUUAAAUUAAGAUCAUGGUAUUUUAUAAUAUUAAUAUGGCCUUUGUGUACGAGGGAUUUGGUAGGGAGAAUUUCUAGGUAAAGUUUACUGAACAAGAAAAAGAUUUUGCCUUUGUGACAUGAAUUCAUCUGGGUUCUGGAAUUGUGAUGGAAAUCCAAUAAUUCAAUGUGCCUCCGAAGUUCAGCAUUGGAUAAAUGAUGGCCCGAAUCAUUUGAAAUGAAAUCCCAUUUCAUUUCUCGAAAGUUCAUGGAACCAUAAUAUUUGGUAAUUUUUUUUUUGACAUUGCAAUAAUGUUUACUCUUCAAAUUAUUUUUUAUUUAAAAAAAUAGUAAAUUAAUAUUUAUUUACAUAUUUUUCAAUGAUUUUAAUAUGAUACUAUUAAAAAUAAAAGAAAUUAUAAAAAAUAUUAUUUUAAUAUAUUUUUAUUUAAAAAAUAUUUUUUAAAAACACAAUGCACCACGUUAUUAAACACACUCAAAAUAAAAAUUAACUUUUUUUAAUGCAUAAAUAAUUUUUUUUUUAGUUGUGAUAGUUCACAAAUUAUUUUUGAAAAAAGUUACUCUAAUCAUGAUAUAAUUUAGUUGUUUUUAAACUUAUUCUUCGUGUUUUUUAAAAUUACAGUUUAUAUUCUUGAUAAGUAUAAAAUAAACUAAAUUAUAUUGCGCAACAAGGUUUAAGAUAUAAAUUAUAAUUUUUUAAAAUACAGAAAAUAAAUAUAAAAAUGACUAAACUAUAUAAACUAAUCAAGCUAAUUUCUCUUAUUUUUAACUAUUGUGCUGUUUUUUUUAUAUAAAAAAAAUAGAAGAAAAAAACCCCUUCGAUCACCUGUUGAAAGCAUCCAUCAAGAUGAUGCAAUGGGACAAUUUCACCCUUAUAUAACAUGGAAAUAGACUCUUGUGGGAUUUACUUGCAUCAUUCCCAGUCAGACUGAAAAGACCAUCAUUAUUCAUUCUUAAGAGCUACAUAAAGGUUGUUAAUGAUUGCAGCGAAGCUACUAAAUGUUUUAUGGUCAAAUAUCAAGAGAUCUGAACAUUUUCACCCCCUUCACAUGUCAAUUCUCCAUGCCUAAUGGGGCUUGGUUUAUUCAUUCAAUUGCUAGAAAGAACAGAGAAUGAGAUGCCAGGAGAAUUGGUUUUCAUUGGUUAGUGUGUGAGCUAAAAGAUACUUGAUAAAUCGUGGGACGAUGAUGGAAGACAAUGACUUCGGAUUUAUUUCCCUUUUGCUUUCUACAAAAGGUAGUGGUGGCUCGCACCGUUUUCUCUUCUAUAAAAUAUAUCUUUUUCGAAGCUAAAAGGGCCCUUGCAAUCAAUGCCAAGAGAGUUCACAUCCUAAGGCUACCUUGCUCGUCUUUCUUUGCAGUAUAAAAAUCUUUCUUUCAAGGGAAAUGCAGUCCCAAUUCUUCCCAUCAAGGAAAGUAUCAAGAUGUUGUCUAAAAAGAAUGCAAGAGGGAUCGCUCCUUUUGUGUGGUUUGGAAUUGAGCAUUACCAAAAAAGUUAGGUUAUUAUAAUCAUAAACCUUUUCUCGCACUUUACACUGGUCAAAGACACAAGAUAAAUAAAUAAAUAAAUAAAUAAAAUGAAGCCGCUUUCAUUAGUCUUAUGAUUUUGUUGACGAAGGAAUCAUCUUGGUUGCUUCGUAUAUGACCUAGGAGGGUCUUAGCCUUCAACAUGAUCCAUUCAACGAUGAAUUAGUGUUUUUAGCAUAAGCAUUUGGCAUCUUCUCCCUUUCAAAUCCACAAAUUUGUUUGCUCUAAAGAUAUGCCUUACAAGUUUGAAAGCAAUAAAUUAAGCCUUUAAAAAAAAAUAAAAAAGUGAUGGUCCAAUUAAGACCAACCCAUCAAGCCAUGUGGAUCCAGAUAGCACAGUCCCGUAAUCCUUCCACUGCCAAGAGCGGGAGGUAUUCGCUGCUCUGUGAAACCAGCCUCACGCUGUGCCCUCCACUCUAGGAGUCAUGACACCCCAGUUUACAGGAGGAUGCCAUGGCUCAACUCAUGGCUUGGAACGGGCAGGCCAGAUUCGAGCCCCACCGAACUCAGUUAUCUAAGCUAAGGCAACGUUCCAUCACAUCAAAGCUCCCACUUGGGUCACAAGCCCACGUUACUGAGCUCAGCAGAUCUGCUAUGGGGAUGAACGAGUGUUGUAAAGUAGUGGUAUGUUUUCUUUUCUUUCAAUGUGGGAUUUCAUUCACACCUCAAUCAGGUGGUUUAUGGGGGGAAUCUGUCAAAGAAAACACUGCACUGAAAAUAAAAACGAAUAAGAUAUUGAACCCAAAUCGCAUUGAAAAUAAAAACGAAUAAGAUAUUGAACCCAAAUCGCAUUGAUUGUGACAAGCAUUGUGCUGGGGGGGUUAUUAGACAUUGGAGAGGAUGUGGAGUGUCAAGUUCGUGGCUCUAAUCAAAGACAAACAAUGGACCAUGGUUACGUCAACUUUAGAUGAAGAGAAAGUAGAAGGGCCUAGAUGGAUGGAAUGUGGUUCAAUUAUAUUUUUAAAAAAUUUUGAUUUUUUUUAUUUUAAUUUAAUUUUUUUUGGAUGUUUUUGAACCGUUCUGAUUUACUAAAAUUAAAAAUAAAUUUUAAAAAAUAAAAAUAUUUUAAUUUAUUUUCAAACAAAAACAUUUUAAAAAAUAACUUCUACGAUCUCGUAGAAUAAUUGCAUGCUAAUCUCAAAAUAAAGCAAGAAUCUUGUGAGGUCACGGGAUAGGAAUUCAUUCUAUAAGCAAGGUAUGGAUGGCUAGAAACACACAGGAUGGAUGGAUUUUAAGCCCUCUGUGCUACAAAUGAGAUUCCACUCUUUCUGCGAGAAAAUGCCAAUACUCUAAAGUAAAUAAGAGAUAAACUUCGUUAAGAUCUAGAAAAACCUUAAUUCCUUCUAAGAUAAUCAUAAAGCAUGUCUGGACGCUAUGGAGGCCCUCUCUGUUUACGGUCAAAGACAAAAAAAAUGAAGCCAUUUUCAUUAGAUUAUGAUUUGAUUGACAAAGGAAUCUCUUUUGCUUGACUGGUACGUGUCCGAUCUCAGCGGCAGUCCAUUUUCUUCCACUGGCACCUGUUACGUCAUUGCACUAGCAUUUGGCAACUUGUUGUGUCUUUUAAACCUUUAUCAAACCCGGCUCGGGAUUGAACCGGUCAAAGAAUUGAGCUCUAGUUAUACAGGUUGAUUUAAAUAAACCUAAAUCAACUUGAAAAAAUUAAAAAAUAAUAUAUGUUAUUCAUGUUAUAAAUAAUUAGAUUUUAAAAAAUAUUUUAAAAUGUUUUCUAAUCCACGUAAAAAAAAACAUAAUUUUUUUAUUGUGAGCAUUGAAUAUAUAAAGAGCUUCAAAUAUAAAAAUAAAACAUAUUUUUAUUAUUUUAUAUUUAUAUAAUGAACUUUAAAUUAAUAAUUAACUGAAAAAAACAUAAAAAAAAGAAUUUUUGAUAGGAUGAAAACUACAUUUGAACAAAAAAAAAAAAAAAAUAUCUACCAAAUUUUAACGGAUCACCUAAAUUCCAGGUUGAUUCAACCAGUCAAAUAAUUUUCUCCAGGCUAACCCAAGAUUCAUGACUCUGUCGAAGAUUCGUAAAACAAAAAAGAAACGAUUACAAAUUAAAAAAAGUGACGGUCCAAUUAGACCAGCUCUUCAAGCCAUGCAGAUCCAGUUGGCACCGGCCCGUAAUCCUUCCACUGCCAGGAGCGGGAGGUGAUCGCUGCUCUGUGAGACCAGCCUCACGCUGUGCCCUCCCCUCUAGGAGCCAGAACACCCAGGUCUUCACUAGGAUGCCUUGGCUCAACUCCUGGCUUGGAACGGGCGGGUCAGAUAAGAGACAGCCUGAACCCGACCUUACGUGCAUAGUCCACGUCCCAUCACUUUAAAGCCCCCACUCAGGUUACAAGCCCGCGUUACCGAGCUCAGCUGGUAAGCAUGUGUCAGGAUUAGGUAUAUAACAUUCAUAUAUUUUUCCUUUCUUUCCGAUGUGGGAUGUUCCUCUCUUACGUGUUCAUUAGGGAAAAAGCUUUGAAUGAGCAAAAAUCUCGGGGCAUAAAAGGUAAUAGAUUCAGGAAGGAGAGGAUUCUCCACUUUCUGGAGAAUCUUGCACUAGGUAAACAACAAGAGAAAUUACAUCAUGAACAAUAACUCACGUUCAUGUGUUACCAAACAGCUUGUAGCUUCAAAUCGCAGGAAACGUGGACGCCACCACGUUGCCAAACGGACUCUAAGUCAAUGCAUACUUUUUUUUUUUUUUCAACGUUGGACAAGUAGAAGUGGUGAAAGGGUUGCAUAAAAUUGAAAGAUGAUUGAUUAAUGAAUCAAUGGCAGCAAAAGUUAAGAUCAUGAACCUUGAUGGCUGUAGAACCAUUGCUUUGAAAACAACUCUUUAAUGUAUAUCUUCGACAAUCAUGAUUUAAUUAAAAACAUGAAAAUGAAGAGAAAAAAAGAAUCUCGUUGUCCAUUUGCUGUCAAACUAUGCUGUUCGAAACUCCAGGAGUAGCCUCUUACAUAAGAGAUAACCCUAAAACCAAUAUGGCUGUAACACCAGCAUAAACAGAAAAAAUGGAAGUUAAACCUCACAUUCCUGUGAAGGCCUUCUUCCCACUACAUGGAAAUAUACUACAAAUGAAAUUCCACUAUUUCUGCAAGAAAAUGCCAGUAUUUUAAAGUAAAUAAGAGAGAAACUUUGUUUAGAUCUAGAAAAACCUUAAUUUUCCUAUUAUUAACUAGAACUAAAUAGUGUGGUGUUUUUACUAUGCCCUGCCUCAAUUGUUCAUCCUCUUAUAUUUUACUGUAGAUAGACUAUGUAAAAUUUUAUAUUUUUUUUUUGUACUCGAAUUGUUUUUGGGCAAUUUAGUCUUAAUUAAAAAACAAUUGAUUUUAAAUUCUUAUGAAAAGAUGGGGUUGGAAGAGGGGAGAAUAAAAUGAAAAACACGGCAAACAUGAGUGACGAGCUAUAAGUUUCCAAUUCUAUUUUGGUACAAAAAAAUUAUUUUUGUUAUUUUUUCAUAUUUUUAUUAUUUUAAUUAAUGCUUCUUUUUUAAAAAAAAAAAAAAACUUAAUUAUUUGUACAUUGAUACUCCUCUUUUUUAUUAUGUUUAGAAAGCCUCUUUUAGAUGAAGGUGAUUUUUAGUUAUGUGUUUAAUUUUUGAAAAUAUUUUUCUAAUUCAUCUAUGAUAUAUAUUUUUUUAUCUUUUUUAUAGAUGAACUAUAUUUUUAAAAAUAAAAAAUAUUAAUUUUCAGAUGAUAUUUUCAAUAUGUGUAGCCUUGUAUAUUAUUCAUGUUCUCCUUUUAUUUUAUUCAAUCAAUUUAAUAUGUUUGUCUAUUUUUAUUAUCAUUUGAUUAAAUAAAAAAUAUUUUAAUAAAUAAAAAUUAGCAAACAUGAUCGGGUUGAAGUCCCGUUUUACGAGAUUAAAUAUCUUAAUCUAAAUCUGCUACGAUUUUUCUAGUUUUAUGUUUAGAUGUUGUUAAUUAUUAUUUAUUAGAGUACAUAGUUUUCAAUUUAUUUAAUUAUAUCCGUGAAUAAAUUUUUUGAAUUGCAUAUACAUUUUUUUAUUUAUAAAAAUACAUAGAGAAACUUGUAUAUAAAAAAUAAAAAUAUUUAUUCAUGGACAAGUACAAGUUACAUAACUAGUGAUAAUCAUAAAACAUGUCAUGAUGCCAUGGUGGCACUCACUGUAUAUGGUCAAAGACAAAAAAAUGAAGCCAUUUUCAUUAGAUUAUGAUUUGAUUGACAAAGGAAUCUUUUUUGGCUGACUGGUACUAUCUCAGGCAGCAGUCCAUUUUCUUCCACCUUCCACUGAGUCACUGACAGCUGAUGUGCCAUGCUCAUUUCGGGUAGUUGGUAUAAAAACAAAAAUCAAAAACUUAAUCGAACCGCUAUGCCAAAUGGACUCUGAACCAUGAAUUGGGUCACCUGUUACGUCAUUGCUAGUUUUAAACCGCUAUGUUGAACAUAUAAACAAAAAAAAUGAUAAAAGUGAUGGUUCAAUUAGAUCAGCCCAUCAGGCCAUGCGGAUCCAGGUGGCACCGGCCCGUAAUCCUUCCACUGCCAGGAGCGGGAAGUGAUCGCUGCUCUGUGAGACCAGCCUCACGCUGUGCCCUCCCCUCUAGGAGCCACGACACCCAGGUCUUCACUAGGAUGCCUUGGCUCAACUCCUGGCUUGGAACGGGCGGGCCAGAUAAGAAACAGCCUGAACCCGACCUUACGUGCAUAGUCCACGUCCCAUCACUUUAAAGCCCCCACUCGGGUUACAAGCCCGCGUUACCGAGCUCAGCUGGUAAGCGUGUGUCAGGGUUAGUUUUAUAAAGUUCAAAUAUUGUUCCUUUCUUUCCGAUGUGGGAUGUCCCUCUCUUACGUGUUCCUUAGGGGAGCUUGAAUGAGCAAAAUCUUGGCAUAAAAAGUAACAGAUUAAGGAAGGAGAGGAUUCUCCACUUUCGAUGGAGAAUCUUGCACUGUUGCACCAGGUAAACAAGAAGAGAAAUUACAUCAUGAAAUCACUACCCAAGUCAAGGCAUACUUUUUUUUUUUUUCUUUUCAACGUUGGACAAGUAGAAGUGGUGAAAGGGUUGCAUAAAAUUGAAAGAUGAUUGAUUAAUGAAUCAAUGGCAGCAAAAGUUAAGAUCAUGAACCUUGAUGGCUGUAGAACCAUUGCUUUAAAACCAACUCAAAAUAGCUCUAGCGAUUUAGGUCAUGUUUGUUUGCUGGAAAAUAAUUUCUUUUUUAAAAUGAAUUUCAGAAAAAUAAAUUAUUUUCUGAUAUUUGGUAAUAUAAUGGAAAAUAAGUUGGAAAACACUUUCUAGUGUUUGAUUAUAUCAUGGAAAAUGAGUUGGAAAAUAACUUAUUAAUGUUUUAUUUUUCUCAAGUUUAUUAAAAUAAUAAGGAACAAAUCUUACAAGUUAAAAAGUUGAAUGAGAAUAAAAUUAAAAAAAAAUAUAAUUUCAUAAAUUAUCUCAAAUAAAAUAAAUAAUAAUCAAAAUAAUAAAGAUCAAAUCUAAAAAAUAAAAAAUAAAAAAACGAAGAAAUUAAAAUAAUAAUAAUUAACAUUUCAUAAAUUAUUUCAAAUAAAAUAAGUAACAAACAAAAGAAUGAGGACCAAAUUUGAUAGAUAAAAAAUUUCAAUAAAAAAAUGAUAAGGAAAAAGCAAAUAAUAAUUAUAAAAAUGAGGAGCAAAGUUAAUAUAAAAAUUAAAUUUUAAGAGAUGAAAUUGAAAAAAAAAUAUUCAAAACAAAUAUAUAUAGCAAUCAAAAGUUUGAGGACCAAAUUUGAUAUAAUCAGUAAAUAAUAUGAUAUUUUUAAAUUUUUCACAACUUCCGGAAAGUGUUUUCCGCCCAAAUUUUUCAGGAAGACACUUUCCUAGAAACCAAUUUUUCUGGAAACCAAGCCAAAGUUUUCUUUGACUGGAAAGUGUUUUCCGUUUACCAACUUUUCUAAUGACAAACAAACACAGGAAAGUUUGGAAAGAGAUUUCCUGAGAAUCACUUUCUGGAAAACAAACACAGUCUUAACUUGUAAUAACAAACAAAAAGUACAAAUCUUGUAAGCACAAAUCUUAACUGCAAACGUAAGAAAGUAACCAUGUCUUUAUCAGAAGUUACACAGGCCAAUCUUUCAAAAAAAAAAAAAAAAAAAAAGGAAGAACACAGAUGAGCAAAAAAAAUUGAUGGUUUUAUUGUUCAAAAAAGGAUAAAAAAUACAGAAUCCUAUCUGUUUGUUGAUGAAAUAGCUAGUCCUCUUCCUGCCAAUUACUGCCCAAGACCAACACCACUCUUUUCUGAAUUCCUCUGAUUUUAGGAUUUUUUCUGGCCUUUAUUUUUCAGACACUAAUCUCCAUAUAUUCCCACUGAAAAUCACAGGCAACAGAGGUGAUGGGCAAUCUAUGUCGCCAAGGAGUUGGAAGAAUUUCAUGAGCCCAAGUUACCGCACCAUUCAAUGCUCACUGUUAUCCAAAUCUUUCAACCAACAGUAGGGACUCCAUCACAAGAGGCUCAACUGUGAAUUCAUUCAAGGGGAAAGAGAUAUUUAUGGCACUUCAAUUACAAAUUCAUUGCUCCCACAAAGAGGUGCACUAUAAGCUAUCCAUAGAGAGAGGUGACGCCCUUUCCCUUUCGUUAACUCUCAAGAUCCUCGCGGCUAGAGUUUUAGGUUUAGGACAAAAAAAAAACUGAGAAUAAUAAUUGUAGAUUAGAUACAGCAACUUCUGCUGUUAAAAAUUGGGAAAAAAAAAUUAUUAGAUGCCAGCAGUGUCUACUAUCUAGACACCAUCAAAUGAUCGUCACCAUCAAAAGCUCUAUAAAAAGAGAAUUGCAAGACAACAGGACACCCUUGCAUGUGCCUGAGCAGUCUUUCAUCACCUGCCAUGUAAUAUGCACCUUGCUAAAAUCUUCGAUUUACUCAAUAACUCGUGCGGAUGAAGCAACAAAUUCCAAUGCUAUUGAUAAACAGUAGCAGUGGUAUCUUCGACAAUCAUCAUUUAAUUAAAAACAUGAAAAUGAGGGGAAAAAAAAGAAUCUCAUUGUCCAUUUGCUGUCAAACUAUGCUGUUCAAAACUCCAGGAGUUGCCUCUUACAUAAGAUAUAACCCUAAACCAAUAUGGCUGUAACACCAGCAUGAACAAAAAAAAUGGAAGUUCAACCUCACAUUCCUGUGAAGGCCUUCUUCCCACCAGCAGCAGAACCAGCUGGAAUCACUUUCAAUACAUUAAAUCUAACAGUCUUGGACAGUGGCCUGAAAUGGUAAGAGGCAAAUAUUAUGAAUUGAAGGCCAAUUGCAUAUACAAUAACAGCUAAAUCACAUUCAAGAUAAAUGAUAUAAAAUAAAACUUUGGGUGGUCAAAAUUUAACCUGCAUUGUCCGAUGAUGACAUGAUCGCCUUCCCUCACACGGAAGCAUGGGGAUACGUGUGCUGGAAUAUUUGAAUGCCUCUUCUCAUAUCUAUGGGGAAAAAAUAAUAUUUAAAUUAUAAUGGUGUGAUAAUAUGCACUGAAAAACACCAGAACUAAAAUUGGACUAGACCUUUGGUAUUUCUUGACCCAGUGAAGAUAGUUCCGCCGAACAAUAAUUGUCCUCACCAUCUUGGCACUAUGACAAGUUCCAGCUAAGAUACGACCUCGAAUAGAAACAGUGCCGGUGAAGGGGCAUUUUUUAUCAAUAUAAGUUCCUGUCAGAAGUAAACAUAUGGGAGUACAACGUCAGCAAAUUUCACAUUCUACAAAAAUAUCAUGUGAAGGAGAAAUUACAUGAAAGAGGCACAUAUGAAUCAAGUUGCAAACGAAGAACUUGGCAUAAAAAACAUGGAUAGAAACACAAGCAUGGAGACAUAUCAACAGCAUUUAAAGAGAUCGUGUCCAUGGCACUCGACAUGUGUGAUUAUUUAAUAACUAUUUAAAUUCCAUAUCAUCAUCGACAAGGUUCUAAUUCCUCCAUAUCACACAUUGAUUUGUAACAAAGCAAGUUAAUACAUAAACGAAAUAUAUUAGUAUUUACAACCCUAUGAUCAUAGAACAUAUCUUGGUUACUUGACUCCAUUAUCCAUUAAAAUCAGUGCAUUCAACUAGAAUAAAAUAUACAAAGCUCAAUAAAAUUACAAACAUGAAAGCAUCAUAAGAAUGACACAACUAUAAAAGACAAACCUUCAGUGGCUUCUCUGGGAGUCUUGAAACUCAAUCCAAUACUCUUCCAGAAUCUGUUUCCACCUUUUCCAGGCCUCUUUCCUUUCCCAGAUUUCUUUGAACUGCCAAAAAAACACAAACAAAUCAAAAAACACAAAACAGCAAAAACCCACAUCAAAUAAAAAGACCCCAAAACAGAAAGUUCGCCUCUUUUGCUGUUCUAAUACAUUACCUGAGAAACACUUUGGGUUGUUUCAAAAAUGCCUUUUCAGUCUGCAACACAGAAAUAAAGAAACCAUAAUGAGAGCUCAUAAUAAGAUCUAAGACUAAACGUGUUUGGAGUAGAAGCAGUGAAUAGCAAGAGAGUGUGUUGCGAGAACCUGCUCAGCCAUGAUUUACAGCUGUUUGUGUUCUCUACAAGGACCUGAAACAGCAGGAGGCAAAAGAUACAAAAGAGAGAGAGCCUCUUGCUGAAAUGAGCAAGCUUUAAACCCUAUUUUGCUCGCUGAUAUGUAGUAAUAAUUUUUUGUUAAAUAAAUGGGCCUUGGUGGUCCUUUUCAAUACAGAGUUUGGUAAGAUACUAAUAUAUCUUACCGGAUAUUUUUUAAAAAUAUAAAAAGAUAUUAAAAUUACAGAGAAUUUUUUAAUAAUAUUUUUAAAUUUGAUUCAAUUUUAAAAUUUUCUGAUUUAAUUUUUUAUCUAAUUCGAGUUUUUGAAUUUUAAAUUAAAUCAUAUAAGACCUAACUCAACUUAAAUCGAUUAAUUUUAUAGGUUCAAAUACAACGUUGAUGAUCGGUAAAAUCAUGACUUUGCUUUUAAAAAAACUUGAAGAUGAUAACUUUGAAAAAAAAAAUUAAGAUAAUAACGGAUUGAAUUGACUUCGAUCUCCCCGCGAUACAGGUCAUGGACUCUACUGGGUUCAAUUACUUUUUUAUACACUAUUUUUAUUUAAUUAUAUGAUAAAAAUAAAUACUCAUAAAAUUGAGAUCCAACCUAAAAAUAUACAUUUGAGAUAGUUAUCCCUAUAAAAAGCAAACAAAAAUCAAUUAUAGAUUCUAUUUCCUAACCAAUCCAAUAUUGAUAGAUGCAAUAGAAAAAAUAAUUAAAAAUAAUUAAAAGACAAAAAAAAAUCCAACCGAUGGGUAAACUCGUCAAACAUGUGAAUCGGGUAACCCGGGCUAGUAUACCAAACUUGUGAAUCAGGUAAUGGACUCCACUAACAUUAUAAUUUUUUUUAAAAAAGUAUUUUUUUAUGUAACUAUAUAACAAUAAAAAUAGACGAUUGUGAAAUCAAAUACCAUCACAAUACCAAGAUGUUUUUUUAAGACUGUGAUAACAUCAAAAAAGACAAAAUAAAACCAAUCAUGAAACUGAAUCCUCAAUCAACCCAAAAUCUCAGGUGAAAUAAAAAAAAACUAAUUAAAAAAAAAUUGAACUUGUCAUACCUACUAACCAGCACAAACUCACACUACAUUGUGUUUAAUUUUUUAUCAAAUAGAAUUGAGGUAGUGAAAUUUAAACUUGAAACCACUUGAUUAAUAAAGCUCUGAUACCAUGUCGAAUAACCAUCUUAACCUAAAAACUUAAACUGUUAAAUGAUAUUCAAAUAUAUAAUUUUAUAUUAUUCUCUAACACAAUGAGUGUGGAUGAACAGUGGUUUCCCCACGUCUUUUAAUUUUUAUUUGUUUAUAAAGUUUAAUAACAUGAUUUUCUCCGAAACUAGAACAACCUGAGUUACUUUGACAAACAUGUAAACUACGCUAAUCUCAUAGGAAAACAAAAUAAUAAUAAAAUAAAUUACGAAGCUAAAUUCUUAACUUUUUUAAUAUUAAAAAAUAAAAUCAACAAAAAUAAUUUUUAAAAAAAUCAUAACAAAAAAAAAAAAAAAAGGAAGAGUGGUAAAGCAUCUCUAUAUAUUUUUUUUACUUCAACUAAAAUUUUUUAUAUUUUUUUUAUAUUUUUAUAUCGUUUUGAAAACUAAGAUAAAAAAUAAACUUUUAAAAAAUAAAAAAUAUAUAAUUUCUUAAUAAAACAACAAAAUCCCUUGAACUUGGGAAGAAAAUAGUAAAGGAAACAAUCUUCAAUUUUAGGAUAAUGUCAUGUUAGUGAUUUGGAUUGUAUUUAAACACAAAUACUAAUAUUAGCAUAAACCAUGUUCAAAUAUAAUGAAAGGAUUUGACAAUUGAUACCCAUCUUUGACGUCCCUUGUCUUUGGUUCUCCUCCCGGAUGCAAGAUCAUCAAACCUUGCAUUCUAACAAGACACUUACAAAACCUGGUAGCUAAACUAGUUUUUUACAUGUUACCAUCAUGGCAACAUAUUCCAAGUCCACCGUCUGGUGAAAGCAUCCACCGGAAAUUUUAACUUCUAGCUUUCCCUCUAGAUCCUGAGCAAGAAACAACACAUGGAAUAUGAAAAUAACAAUGAUAAUACAUGCACAGCCCCUACUCUCUCCCCCUUGAAAGCCAUCCACAAAGCUCACAUGAAUGUCCAUAAACGCACAUGGAUGCAAAGGGAAGAAAUAUAGUAAUAUAAACUGAUUGCGCUGAAUAAUUACUUUCUGAAUAGUAAUGUCAUAUCAAACCUUCCCAGCAAUCACAUACCAGGGCAAACGAGUAAAAACCAAACAUAUGGUGAUGAAGUAUUGAAAAAUAGUUGAAGCUAAUUUGCCUAAUAGGACUCCGAAGUAUACAAAGCCGUAAUGUUACAGUAUGGAAACCAAGCAUUUCAUCUCAACUCAUUGCCUAUUAACUUGAGAAAAUGACCAACCAUCAUUGACAUGUUACACUAAAUUGAAAAGAUAAGACCAACCGCCAUUAACCUAUAGAAGAAACACAUGAUUCUUUAGCUGUCUGAGAUCAUAAUCACAAGUUCAGCUCUUGAAUCCUUUGUCCACAGAUAAAUCACUCAGUCUGCACCAGCAAAUAAGAUCAAUAAAAUAUAUAAUAAUAAAGUUUCCAGAAUGAAAAAUGUAAAUUUAAUUCCAUCAUUUUGAUUUCAGUAAUGACUAAAGAAAAACUUUAAGAAUGGUGAAAUUCUCAGCAGAAUAUUUGCCAUAUAUUGAACAACACAGAGAUCCUGUUAUAAUAAGCCAAAUGCUUAGGUAGUGAUAGACAAAGCAUUGGCAGAAACUUUUCCACAAUGCUUAACGUUGCAUACUUAUUUAUUAUAUAUAGAUCUUGUGCAACAAAUUCUACCCAUCCUCUGAGGCUGCUUGGAGCUUUCAAAAAAUAUAACAAAUUCUACUCAUUUUUAUCACAUACUGGAUGACAUUGUACAAAAAUACUUGAUAUUCUAGGAAUGCAACAAAGGGAAACAGAACAAUAACCAGAGACUCAUAUAACAGAUUGUUACCGAAUUGUCUCUAAAUUCAUUGAAUUCAUCAAGGCUAAUCUAUACUCAUUGUAUAAUAACUUCUUACUGCAUCUCAAAAACUUAUAUUUACUGUUAAUUUUAAUACAGCUGAAGGAUGAGAUGGCUGCACAGAAAAGAAAAGAAAUGAAAUUCCUUAAACAUGCCAGACCUUUUGGCGUUUUGAAUUUGGAGGGCUUGGUUCCGUAUCAUGGCCACGAGAUGUUCCAAUGCCAGAGUUUUCAGCCUGCAAAUAUGCCACCGGUUAGUCUUGUAGUUCUGAUGUUUUUAUGCACACAUCAAUUUAGCUUGACAUAUUUACAACAUCAUGCCAACACCUUCAAGAUUCAUUUGAUUGGGUGAAGCAAGAAAUCCAGAAUAGUAAGGGACAUGAGAUAAGUAUCCAUUGAAAGAUAACUGAAAAUGCUACAUACAUGGGUUGAAGAAUCUCGAGGCCUCUGAUUCCCAGAGUUCUGUGCUUCUCCAGGAGGUAUGGCACUGGGUUCUGCACCUCCACUUUGAGAUAUGAGGGGCAUGAUCUCACGAAGCAAAUUAGACAGAAAUAUCCCCUCAUCAGUAGCUCUUGGUUCUGCUUCUGCAGUAGCAGUAGAUUGCCCUGCAGUCUCAGGGACAGAACUAGUAGUUGUUCCUCGUAAGCUGGCAUCCUCCAUAUGGAUAUCACCAGGUAAGAUGGUCCUCAGAAGCUGCAAAAUAUUGUCGGGGAUAUGUCGUUCAGAAUCCUGGUUGUUUUGGGCCCCACUAGCUGACAGAAUGUUGAUACUUAUACUGCGAGAAAUAGAAGGCUCUUGUCUCAAGUUUGGUGGCAAUGAUCCUGGAAGAACAGCAAGGUUGGUCAACUAGUAUAGAACAGCUGAUUAAGCUCAUAUCUUCUCAUACAGUCAUAUCAUCAACUCCUAAAGCAAGAUACAGCGAGCAACCAUCAAAACUUUGACUACUAUACACAACAUUAACUUCAAUUGAAUUUCUACAUGAUAUUGUGAACUGAAAAAAACCGAUUUCUUGCAAGCCUGUAACGAUAUGUUCUCAAAGGUCCCCAAUCAAAUCUUUAGGAAAUAAACAUAUGGAAGAAAACUCAGGACACUUUUAAAAAAGGAGAAUACAACACAAACAUUAUUUUCCUUAUUUUUUAGGGUGAGGAUGGGGUGCUCUUAUUGACUGGUGCUAGGAAGAAUCCACUUCAGCAUCCUAAAGGAAAGCCUUUCAUCAUGUACUUAAAUGGUACAAUAACAAUAAAUACAACUCAGAAAACAGCAUUGAGAAAUUGGCUGCAUGGCAGGUAAGUUUUGCUGCAAAUUGGAAUCCAUAUGCGUGGAUCAGAAUAAUCAAAGAAGGGUGUGUAUGUGUUAUAGUAGUAAGCAUGAUACUUUUACUAUGAAAUUUUAAGAAAGAAAGAUAUAUGUGGAAUGUUCAAAAAUAGCAAUAUAUGUGGAAAUCGCCCUUCCUCCCUCGUUCAUGCAGGAUUGAAAUGAUUAUUGAAGACUCAAAAGAAUGUAGGGGAAAAACAAAUAACACAAAAAAGCAUAAGCCAUAGGGGACUGGCAAAUAUAUCAACCACCAUUAACAGCAGCACAAGUAAAGCCACUGAUUGACACGCAUGUAUUCAUGAGUAAGAUGAACCAAAACAUCCCCUUUCAAGCCUCCUGAGCUUGCACUGGAAAAGAUGUCCACAACUACAAACUUAAGACUUUUCCAUGAGCCAAGUAAUCCUCAAAACUUCAUUGAACUGCAGUAUUGUCACAUUACCAUCUCUUGUGCGUUGUUCAAAGUUUUGCUGCUGCAAAGCAGGUUCAGGAGUUGGCAGCUGCUCAGUUUGGACCUCAGCAGUGUGAUAUUCACCAGAUGCUUGAGAUCCCCGCCCACUAUUCCCAUGCCCAGAAGCUACAUUUUGAAAUCGUCCAAGAAGAGGAUAGUAUAGACCUAUAGAAUUACCAGAUGAAUCAGAAGGAAGGCGGCCAAAUGUGCCAGGAACAGCUGCAACCACCGUUCUAAGAGGCACCACUCGUACAGGCUCUCCAGCAAAAGAUGAACCCUCUGAGAGCCUUGAACUUGUUUGACUACUAGGAUUUUCACCACCAGAACUGGUUGGUGGGUUUCUCUGCCCAGCAGUUUGCUGUGUCUGACCAUGUUCCUCACGAUUAUUGUUGGGGGUAGCUGUCGAUGAACCUUGGGUAAAAUAAGAAUAGUUGUAAGUAGAUUCACACAUCAGAAAUACCAUACAUAUUAAUUAUUCCAGACAUCAAAUUUGAAGAAAACCUCUUCGUAUUUGUAUAUCAAUUCGCCUUGGAAGAAACCCGGUACCGACACCAUUAGUCAGACCAGAUCCAGGCUGCAUGGAUCCUAAAGGGACAGCACCAAAGCUUGUCCCUGGUUGAAAAGGAAGAGGCUGCAUGCAUAGGAGUGAUCAGCAGAGAAACAUAAUUUAAAGAAAAAUGAAAAGAUGAAAAACAAGAGGAAUUUGUAUGGAUGUCUGGAUUAUGACCUGAACCAUGAGAGGAUUAGGACCAGAUUGAUUGAUAAAAACAGCAGGGCCCGCAUUAACCACAGCUUCAGACUGUAAAUAAACAAACCACAAUGACACAUACAGCUCGGGAGAUGUCAAGCAUGAAAGGUUGCCAUAAAUGAGAAAUUGGAGAUAAUCUUACCGGUGCUUGACCUAGUCGUAAUGUCAUGCUUGUACGUCCAAGUUCGAGAAGAAGGGCACCUAAAUUAUGAAGUUGGACUCCAGUUCUCAAUGCACUAGACUGAGUUGCGUGUCGCGCUGCAGUAUCAGUAAUAUGUGCUUGAUUCUCUAGUUGUCUUGCAAGUUGCUGCCAACAUACAGAACAAACAGGGAGGGAGAUCCAAUGCAUUUAAGUUUUAGUUCUGAGAAUAAAUAAAAGAAUGGUAAAUGUUGAAAUAUUUCAAGGUUAAAAACUUAAAAGAAUCAAAUUCUAUUAAAAUUAUAAAAUGUUAAACAAAAAGAAGAAACAUAAUAAAAAGAUGACCACUUCCUAUGGCCGCAAGCAACUAAAUUCACUGGUAAAAAAUGGGAUAUACUGUUGGCUACCCAAAAAAUAAAGCAAGACAAAAGUAAAGAUAAUAGAGAACAUAUGAAGUAGAUAGAAUGCUUUUAAAUAACACACAAGUAAACAUUCUCCAACUUGUUCGGUGAGUAAUUGUCUACUAGACAGCAUCACUUCUGCCAAGGAUGCAGGUGAUGGAAGUCUUUCUUGUCCAGUUCCUGAUAGUGAUGUGGUAUUAGAAUCUAUUUGCUCCAUCCUGAGUGCAGCAUCUGCUUGAGCAAUGUUUUCCCCGCCUCUGCCUGUCAAUGAAGAGAAUUGAAAUCCAAUGGCCAAAUCAGCCCCAUUGAAGCAAAUGAUAUUUAUUAACCAUAGAGAAAUUUGCAAAAUACAGAUACUGACCGAUGGCAUCAAAUUCUCGCCUCAAAUUGCUCAGAUAUUGGGACAGAGUUGUCAGAGAAUCAGGAAUUACCUACAAGUACAAAUAAAAUAUUCCUAAUACUUAAAACUGCAAAAAGAUAUGCAGGCCAAAGAAUCCAUGUUGUAGAAAGAAGGUAGAGGGUGGAGAAGAAGAGGACUCCUAACUUACAGGAGGAUUCAGAGAUCCCAAGGAAACUGCUGUCGGAAGCCCAAAAACAUUCUGUGAUCUGUCAGACUGACCCCUGGUGCCAGUUUGUUCAGAUUGCAGUUGGCUUGCAUCCAUUGUGCCACCAGCAGCUGAUGUUCUUCGCAAACCACGCUCCUUAAAGAUCCAUCCCAGUCACAAAGAGCAAGACCCAAAACAUAAAUGAGCAUUUACAGGUAUGAAAAAGCAUUAAGGUCCAUCUUUCUAAUUUGAUAAAAUAUGAACCAGCUUGAUGUCUCAAAAUGUGUUUCACGUCUAAAGUCAAAUAAAAACUUAAAAUAGACAACUUCCAGAUACAAAAAUACUGGAAAUUUUACUUCGAAGACAAUUUGUUUGUUUGCCUCUGUGAGUAAGAAAAGAGGGAAGAAAUCUCCAUCCUUACCAACAAUAGAUUUUCAAGAGUAUAACAAUAAAGUAAUUAGUUUUAGAGGUUGGAAUUUAAAUAUUUACCACAUCGACCCCUUCACUGACACCUCCGAUAUUUGAAAAUCCAAAAGAUCCAAGAACAGCAGAGACAAUCUGCUCCAGAGAAUCAAUUAAGAGAUAAUUAUAAAACAAUUAAAUCAUCGGUAUGAAAAUCUAAAAUUGCUAUAUUCAAAAUCUAGUUGUAGCCGCACCCUACUGAUUUCUGGAGGAACUGCAUCCCCUUGAUCAGGCACACUAAAAGUUUCUAUUACAACACUGGGAGCCACCUGACCAGUGUGAUGGCUUGAACCUGAAGCAGGAUCACUGGCUGCAACAUUGACAUGCAGGAGUUACUCCAUGGAUAAUUUUACUAGCACAUGAAAGAUAACAUUAAAAAAAAGGGAAAGAAAAAAAGAAAGAAAUAAAGGUAUAUAAUUCCAUUUCAGAAAGCUCAGAUUAUGACAUAAACAGAGCAGUAUUGCUACAACAAUUACUAAGCUCCUAUAGAUGUCAAAAUGACUCAAUUGUUAUUUGUAGCGUGGUUGCUCUUUAAAUCAUUAGAAGCACCUAAAUAAAACUAUAAGCAUUAAAUAAGAACCAACAGAACACCACCACUUGCUUUUCUGAUUAAUCAUAUGGCAAUAUUGAGCACUUAAUGAAAUUAAUUACCAAGGAUAAUCUGUUAUAUCCAGAGUCCCAUUAGUCCAAACAAAUGUCAUAUUCGACAGAAAGGAUGAAUUUCAUAUCCAGUUGCUUCUCACAGAUGAACUAAUGUGUAUCAACCCCUCUGGGGGGAGGGGGGGUUGUUUCUAUACUAUACCAACCUUUUCGUGAAAAUAAUUCAAGGUGCACUGGAAACCAUACUCUAGCUGAAGUAAUGUGUAUCAACCCCUCUGUGUGGGUCAACAAUCCAUUAUGGCCAUUAAUUACCUUGUGCAGUAAUUUUUUGUUUUUCAAUAUUUACAGGCUGUGGGGCAUCUACAGGACCCUUUAGACCACCACACAACUAGUCCUCCACAGCUUUGGAUAAACUUGAAUUAGUAUCCUUUUUUGAGACGAACCUUGUACAGUUGAAGAAGAAGAUGAUGCAAGCAAAUGUUAAGGCAAGCCAAACCUGAAUGAUUGGAUAAGCCCUCAGAUGGUAUAGGUUGCCUAACUACCAGGUGCAAGGUGUGACCAUCUUCGACAUCUAACACAUGUUAAGAAAAUAAACCAACCAAACAAUAUAAUAAGACAAUAGUGCUAAUGAGUAAAAAAAGUACAGGGAUAUGAAAAUAUUCCUUAGGUAGCAAAUAAAGAAAUUUAACAAAGGAUGGUUUAUAGGUUUCUAGUUCAAUCAAUGAAUAUCCUGAUACAUUCGGGACCUAAUGUUUGCUAAUUUGUUCUGGAAAAGUAAAAUACUAACUAGUUCAUACCAUAUAUGUUUUGAUUCAAAUACUUCACCCACACUUAAAGUUUCCUUCUAGCAAAAAUGCACCAUUGCAACAAGCACUUGCCAGAAACCACCAGAAAACAAUUUACUUCAGAAAAAAGAAUUGCAGAUGUCGGCUUAUUUGGAAUAUGUACAUGUGUUUUUGGUUAUGCUUGGGUGUGAUACAAUCAAUUGAAAUGUGACACAAUUCUCUAUUCUCCACCUGAUAAGCUGUCCAAAGUCAUUCAUUCACCUAGAAGUAUGCUAAAGAUGAACCGAUGAAGAGACUUGUGCAGUCACAUGCAUCUACAGCACAUACCUUCAAACCUCUCUUUUGUCAAGGCUUUUUCCCCUUUUAUGUCCAUACCUAGUAUUUCAGACUUACAAUUCAGUGUUGCUGAGGGAAAACAUGAAACUGUUUAGCAUUGCAGGAUGAAUCUCAUGGACAUGGAGCACUAGCAUGUGAGCUCACUUGGAAUUUACACUUCAGCAUUACUGAAAUCAGCAGUGAGGAACAAAACUGCAACACUAUCCAACCACAAUUCAACAUUUUACCCGCCAAUGCACAAACUCCAAGGUGUCCCAAAAUAACUCUUUUGCAUCAAUACUGUCUUAAUGAGCUCUUUUCUACUUUUCUGCCUAGCUUUACAGUUUAACAGCAGAAAUAAAUGUGUCAUUGGUUCACUACUUAGGUAAUACCUUCAUCAAAACUGUUAAAAGAAAUUUGAAGUGAGCUUCUAGCUAUCUCCUCACUUUGGGUACACAAUCUUUUUUGUUAAAUAUUGUACUUUAGAGUUGCCCUUGAGCAUUAAGAAAAAAGGAUACGAUAGGCAGAGAGUAGUUGGUCAUCUUUUAAGACUUUUCCACGACAUAUUAGACGUUGUUGUUCUGAUAGCACGCCAGUGACAGAAGCAAUCUGUUCUUUUAAAGCAGGAACUGGCAUCUGCAUGGAUAUUCAAGAAAGGGGAAAGCAUGAUGAAAUUAAUGGCUUCCACAAACAAAAAAUCAUGCACAAGUUAUCAACUAGCAAAUCCCCACUCACAAUAUAAGCAUAAAGACCCUUUUAAGAUCAUAAUGCAGGGUGUACUCUUACAAUUAAGAAUUCAGUGGCAACAAAGAAUGUUUCAACAGUUUUAUAUGAAUAAAAGACACAGGGAAAUAGUGGAUCUUCUGUAAUUGCUUUCUGUCCAGUUUCUCAUGAGAUCUGCUUCUCAGUAUUAUUUGCACAAAUAUUCAGUAAAAUGUGGGACAAUCUCCACAGAUUUUUACAUAAGAGCUUGUUGAAGAGAUGUUCUUGAGAAGGAAAAUGAGUUGGAUGCUAGAGAGUGUAGCCUUUGUGUCAUCUGUAUGUAACUAGCUAGAUCAAAAAGGCACAUUGGAUCACUUAUAAGGACUAGAAAUUUUCUGACCAUGCUGGUGAAGAGGUUUUACUAGUAAUUGUUAAGACCACUCAAUUUCCUCUUCUUUCUACUCUUUCUAAGAUUCAGAUUCUAGUAACUCUCUGUCUCUCACCACAAUGACAGAAAUAUGAUCGAAGUGCAAUUUAGAGCUCUUGAAAAAGGAGGCAAAAAAAGACAUAAAAACAGAAAAAAAAAAAAACUAUCCUUAUAUAUAUAUAUAUAUCCCCGUAAUAACUGGCUUUGGGAUGUAUUUGAACUCAUUGAUCAUCUAAAGUAUUAUAGCAAGUUUACAAAACAUACACACUGCAAUGACAUGAGCCAUGGUUCAGUGGGAGCAAAAAAUUACCUGUUUAUCCACUCUCAAAGUAUAGGUUUGAGAAUCCAAUGUUUUUAUUUUUAUUUCAAUGUUUGUUUCAGAACCCUCUGCCUCACCAGCUCCAUGAAUUUUAUCAGCAAUAUUACUUCCCAUUCUCCUCAGACGAAUGGAUACCUACAAACAAGAAAGGAAAAGAAACAAAUGAAGGAAAUUAGGUUUGGGAGUUGCUAGGAUGAGGCAACAGCAUGCUUGUCAAUAAACCAGAUAAGUCACAGUAUUAUAUUGGUAAGAUAGAUAAGGUUCCUCAGGAAACAGUAAGUCAAUGAGUGCCCUAAUGCCAACAAAAAGGGGUGUCGGUUCCCUUCAUUGUGGUCAUAAUACAUCAUUGUUUCGAGAGAGAGUGAAGAUGUGCAGAAAUGCAAGAACAAAUAACAAAAAUCAGCAAGCAGACCACUCUCACAUUUAGGGAAAUCUCAGCAUCCACCACCAUAUAGACAUAUUGCCAUAUCAAUAUGUACUUCAAGGCAAUUUGAAACACUGUUUCCUUUCCCCUUUUUUAUUUGUCUCUUCUCUUCAUUUUCUUUUUCUUUCCUUUUCUUUUCCUUAUUUUAGUGUGUGUUAUAUGAGACAGUUAGAAAAAUCUCCAGACUUGCAAAACACAUAAUCAUGGUAACGGUAAUGAACAACAUGACAAAUCCUGCAGCCAACUACCAUGGACCGCAUUGAUCUGAUUGAUGAUAUUCUUUCCAUUUUUUGCUGAUUUGGUAGGAUAUCGCUCACUAGACGAAGAUGGCGAUUGCUCAAGAGUCCCCUGCUAGAUAUUGAUAUUUUAUGAUGUCACAGAAGAGAAACAUAACAUCAUGUUCUCAAUUGAUAGGUUAUAUGAUAUGUCUUUGGUGUGUUAUAUUAUGUCUACAGCGGUCAAGACCGUGCUUUCCCAACUCCUCCCCUGCCUUCUCUAAUUAAAUGGGAAAACUCAUAAGGAUCAUCAAAUGGAACAUUUUUUGUUACCAGGAGCAGAAAACAAGUUCCAAGAUGUCAUGUGUAUAUCUGUAUGCACGCCCACAUUGCAUUUUGCUCCACAUCGAAAUCAACUUCAGACCAUAAAUCUCAGGAUCAAAUCCAUGCUAUAUAAUGUAGAAAUCAAGCUCCAAGAAGUAAUGUCUCCAGUCCCAAGUGACAUUACUGGCAUAUUUAUAAGCCAUAUCCCGCUUCACAUAGUGAAAUUCAAUGUAAACUCUAAAUUUGAAGAAUUCAAAAUCCAAGCUUCUACCAUCAAAACAGCUCAUCUAGAAUUGGGGCCUGCUCCCGAUUCAAAACUAAUCGGUAGACGGGGAAAAUCAUAGAGUAAAUUCAAAGAAAAAAGUAAACUACUGCACAAAUCAAGACAUUUCCAUUGACCAACAGAUUGAGAACACGGAUAAUGAUUUUUUACCACAUCUAUGCACCCAAAGAGGGCGCCUUCAUCCCUAAAUAUCACUAAACACCAAGAAUUGACAAUCUUUACUUCCACCACUCACACUUCAAUCAACAUAAAUCACUUAAGUUGGAGCUUAAUCAAGUUGCCACAUCCCAAUAAGCAACCUUUCCCUUAACGCAAAUGCAAACAAUCAAAAUCCCAUUCCCCAUUUAUCUCUCACUCUCUAGGGUUUACCGAAUCUUGAUCAAACAAAAAAAGCUCAAGACUUUCAAUUUCUGGGUCCUAACCAGUCAUCAAAAGCAUGCAAACCAACCCAUCAAGUUCCGAAUGACAACCCAAUUCACACAAUUAAGAAAAUCGAUAAAAGACAGUAGACAAGAUAAGAAAGGAGUCAGUAAGUUACCUGAGAUAAAAAGAAAGAAAAUCUGGUUUGAUAAGGAGAGAGAACAGAUAGAGGGAGAGGGAGAGAUAUAUAGAAAUGACAGAGAGAGAUGCCGUGUCUGCGUGCUAUCUCUCUGUGUAUUUUGGAGCUGACACCUGAAUUUAUAUUACACAAGAUCAAAAACUCUCUCUCUCUCUCUCUCUUCCCUGUCAACUAUGUAGUGUUGUGGCCAGCGUAGGACGAGGUUUGCAAAAAUUAUUCAGGUUUUUCUCCUCUGUACAUUUUUUUUUAUCUCUCUUUUUACUGGUGCGGUGGGCUUUUUACUUUUUACUGUUGGUAAAUUGGUUGGUAGCAGCACAAAUUAUUACUGUCUGACAAUGUGGUAAUUUUUUUUAUUGCGUUUAAAAAUCACAUUUCACUUCUAAAAAAAACCCUUCUAGUCAAGUCAGGCUGAAACAUAAAGUUUUGGAUCCAACAUCCAUUUUAUGAAUUAAAAAAAAAAAAGCAUAGAUAACUUGCUUAAAUUUGAUUUUGAAGGGAGCGUGAUGAAUUUUUUAUGUGUGUUUGUUGAUCUAUAAUCUAAAGGAAUCGAUUAAUUUUUUCCAAUUAUUACUUAAAGUAUGAUACUUAUUUAAUAAGUUUAUUUUUAAAUUAGUUUUUAUAUAUUAAAAUUAAAUUUCUUUAAAAACAAAUAUAAUUAAAUAUCCACCUAUAAAUUUAUAAUAAAUUAUUUUCGGACUGCAAAGCCGUAAUAUCUUUAAUUAUCUUCAGACCACUCAUCCAAGGUUUAACCAAAACUAGGAGUUCAGGCUUAUAUAUGAACUCGAAGAGUACUGCUAAGUGCUAACUCCUUGGCAAUUCCAAAUCAUAAAAUUCAUUAAAUUAAAAUAGUAUAAAUAGAUUGCUUCCUCUCUAACCAUGUUGAAAAACACUCCCCGCCGGCAAAAGCAGCCAUCCCACCUUCCUCAGAAGUAGCCUUAAAUUCAUCAAUGAUAGACUCUUUGGCAGAUAACACCAUUCCAGAACCAGCUAGAUUUUCAAACAGGGAUACUGGAUAUAGAGAGAGAGUUUUAUUAGCCCGUGACCUAGCUGCACGGGAGAGAUCAGAGAGCUCUCAAUAUUAUGGGGUUUUUUCGGUUCAAUAUAGGAUUGUCAACCUUAUCAGUCAGUCGCGACUUCAUUCGUCUCCUCGUCAGUGCCUGCCAUCAUCAAACUCCAUAUUUUCAUCAAUCUGAGCUACGAGCGAGUUCAAUGGAGUGUCUUCAGUUACAGCAACAAAAAAUUGAUGAAUUUAUGGAGUUUGAUGAUGGUUAAUGGGUUAGCAUGUAACACGAUGAUGGUUGUUAGGUUCUGUUUGGGUUUUGGUUGUUUUCCCCUCGUGGGCUCUAUUUGAUUUUUGAGUUAAAUGGGUUAGACUAGGAUAGGCUGUGGGUUUGGGCCUUUUCUAUUUAAAGCCGGAGUUCCUAUAUUAGCUAGCUAAGAUAUUAAGCUCCGUACGGUGUCGGUUGUUUUUAAACUGCUCAUAACUUUAAUUUUUUUUUUUUGGUUUUCAUUGGUUAAAUUUGUUUUUUCUUCUUAAAUUGUGAUAAAAACUUGAGUUUAAUAAAAGUUAUAAUUUGUAGCAUUUUUAAACUUAUUUUUUCAAAUAACAACAAAAAAUAUACCGCAAUACCAGACAUGAACAUGUUUGUUUUUAUGUUUUAAAAAUAUUUUUGAAAAAAUUUAAAUUUAUUUUAUUUUUUUAUUUACUUCAAAUUAAUAUUUUUGGAGUUUUUAUAUCAUUUUGAUAUGUUGAUAUCAAAAAUAAUUUUUAAAACAUAAAAAACAUUAUUUUAAUGCAUUUCUAAUUGAAAAACAUUUUAAAAAACAACUACUAACAAACUCACAAACAAGAUACCCCAUUAUUAGCAAUAGAGAUUUUAGCGUUGACCUCUCUUCUACGAUUGUGUUCGCAUGAAUAUAAGAACCAAAUUCUUUAUUAAUUAUUUUAAUUAAUAUAGAUGUUGAAACUAUUUACAUAUAUCUUAAUUAAUUUUAGAUUUAAAAUUAACAAUUAUAUAAAAUUUUAUUUUCUUAAUUACUAUGGUUUUGAUCUAAGAUCAACUCGAGUACAAAAUCUGAGUGGUCAGACAAGGACUUAACAAUGUCCAGGGCCCAUCAGUUAGUGCAUGCAGGUAUCAAUCAAAUUAGACAAUUGAACCAGGAAGAAUUCAUUGUCUAAAUCAAUGGCACCGAAAGGUACUCUGGCUCCAUUCCAUAUUGUUCUUUAUCUAGUACGUCAUAGUGCUUUAUAAUCCACACUAGGACCAAAGUCUUGAUAAUUCCCAUGGUUUCUGUAAGGAUUUUCUGAAACCUUCUAAUAAUUCAACGACUUUCUAUUUUCCUUUUCCACAACAAUCAUGCACGUGUGCAUCUCCUUCUUCUUCACCCCAAUCUCUUCCGUACAAUGUCCAUUCAAAAACUGGUUAGGUUUCCCAGUCACAGAGUCAACUUCUAUACACUCUUGACAUGCACUGGACUGAAUUUAAAAUCCUUCCAUGUAACUUGUAAUGCAACAGAACCUAGUCAGCAUCCACCAAGUGUUCAUGAUGAUUCAAUAAUCAUUCAAAUCACAGGAUGAUAAUAUCAAAAAUGUUAAUAAACUAUGAUAUCUUAUGUACAAAAUCUUUCUCCACCCUAAAAGAUCUCCACCAUUUCUGCAAUAGUACUGUUAACUCCUAUCCAUCUCUCUCCAUCUCGUUAUGUCCUUCACUUUGUUAUGUAAAAGGAGGUUUCGGUUAAAUUCAUAAUUUUCUUCACAGUGAUCCUUGGAUAUCGAUGUCAGCUUUACUGCAACAUUUCAUGUUUCCCACCUUUUUAAUUAUUCGUUACUUGACCUGUGCUUGAUAUAGAGGUCAGCUUUAUUUCCUCCAUUCUUCUAAUUCAGUACAAUCAUAUAGUGGAAGAAAGAAGAUCAUGAGAUGGAGGGCUUCUAUAUUUAUACUCUAGCUGGCUAAUUAAGCAAGUUUAGUUAAUGUAACUAUUUAGUAACUAAUAGCGUAUUGUGCAGGCUUCUAAUUCUGCAAUAACAAACCUUUAGACUGGAACCGGCCUAAUGGGUUGACUUGGUGAAUUGUUAACUCUAGCCCCGACGGGGGACGGCAAGUGGAAAAACCAGAUUUUUCUUUUAUCAAAAUAAUAUUGUUUUGUUUUCUUUUUUCUUUUUCCAAAAAAAAAAGUGAAAGGUUGAGUUGAUCCUCGUCAACCUCUGAUCUUGGACCACAACCAUUGAGCUGAAUCUCAUAACUAUGCUCUUCUAGGUGGUGAUAGUGCUAGAAGCCGAGGUUGUCACAGUAAUAAAUUUCCUAUUGAUUACUGCAACAACAUUAAAUAUGAAAACCACUUUGAUAUUAAUGGAUGUGUUGCUACUGGGAGCAAAAUCAACUAGCUUCUUAGCAUAUUUUUUUGAGAAAUUCUUAGCAUUAACUGUUGAUUGAACUUGAACUUUAUAUAGAAAUUAACAUUCUGACAAGAUCAUCAAUUCUUUUAUUGUGAUCUAGUUUAUCUUGUAAGGAAUAACAAUUUAAUAAGAAUAUCUUGUGCUUUGAAAGUAUAUAAGAUCAUGGGUUUAGAUCUACAAAACCCAGCAGCUAGCUCUUAUGUCAGAGUUAAAAAAAUACAUCACUACUAGCCAAGGACAUGAAAUAAAAGCCAGUCAUUCUAACUAGAUAAGAAAAACUAAUGGUGUCUAGAUUUGUGAUGCCUGGGUCCACAGUAAUCUUCAUGAAUGCUCGGUAACCAGUGAUGUGAAGAUUUCUUGGACACUGAUCUUUUCUUCAUGGUACCUAUACAAUUCCCUUCUUUGCAGAGAAUGGCUUCUUGUCCAAGAACCCUAGUACUAAUUUCCUUCAAAGAAGUAUUGUUAUUCGCCUGCACAUCACAAGAACUCCCAUCAGAACUGAAGCUGAUAUGAAAUACUAAAAAGAGUCAUUAAUUUUAAUGCAUCAUACAGUGUGUAAAGAACUGAGCACCCACAUGAACCUUUUGAGCUCCAACUUGCAUGAAUCCUUUUCCAAGCGAAUCCCUACACAAAACAACAACACAUGUUCAAACCUAAAGACAUACAAAGCAAAAUCAGGUCUCUUAACUUAACACGACUGAUAUUUUUGGCAUAUAUACCUUGAGACCCUUGAAGGAGAAACGAAAAAAGCAGAAGAGAGACUACGUACUAAAAGAAGGCCUCAUUCAGAAAAACAUUGAGAAGAAGAGAUAAGAGUAAUUAAGAGAAGGAAAAGAUCAAGCAGUUCGCUAUAUAUUUCUGAAGUCUGGUACAGAAGCUACGGAUUAAUGUGGGUUUGGCCGAAUUCUAAGUAAUUUUAGAACUUGUAUUCUGUAGAGAUUGUGCAUGAAUGGAUUAUAAAUACUGUAGCUGGAGGGUAGGUUAAUUAUAAACACGGUUUUUAGGGCCACAAAGCACGUAGUUCUCCAACAUGAAACUGUAAUAGAAAACGGGAUUUUUCUUCCACUACCUUUUGUUUUUCCUCUGUCUUUCUAGUGUAUAGUGAAAAAGUUCCUCAAGAGAGGUAGUGUGAUGGUAAAGAACUUGAAAUCUACAUAGCAAGUUUUGAAUUUGAAUCAGGACGUGUAUUUUUUGUAAGAGUCUGGUAUAAUUGGGGUUUUACUCACUCACUUGGACCCACAAAAUACGCUUCAAAUUAUUGAAAUGACUAACCAUUGAUUAGGGCAUCCUACUAAAUUAAUUCAAUUAAAAAAAAUGAAAAGAUAAUCAGCCUUUAUUUUCAAGUGGGCGGGGUUAAAAGCUUAAUAAUGGUGUCAAAUUCAAUAUAAAAUCAACAAUCUUUAUGUUUUGUCUUAUAUAUAUUAACCUACAUAGAAAUUGUUUACUUAGAUAGAGUUUGUUUAGGAUCUCGGGAUAGAAGCAACGAAGAUAGUUGGAUAGAACAUACCUGUUUCUAAGUUUUUUUUUAAAAUGACUAAAAUUUAUUUUAAAAAUAUUCAAGAUAGAUUUAUUUUAUAUUUCUGUUUUUAUUUUUAACCAAAUAUGUGUUAUAUUUUUCCUGUUUUUAUUCCUAUUAUCUUCAAACACCAACCAAACAUAAACUUGUUUUUGUUUUUAUCUUUUUAACUAAAUAUAUUUAUGUUUUUCUUGUAUUUAUCCUUAUUAUCCUUAAACACUAACCAAACACAAAUUUAGAACAAAAAAAUAUAAAUAUUGCAAUGAUUUUACAACAUGAAAAACUUUAGGGUGACAUCAGGAAAUCUAUCUGGGAGGGAAACUAAACAUUUGGUGAAAGAAAUUGAAAUUUGACAAGAAUCGACAAUCAAUCAACUAAUUAGGAAAACAUGUUUUUGGUUCUUUAGCUUGACAUAAAGACAAUACUGCUGGUAACUAUUUUUCUUGGGUUUCCAACAAUAUGCUUGCUAGACAGUUUCCGUAUCUUGGCAUGCGCCUAAAUGGAAAGCCGAUAUUGGUAUGCGACAAGAAUACUUAAUUUGAGCUAACAAUAGAAUAUCCAAAGCAAAAAAACAUGGUAUUACACUUUGAAAAGUUCUGUUGUAAUUAAAUAUGCACGAUCCAGAGUCUUAAUGACUAGGAAUAUCUACUCUGCUUUUAGUUAACUCAAAUUGAAAUAAUAAAGAUAAUUCCUGCCAUGAUAUUGCAUGGGCCUGCAGCCAGUGGUGAUGCCACUUAGGAAAAAUUCUUUAGAACUACUUAUUUACUUCAGCGCAAGAUCAAUCUUCUUUUGAGUUUUGAAGAGCAAAAAACAGUACAGCAUACCCAGCAAUAUCUGGGAUCUGUCAACGAAUAUUAUCUGUCAAAAAGAUACACAGCAAUCGAUAAAGAAACAAGUUGAGUCACAAAUUAGUGUGGAUGAGACAAAGAGAAAUAUGUUAUUAGAAUAUAAAUGUUGAAUUUGUAAUUAUAUUAAUCAUCAUCAAACUGCAUCAUAUCAAGUCUCAUGUCUGCAUUAUAAAUACUGUUAAAUCAUAGACAUCGGUUAUUAUGAAUCCUAGAAUUAGAAAUGAAACUAAACUUCACUCACCGCAGCCACAGGUAAAUCCACCGUCAGGGUGAUUAAUCCUGGAUACCAGUGAACAAAGCCUGCCACUGUUGACAGGAUCUGCAGCACAAAUAACAAACAGUUUAUUAAGAGUAUAUAUCAUCAAUGUCGUCGACACCUUGACGGGUCUAUAUAACGAGCUGUAAACAUUCAAAAUGUGGCAAUGUGUCAUGUGGAAGGAUUGGAGAAUUAGUAAGGGAAUAGAAGAUUUGUUAGAGAAAGAAGGAGAUUGAAUCAGAGAACGAACAUCGAACACACCUCAUUUCAAAAAUAAAAUAUAAAAUUAUGAAUGAGGUAAUCAAUUAUAUGUUUUAAAAGCAUAUGUAUACGAGCAUCAGCUAUCCAUUAGCAAAUUCCAGAGAGUGGAGCUUUGAGCAUGAUUAGUGAUUUUUUUAUUCCGACACAAGCAAAAAGAUAGAAAAAGGAAUUGAAACACACACACACACACGAACUAUGAUUUCAGAACGAGAGAUUCAAGGAAUAUCUUGGAAUGGUGACGGGGGACAAAGCGUUUUCAUGAUUCUUUUUUUUUUCUUUAUGAAUGGGAUCAAAAUUUUAUGGAGUAGAAAAUAAAAGCAGUACAAAUAGAAUUACAUGUUCUGCAAAAUAAUGGUCAUUGAUCAAUGUAACCGAAGCAGAUGGAUACUCGUCAAACAAAGAGCGGGAACCUAAAGAAAAAUAACAGGGCAGUGAUAACUGAUCCUCUCAUCAAAACUAAAACCCUCAAGUGAAUCACAUGUUGUGGAAACGUACGUACUUUGUGCUAAUAAAUAAAAAAAGAUGGAAUUGUUGAAAGAAUUGUUAUUGAUUAUGUAUCUUUAUAAUAUGAAGAUAUAUAUUUAUUAUCCGUAUUAUUUAUCGACAAGCAGUAGUUAUUAAAUCUAUAGUAAAUUAAUACAUUUUUAGUAUCAAUACAAAUUAUAUUAAUUAAUCAGACUUGACUUGAAAUCUAACCUCAAAAAAAUCCUAGUUAUUGGAUCUUUGAGUCAAUCAAAAUUAUAUUUUUAUUUAAAAUAAUAUUAUUUUAAUUUUUUUUUAAUUUUUUUAGUAUUGAUGUAACCAGAUCUAGAUAAAUUUUAGCUAGUUCAAUAUUAAAAUUAAUUAAAUUUUAAAUUCAUUCUAAGUGAGAUAUUGAGUCUUGGAUUUUCAUCUUGAUGGACCAAGCCGAAUUAACAUCUAUGAUACAAAGGCAUUGAUAUAUAGUCAAUUUAGUAGCCAUAUUAAAAAAUUUAUUUUGAAAAAAAUCUCAACCUAAUUAAUUCCUUUUUAGAAUAAAGUAUGUUGUUUUAGAAUGAUCAAAUGACUUGUAUUUACAGUGUUAAGUGACCAAUAAUUAAUUUUUUAAUUAUUUAUUUAGAAAUUUCAAUGAAUCUUUUGUCUGACAUAUUUAUCUUCAUCAAUCUCAUGUCUUGCCAAGAUACAUGAGCUUACUCUUGAUGAUAUCUCGAUUAUUAUUAAAAAAAAAUUAACAAAAAUGAGAUUACUCUUGAUGAAUUUUCACAAGUUUUCAACAUGCCUUGUCGAUGACAAUCCAAUUGCGCAGCGUGUGAAAUACAAACAGCUAACAACUCCAUUGUCAGCCCACUAAAAGGAAUUUUUCGCUAAGAUGUCUCACAAAGAAAGUAUUAAAGGUAAGAAAAUCCUCGACGGACACCAUUGUCAGCCCAAAGAUAUAGAUACGUUUGUCUUCCACGUACACCAAUUACAGCUCUCGGCACACUACCUUUUGCAUUCAAUAAGUGAAACAUUUUGGACCGACCCAAAAUCCCUUUUGAAAGAAAGAAAACAAACAUCCAGGUCCUGGUAACAUAAAUGAAGAACACCAACUUCAUUGAGCAAACCACAGUUGCUUCCUCUGUAGUAUAUUCACACCUACUUCCUUAUACACAUAGGCCGUUUUCGUUCCUGAUGCCUAUAUUUUGCUUCAAUAAUCUGUGGUCACUAAAUUGGAGUGAUAGGACUUAGGAGACCUUUGCUAUCGACCUAGCUAGCACCCGCCUCCAAAUACAUUUUGAUUUUGAUUUUUUUUUGGGUUGGGGGGGAGGGGGGGGGGGUGCGGGGGGUUGAAUUACAUGGUUAUUUACUUGGUAGAAAUAUUUUGCUAUUAUUUCCUUUUAGAACUUCUCAUUGAUUGGUAUUUCGGCUCAACCAGUGCAAAUCUUUUUUUUCAAUAAUAGUCUAGGAUUUAAUAAAAUUAAUGCCAGUGUCAUAUGUGUAAGAGAAUUUCUUAUCCUUUUUUGUUCUUGAACGAAUUUAAUCUGGUUUAUGAAAAAUUAAUUAACUUCAUAUAUGUUAUUUGAUUUUAUUCUAAUAAUGUUGAUGCUAAAAAUAAAUUUUUAUUAUGUUAGAUUUCUAUUAGUUCUAUUUCAAGUUUCUAACAUUAGAUUUAUAUCUUAAACGGAUUGCAUAACCAUGUGAUUCUUACUUUUAAGAUUCAACUUAAUAGAGAGUUAAUACUUUAAAGGGUUAAUAUUUCACUGUAAUGAUAAGAUAGAGCGUGAAACACAAUUAAAAACUCGUUGAAACUUAACUUGAAUUAUAUAUUUAUAUUAUAUAGUUAUAUUUGAAGAAAUUUUUAUUAUAUAUAUAUAUAUAUAUAUAUAUAUAUAUAGAGAGAGAGAGAGAGAGAGAGAGAGAGAUAUGCAAUGAAAUGAUAUUAUAAAUAAUAACUUCCGCAGUUACAAAAUCUAGUCAGCUUCCACAAAAUACUCAUGAUGAUUCGAUAAUCAUCAAAAUCACAGUACAAGAAUAAUUAUAAUAUCAAUAAAAUAUGAUAUCAUAUGUACAAAAUCAUUCGUAGCUAGCCCUAAAAAGCUGCAGCAUUCCUGUGAUGCUGUUUAACUUAUAUUCACUUUAUUAUAUCUUGAAAAACUUAAUUAUCUCUCCCUCUCUCGUUAUUAAUUUGUACCUACUGCACUUAAUUGUGUAUUGGAGAUUUUCUCCUCGCUGGAGAAUAGUCCAUUUGAGUUAAGUCCAUAAUUUCCUCAUAGUGAUCCUCGUUGACUUUAUGGUCAGAAUUCCGCCAAGAAUUUACCAAUAGUUUUUCACGUUCUCCCACUAUUUCUCCUUUACUUGAUCUCCACUUGGAUAUGGGGCCAGCUUUAUUUCCUUCGUUAUUCUCCUUCUUCACAAUCAUAUAGAGAAGGUAAGAAGAAAAGGUAGGAGGUCUUAUAUACAUACAUACAUACAUAUGUAUGUAUGUAUGUAUGUAUUAUUUCUAAGGUCGAUAUUGAAACUGCUAUAUAACAUUUACAUAAUAACCAACCUUAGAGGUGGUGAUAGUAGUGCUAGAAGUAGAGGUUGUCACAGCAAUAAGUUUCCUACCCAUUCCUGCAAGAAUAUAUAUAGAAAAUGAUUUAGGAUAUAUGAUUGGAUGAGGUGUGGUCAACAUUUUCAUUGCUCGUUGUUCAUGUGAAGCUUCUACUCAAAACAUUAAGGACAAGACCCCAUUUAAUGAUCGAAGCUAGUUUAAUCGGUGAAGAUGAAAAGUUUGACAAUCAAUUUCUUGGGGACAAAUUUCCUUUUUAGAGUACUAAUAGUAUACGAUCAAGGGUUUGAAUCUUCUAAAACCCAGCAUCAGAGACUUCUAAAAUAAAUAAAAGUCAGGCAUUCUAGCUAGAGAAACUAAUGGUGUUUAGGUUUGUGAUUCCUAGGACCGUAGUAAUCUUCAUGGAUGCUUGGUAACCAGUGAUGUGAAGAGUUCUUCGACGCUGAUUUAGAAACUCUUUUUUCCGUACUGGUAAUGGUACCUGUACAAUGCUCUUCUUUGCAGAGAAUUGCUUCGCCAAGUACACCACCAUUAGCACUUCUUUCUUUUAAAGAACUCUUGUCCCCCUGCACAUCAAUCACUUUCCCAUCAGAACAGUAUUCACUUGAAUGCAUCACGAUAUGUGUAAACUAAGCAUCAAGAAACUGAACAACCCACCUGGACUUUCUGAGCUCUAACUUGCAUGAAUCCUUUUUCCAAACGAAUCCCUACAGAAAAUAUCAGCAGUUGUUAAGACCUAAUGACAUGCAACGCAAAAACAACUCUUUACAGCUUUAAAUGAUUGAUGUUUUCAGCAUAUUUAUGUAUACCUUGAGCCUCCUGGAGGAGAAAGGACAAAAGCAGAAGAGAAACUACUAAAGAGGGCCUCAUCUGGAGAAGAGAUUGUAAACAAGUAGGAAAUGGGUAUCGGUAUUUUAAAACUUCGUCUAAGGCCAGGUGUUGAAGAAGAUACAGAAUUAAUUUGGAACUGUAGUGUUCUGUGGAUAUUGUGAAUGAAUGAUAACAUCGGAAGAGGGCCACAGGUUAGAUGUAUAAAUGUGCAAGGUUUUUGGACCCACAGGGAAGCUCUCCAGCAGGAACUUUCAUAAGAAGGGGGCCGGAUUUUUCUGCCACUGUCUUUUGUUUUUCCUUUGUCUUAAUUUCUAGUGUAAAGUGCAGCCACUUGUCAAAGGAAACGACUAAUCAUUGAUUCAUUAGGGCAACCAGCUAUCUUAAUUCAACAAGGAAAAAGUGAAGCUUUGUGGGCCUUAGUUUAACGUCAUAUAAUUUUCUUGCAUAAUUAAAUAAAUAAAUCUAAAAUUAUAAUUUUGAUGCAUUCGUAUUUAUGUUUCGAUUAAGAAUAGAUUUAAUUAUGGAAAUAAUCAAAUUGAUUGGUCAAUCAUUUAAUACAUUGUGUUUACUUUUUAGACAUCAAAAUUCAAAACUUUAUAUUAAAUCAUGUGCUUGGUUAUGUUCUAUAAGAUCGUGAUAUUGCAAAAAAGAGUGUUCAAAAGAGAAAUUAACUUUUAGAAUUUUCCCUAGUUGAAAAAUUAGGUGAACUAGCACAGCUAGACUUCUUUUUUGUACAUUUCCGGACAUGCCCUGCUCUUUUACGGUAAUGAGGAUCUUGAGAAUUCUCUGCCAGUUUUGUCUCAUUGAGCACAAGUUGAUCUUCCCAAAUGCAUGCUAACAUCCCAUUACAUGAGUAAUAUUUGUCUCGUUGUGUUUUACAUCUCAACUAAAUGGUUUGCUAGCGCUAUAUAGAGAACGUUUGGGAACGCGGCUACGACUGUGUUUUCAAAAAAUUUAAAUUAUUUUUUUUUAUUAAAAUUUAAUAUGAUUUGUACGUUUUGGAUCGUUUUGAUGUGCUGAUGUCAAAAAUAAUUUUUAAAAAAUAAAAAAACAUCAUUGACAUACAUUUUGGCACGAAAAGUUAUUUGAAAAGCACCCGCAACCACACUGCCAAACACGCUCAUAGUAGCAGGUAGGAUUAAUUUUUUAUUACGUUCAUUCAUGCUUUGAACAAGAAGAAAACAUCUUAAGGGCUACUGUGCCCCAUGCUACUACCGUGGGUAUAUAUUUUUUUUUUAACCGUGAAUAUCCGGGUCAGUUUACACACAUCUCGACUAAUUCCUUGAAGUCAUGAAAUUAAUAAUCAGGUAAGCCUCUAGUAACCUUGAAUUUGUGGCACUCGAACUAGUAAUCUCUAAAAAAUAAACUCAAAGCCUGACUAGUUGAGUUACACCCCUCAGAGUUGAGUCUAUUUUCAUUUAUUACGUUUACGGGCUAUAACUGAGACGUUUCUCCUCUCCACCAAAUACGGGUUAUGUGACAUAUGAUAUGUCCAUCCUUUUUCUAUGAAAAUAAAUAAAUAAAUUUGAGUGUUCUAAGAAAAACUCAAAUUCAAAAUUCCAUCAAUUUAUAAUUAAUGUUUAUAUGUUAUGAAUCUAGGUAUUCUAGGAAUAUUACUCCUCUACCUACAUGAAAAUAUGGCCUAUCAUGCUCGUAGAAUCUAUUUUAUUACAGGUGAGAAAGUAUUGUUAUAGUUGUGGUUUUGAUUAAGAAUUUGAAUCAUUAGGUUGAUGGUUCAAUCUCAAAAUAAUAUUGCUUCCAUGAAUUUUUUAAACUAAACAAUAUUAUUUUAAAUAAAAAUAAAAAUAUAAUUUUUAAAAUUGACCCGACUAGAUCUCAUUUGAUUUUAGUCAAAUCAACUGAAUCAUAAAUUAACCCCCUAAGGUUGCUUGAAUUUAACAAAGAUAAUGUUCAAACUGGUUUAAAAAAAAUUGAUCCAACCUAAAUUCCAGGUUGGUAGAACAUUGGGUCGACUCAAAUAUUCCCCAUUCAAUUAUAAUAAAUACUCUAUUGUUUUUUAAAGUAUGGAAUUUGGAGGGUGUUUAAAUGCAUUAAUACUAUAUCAAUUGAUUUUAACAAUCCUAAUUUUAUUAUAUUGUUUGAUUUUCAAAUUAAAACACAUCAAAAGUAGAAUAAAAAUACCGUGUGAAAAAUUUGACCCCUAAAAUUUGUAAAAAAAUACCAAAAAAUUAUUAAAUUAAAGAAUGUGUGUCUGAGUAGAACUAUUACCAACCAUGCAUCUCACAUAGAAUAAUGUUAUCAACUGUUACAGUUUUAAAACCUGAUUUGGAACAAGGAUCGGGUCAUGGAUUAAUCCAAAAAAAUAAGAGUUAACGAGUUGAUAGCCGGAUUAGUUAAAGUUUUUUUUUUUCUAUUUUUUUUACAACUUGGACUAAUCAACAUCUCGGGUUAAUUGAGUCUUAGAUCAACCUGUCAAGUUAGCCUGAAUUUAUUAUUUAAAAAUUUGCAUAAGACAAUUAGCAACCGAUUUUUUUAUUGGAAAUUUGUUUGGGAAAAAAUUUACCAAUCGAUUUUCCUAAUUUUACUAACCAAUCUUCCUCUUUCCAUCCAAUACAUAUAUUUUUAGUGUUUCUGGUUGGUGGUUGAUUAUCAAUCUUUUAUAUUAUUUUAUAUAUUUGUAUUUCUUUAGCAUGAUAUAUGUUUCAAUAACAUUCUCCCGCAGAAUAUCUACAAAGAUAGCCCUCCAUAGAUUUUUUUAGUCACUAAUGCACGUAUUCGCCAUUUCAUGGAAAGGUUUCCACAUGGUCAUUGUAAAACAAAGAAAAAAAUGAUGCAUGUAAUUAUUUUGUGUUUAAAAUAUGAUGCAUGUAAUUUUGGAGUGAUAGCUGCUAUCGUGGGAUUCAGGAAGGAAACAAAGAGAAUUUUGAGAUUUUAUUUAGAAUCGACAAUCAGUCCAAUAUCUGCAACAUGUUUUCAGGUUGUUAGUUUUUGUCUUGUAAGAAUCCUACUCAACUUAACAGGUAAUCAUCCUUGGCUUUCUAGCUAGUGCUAAUAUAUAUAUAUAUAUGCUCAUGGAAGACAAGAUCUAUCGCUUGCCAGCUAUAGUUUCUCUAUUUUAUUGUGUAGUGGAAAUUAGCAGAUAUUGGUAGGCGCUAAGUUAAAUAUUUAAAUUAUCAUUGAUUACCAUCUAAUACAAACAAUAAUACGGUAGCACUUUGUAAUUAACUACUAUAUAUUGUUAAUGAUACAAAUAAUGUACUAAGCAUUAAUUUCACUCAAACACAAAUUAAAUACAUUAUUCCUUCCAUAAAAUAGUAGAAGCAUCCAAAUUCUAAUUACUAUAGAAUAUGGACUCCAUUUUAGUGAUAUCACAUUGGGAAUAUUCUUUUAGAACUUCUAAUUUAAUUAUAUUAUUAAUUAGUACGAGUUCAAUCGAUAUUCUUUGGAUAUUUGAAGAGCGAAAAAGAGUUUUCUUUAUAUGGAUACUUGGGGUUUUUGCAACUGAAACCAUGAAUUUUUAAAAGAUGAACUAUAUAUCUUCAUGUUUUUUAGGUUUUAAUUAAUGAAUUGGACUUUAGCCAUCAGUUUUUUUGAAACCUAUACAAUUGUUACUCUUUUAGGUUUUAUGUUUUUUGAUCACUUGUUAAAAAUUAAAAAAUAUAUAUAUACUUACAAAGAAUAAUGUUUAAGUUUUAGAAGCUAGCUAGGGACCGGACUGAAGUCUUUUUUUUUUUUGUGCUCUCAUAGAUAUAAUUACCCUUUUUUCAUGUAAUUUCAUCACCAACGUUAUUCAUAUUGAGAAAUUUCUAUAUCAAAAUAUUCUUCUUAGUAUUAUAAAUUAAAGCAUAAUGUGAAAUAUUCUUUUUGAUUCAAAUUAGUCGAAACUCAUGAUAUUUAUUUCAAAGAGGGGUAUAUCUAUCAAUUAAAAUAUGCAUUUGAUUUGGGAAAAAAAGAGGCGUUGCUACAUAAUUUAACACACAUUUAUUAAUUUGUCUUAGUCUAGAACAAGGUGAUUUGUCCUAAUUACAAGGGAUCAGUGGACAUAAUUUUUUAUAGUUGGAAUAAACUAAAGAUACCAAAAAAUAAGCAAGAGAUUAACGAUCGGCCGACCAGGAGACAUCACUUGUUUCUCGGACGCAUUGGAACAGGUUGGAGCACUUAUCAAAAGGGCACUCCAUUUUACUGUGGAUACAUGCUUUAUGAUAUCAUGUCUGGUUUUAACCGAACAAUGCAUCUUCACAGGAUGGAUCAUCCUUCAAUUGGUUGGGAAUUUCUUUCCACUUUGGAGUCCCUAAAUAAUUCCAACUUCUUGUUAUUUUAUAGCUUCAAUAAUAUAUUGUUUGAACUAGCUAGGGCAACUACAUUAAUAAACAUGCCUUUUAGCUACGUGGGAUCCAUUGAGAGAGCGGCUAUAUAUAUAUAUAUAUAUAUAUAUAUAUAUAUAUAUAUAUAUUAGGAUUGAAGCAUUUACGACUCUAUAGAUAUGGCUCAUGAUACUUGAUCAAAGGAUAUAAUAAUGUACCAAAGGAAACGCUAUCGAUCAAUUACAAAUUGUUGAGUGUUAUCCUUGAAUGUGUUUGCAUAUCUAUGAACUUCGGGUCCCUUGUGUCAAAAACUGCUGAAGAUCCCUUUAUAACUUGAGUUGUCCUAGCUCUCGGAAAAUGAAGAGGAGUUGUUACAUUUGAUACCUUAGUGCUCCAUGCAAAGAACAUGCUGGUGAAGUAGUAAAUGUGCAGAGUACUUUAUUUUUUUUAUAUUAAUUAAAAGUUAUAUUUUUUUAUCAGGUAAUUAGGAGAGUACUUUAUUUGAGUACUAAAGCUAAAGUUAUAUUAAUUUUACAACUAAUUUUUCAAUCCAAAAUUUUAGCUAAGAGGUUUAAUCUGACUAAAGCUAAAUGUAAUUAGGAGAGUAAUUUAUUUGAACGAAUGUCAACAGUUCUCUAGGAACCAUGCACGAAAGACUUUUAUCUCCUAAGAGAUAAGAUUAGGGUUUUGCUAUUAGGUAAGUCUCACUUUCAACCAGGGACUAAUGGUUGAAAAUGUAGAGAUUUGAGGAAAGACUAUCCUCCAUUCACUAUCCCCAUUAAGCCUCCUUAGUCCUUAUUAGAAGAAAAAUCAUAUGUGGAGAUGUUCUUCACCCGAUUGCCCCAUCACUUCUCUCUACCUAGGUUUUGUACUCGUUAUUGGAAGAGAAUUCCAUGACGACAUGCAUGAAACAAAUGAGCAUAAUAAUGUCCCCACGUCCUUUAUAACAUGAACAAGAUCGUCAAAGCAAGAGUAGGAACCCAUCUUCUCAGACACAAGUAAACAAAACUCAGUUAGUCGUAGAUGUUGAAUUUUUUGUUAACCUGUCUCACAAAGCGGGCCGGCAUGCAAGGCAAACAAAUCUUCCAUUUAUAUGUCAUUGACAGCACAGAGAUAUAGAUAUGAUGGCCUUGUUCGAUCAAACACACACGUCCCUUUCAAUGCCUCCCCAUACCUACGUGUUAAAACCCUCACAUAUUUUCGUGUUAACAUUAUCACAUGGGCAAGAGUCCCGCCAGCAGUGGCUGCUUGCGAUCAAGUCAGUAGGGUCAGGAUGGUCCGGCGAAGUUCACCGACAAUAUAGAUAUUAACUCAUUUGAUAGACUUGAUGCCGUUCAUGGAGUGCCAUAUACACGUGUGUGUGAGAGAUCACAAGACUGUAUUUGAUGUACACUGUAAUAAGAAAUUAACAGAGACAAUAGAAUACAUACCCUUUGUCAUGAACUGAGUAAGUGUUGAAUUGUCUAGAAAAAAAUUGUGCUGUAAAAAAUAAAUAGUUUUAUAAUCCAUGACAAACCUUAGGUUACUGUGUAGUAUCUCGUUCUACAUGUAAAUAUCGAAAACAAAAUUCUAUAAAAAGAAAUGGCAGGAGCGGCCCCUGAGGAACAAUCCCCAGUAACGAAUAAAUCAUCAGUUGGGGUAAUUUUGGACAUAAUUGAAUGACAUUUUCCCUACCUACUAGCUAGCCUGAUGAAAUUAAUCAUUAUUAACAAAAAACAAAAAAAAUAUUUUCUGACAUAAUUCAACCCCUUGUUAAAUUUCCAGGUGAUCGUUGUUCUUGUUUAAAAGAACAUAUUUUUGAGAAGGGUGAGGUGAUCAUGCAAGAAAAUGAAAGGAGAAUGUCUAAUAUUUGAGUGACACGAUCGUAGGCAAGCUCCAUUCGAUCGAGUGUCUGAACUCUGAAUGGGUAAAGAUCAUUCAGGUAAUGCAUUAUUAUUUGUAUUGGUUAAUUAACUUUAAUGGCUAUUGUUCUUGUAUAUAUGAAACUGGAUACAUUCUUAAUUCCCUGUAGAUUCCAUGACAGAACUUUGAUGAAGAGAAAAUGGCGAGGAGGAAUCACUAUUCCAUGACAGAACUUUGAUGAAGAGAAAAUGGCGAGGAGGAAUCACUAUUUUUUUUUUUUUUUUUGUAAUUUUGAACUUAGGACAGCUUAGGAGUAGAGAGUACUGUACCUAGCUAAAGCCCCAUAACCAAGAGGCCUUUCUUUUUCUUUAUACCCCAGCAGCAGCAGCUGCACCUCUAAUUUUAAUCAAAAUUAAACAAUUUUGAUACAAAUUAUUUUUUGGCCAUGUUUUAAAUUAAUAUUUAUUUUUAACUGAAAAUUAAUUUAAAUUAAUUCUUCCAUUUCCUAAUUUUUUAGCGAUUAAUCCCAGAUUUUUGCUAUAAAUAUGUUAAUAUCACUCCUUAUAAAAUUUUACUAUAACAUGAAUUGCUAGAAAAAAAAAUCAUUUUAUAAACUGACUCCAUAUUUAUAAAACACCUUUGACGUACGUACUAGCAUUCUUUCAUUAAGAUAUAAUAAAAGAAAAUUAAGAGCAUUCCCAUAUAUAUUACUUUUAAGUUCUUAAAAUAUAUCCCCCUCGGACUCUGUUGAUUUCUUGCUUUGGAUUGCAGGUCUUUUAAGGUGUGAAGUGACACCAACUGGUCAUCACAAGGGGAACUUUAAGCCCUCUGAACUUCGUCUGAAAUCUUGGAUGAACAACCUAUGGAACAAAGUUUUUCAAUGCUUAUGAAGCCGAUGAGUGCUGAUCAAUCGAGUCAAAAAGUUCAUUUCCUAUCCCAAAUCCAAGCAUCCUGGCCAUGUCACUGGUCUUCAGUCUAGGUUUUGGAACAUUAAUAUGCUGUUGCAAGCCUGCAACCAAGAGUACACAUCGAAAAUUAACUUUCUUCAUUGCAAACAAUUUCAGUGCCUCAGGAUUAAAAACAAUUCCUGAUUUCAUAUUUACCUGCCAGCAGAAAAUUUAAAAGUUCUGCCUUUCAAUCAUGCUCUAUUAGCUCCUUAAAUAAUAUGCAGUCUCAUCCAUUAUCUGUUAUCUGAUGAAGGACUAGCAUUGCUGCAUAACGAGCCAGCUCUCCAGCUCUCCAGCUCGCCAGUACAUCAAGACAGGUAACCAAGGAUAAGUAGCAUCAAGUCUCAAAAAUAACAAUGAUAGCAAUCCAAUGCGCAUGAUAUUCAAUAGAGUAAACCUUGAAGUUAGCAUUAUUCCAUAAUGCUAAGAAAAUACAAAUUUUCAAGCACAAAAAAACCAAGAUCCAAAAUUGAAUAAUUAAAAAGAAACGAAAAGAAGCAAUGCGGGAUAGAUCUAGAAUCAACAAAUCUUAAUCUUUAAUGGGGCUCUCUCCUUUUUUAAAACAAAAAAAAUGACUACAUCCAGACCAAAUCUGUGGUGUUUUUGUUUUUGUCUCAGUGUUCUGCAAGAAAAACAAUUUAGAGAUAGUGAGAGUUUUGGCAAUGAAAAAGAAACAAAUAUAGUAGAGAUCGGAGAAAUGUGGAUCAUUGAUUAUGUGCCUAUCCUCUCUCCUCCCUCUGAAACCUUUUUUUAUCCAUCAUGGAUCCCUUUUUUUUGCCUGACGCCUCCUUCGUUCCCCCUGCAUCUGUCAGUUUGCUUUAGAACAACAUCACCCUCUCCGCGUAGAUUUUUCUCUCUGAUCUGCCUUCUUUUUUUCUCCUUCCUUUCUCUGUUUUGUACUUGUUUUCUCUUCUAUGUAAUUAAAAGAAGAAACUGAUGGGAGAAUGGGUGGAAAACAUGCGCCCGUUAAAAAUACCAAAACACCUUCCACAAACCACAGAGACAUCCAACAGGUUGAAGUACAUAAUUAUUACUACACUAUUAAAAUUCAUAAUGAAAUUACCCAGUCCACAGUACACGCAUUCAUUUAGCACUUUUAGUUUUUUUUAAUGUUCAAUACCAAUAUAUAAAAUUUAGGCAGCGAAGUAGAUAUAAACUGGAAUUUUAAAACCACUAAAACCCAAGGUAUCCCUUUGCCAUAAAUUAUUUUCUGCCUUUCACAGCUUGCGGGAGCAAGCAUAUACAUGCAAUUACAUGGUUUUUAACUCGUGAUGGAGCUUUCUCAAAGUUCGGGAAACCUCACUUGCUGGUGAGACCUGAAUAAUCUGUUGGUGUAUAUGGUAUAAACAAGUCUGCUAAAAGUCCUUUCUUUCUUCUAGGAUUAUAUCCCAUGUCUUUGCAAAGCUGGUCAUUGUAAUAUAUGUUAAAGUUACUAAUACAAGCUCUCCUGAAGUAGCGGCCUGUAACUUGUUUGAUGUGAUCUGCCCACAUGUUUGCUUCCUCUUCCAUGUCUCUUAUACUUGGCAAUUCAAGGUUGCCAUCGAGGAAAUGUGAUAGCCAUACACUUUCGAUUUCAGAGUAACCCAAACUUGAGAAAUUCUCACUGUAUCCUAUUAUAGCCAAUUGAGGAAUUCGAGGAUGAAUUAUUUGUCUGCAGAAAUGACAAAGAAGGUGUCAUAUUAAUGUUAACCAUGCAAUAUCAAGCUGGAUGUUUGUAUUCAUUGAUCACUUUAAAGGACAUACAGAAAGAAACAUGACAAGAAAUACGAAGUUAGCAGACCUGUAGAGGGAAACUGUAGUGGUAGGUGACCCAAUUAUGUAGUUUUGGAAAACUGGAGACUCAAAAAUGUUUUUCAGUUUUUCAUCACCCUUGAAUCCUGUAGCAAAAAUCACAAGAUCAGUUUCAAAUGGACGAUUUUCUCCAUUUAUAAUUAGACCUUCUGGGAAGAAGCUUAAGCUUUGUGAAUUCUUGAUAAUGAUGCUUCCUUCUUCAACUCUGUCAUAGAAUUUGUCAGGCAGCAUCGCAAUCUGACAGGAAGAUAUAUCUUCAAGAAAGCUGGAUUUUGGUAACAUUCCAUACUUCUUCAGAGGAAUAUUCCAUCUAAGGUAGAUCUCAAUGAAUUUUGAAAUUCCCCAUCUCUGAAAAGCAAGAUAUUGGCAUCAUAAUUCAGAGCAAAUCACACAUAUAUAACAUUCAUGGACAAAGGCAAUUGCGAGAGUGAAAUAGAAGUUACCAAGGGUGCAAGUAAGGUGGCCAGAAAACUUAAUAGAAAUGUUUCACCAGGUUUAUAGACUAACAAUUCCGAGAAUCGAUUGUAGCACAGGAAAGCAAGCAGAAGUCCACUCAAAUUGUCACAGGGCAAAAACCAGUGGGCAUUCCUCUGAAUCAUUGUGCAAGGGUACAUAACUCCUGAAUGAUAGAUUAUAAUAAGGCUGUUUGAACUUCAAAUGACAACUAAGCAGUAUUCUAUGAAACAUUCUAUUCACUCAUUUAACUAAAUCCAGAGGAUGUUUUGAACAUCACAGACUUUAUUGCUCAUUAAAGUAAAAGUCUUUUUGAUAAUCUGAUAAAAGACUUAAAAGUAGGAAUAUUUGCUUGACAGAAUGUUUUCUUACCAUUUGCGUUGGCACAUUCUGCUGCUAUGUCAACUGCAGAUUUAUGAGAACCAACUACUGUAAUUCUCUUUGUUUUGAUCAAUUCUGAAGCAGUUGAAUUGUCUAGGGCUGAGAAGUCUUCUGAAUGCAUCACCUUGCCCUUGAACACUUCAGGUCCUUGAUUUGGAAGGAACUCUGGAAUAUUUGGAAGGCCACUGAAUUGUCCAAUGCAAAGAACUACAAAUUCAGCAUGAUACACCUGACCAACAUAAUUCACCAGUGAUUUAAUAUUUAUAUAUGUAUAAAAGAAAUAGCCACAACAAUAGCCCACAACAGUGGAUAUAGAAUCUUUCAAAAAAUAAACAUACUUGUAUGCUGCAAUUUUUUGUGUCUUGAACUUUGACAUGCCAUUUCCCUUUGGAGCCAAAGGGCUUGCCUGUCCCACUCCAAAGAGCCCAUGAAUCCAUCUCUUCGUUAGACUCUCCAAAAUACUCUAUACCAAUGACCUUGGAAUUGAACUUGAUGCAUGCAAAGAUAUUGAAAUGUUGUGCAUAAGAUUCCAGAUACUCCAUCACUUGAUUGUGAGUGGGAUACGUGUUUUUUAUCGAGGAAGGCCAUGGAAAAUCAGAAAACUGGUAAAUUUCUUUGCUGUUUUGGAGUCUGGUUGACUCUAGAGUAUGUGACCAAACUCCACCAAUUCGUUCUUCAGCUUCAAACACAAUCGGGUUGAGUCCGAUUUUGAGUGUGUUCUUACAGGCAAGAAGGCCACUUACUCCUGAUCCGAUGAUUACCACUCGUUUCUCCAUUAGUCCACUCUGAGAUCCGUUUAGGGUCAGGGCAUUAAAUACUAGUUAUGUCUAAGAAGCCAUCAAACGGUCUUCAGGAAAAUCAUCUA
rnacentral:lncRNA from 1 species